rnacentral:lncRNA from 1 species
UUGAGGGAUGGGAAGCGUUGAGUCAAUACCUUGCUUAUUGUUGGCUUCCUUGCUUUGAUUGUCCUGAUAAACUUUAGGGUUAACACUGGGGUGGGGAUUGCAACACUACAAUGGGGUUGAGGUGUGGGGAUCAUUGAGUCAAUACCUUUUUGUUGAAUUUUUUGUUGAUCCUGGUGAGUUCUUGAUGGUUGUUCUUUGGUACCAGAAACACUACUAGAAAUAUUAUUUUUAACAGGUUGAGAAUUAAUUGGUAGAGUAGUUACAUGAGUGUCAUUUCAUUGUGUUGUUUUGGUUUUUUCUUGUUUGCUACUUCAGCCUCCUUUCUUCUUCUAUAUUAAUCAUCUCUCCUCUUGACUUUACAUGUAUGAACUUUAUGGCCUUGGUGUUUGCAAUAAUCACUAUCUUGACUUGUUGGAGCCUGUGGAAAAAUAGAUGUGCAUGCAAAUAUGCGCUGGUGGUAUUGUUAGAGUUGCCCAAGGUGAUUUAAUCUAUGCUAAUGCUACUCCACUAGGCCAUGGUACCAGUAACCACACAUGGAUUGAAGCUGCUCAAUGGGGUAUAUCUUGGUGUCUAAAUAAUGGUUUUAACCAAGUGAUUUUGGAAGUAGACUCCGAGUUAGUGGUUCACUGGAUAAAACAACAAGCUGCUCUACCUUGGAAUUUGUAGCAUGUUGUAGCUAACCUUAAGAGAACAUGUCAUCAAUUCCAAUCAUUUUCCUGUAAUCACACUUUUAGAGAGGCUAACUUUAGGGCUUAUGUUUUAUUUAAAACUAUACAUAACAGUGAAGUCCCUCAACAUUACUUCCAUGUCCACCAGCUACCAAGAAAAUCUAGAGGACACUACAUACUGGACAAGAGUGAGAUGCCAAAUUUUAGAAGAAGAAAGAUGAAGAAGAUCAGAAAACCACCUUGAUCAGACAACUUUCCAUAUGGUUCAUGUGAAGAUGCCCUUCAGUUUUUUUCUUGUUUUUUCUUCAUACUUUGUAAGGGGAGAGUCUCCCUCAUUUAUCUCUUUCCUAUAUUACUUGUAUUGAGAGGAGUCCACUCUUCUAGGUGCAUAGUUAAUCUAGGUUUCUUUUCUAUUAUCAGGGAUGAGUUGGUUGUCCUUAGUAGGAUAACCGAUUUAUGAACCACCAUAGGAUCGGAUGUAAGGUUUCUGUCCCCUCCUUGUAUUUCCCUUGUUUUUGUUUAAUUAAUGGUAAGGCCUGGGGAUGUUGCUCAACCCUUGACCCACCUCAAGGGUCAUUAAAAAAAACUUUAAGCCAUAAAUCAUAAACCUUCGAGCCUAACCCUAAACUUUAAUCUCUAAACCUUAGGGCCUAAAUCGUAAACCCUAAACCUUUGGGCCUAACCCUAAACUCUACUUCCUAAACCCUAAACCUUAGGACCUAAAUGCUUAACCUCUUAGGGACUAAACCUUAAACCUUAGGGCCUACAUCUUAAACCCUAAACCUUGGGGCGUAAACCCUAAAACAUAAACCAUAAAUCCAAAACCCUAAACCUAAACCUUAGAACCUAAAACUUAAACCUUGUGGCCUAAAUCCAAAAUCAUAAAACAUAAACAAUAAACUCUAAAUCUUAGGGCCUAAACUCUGAAAUUUAAAUUAUCAACCAUAAACCAUAAAUCUUAGGAUCUAAACCCUAAAUCAUAAACCUUAGGGCCUAAACCAUAAAUCCUAAAACCUAAACCUUUGGACCUAAUCUCUAAACCCUAAAUCCUAAACCUUAGGGCCUAAACCCUAAACCCUACACCCAACCCUAGAUUCUAAACUCUAAACCUUAUACAUUAGGGCCUAAAAUUUAAAUCCUAAAAUCUAAGUCUUAAGGCCUAAACCCAAAACCAUAAACCAUAAACCCAAAACCCUAAGCCUUUGGGCCUAAACGCUAAACCCUAAACCUUAGGACAUAAACCCUUAAAUCAUAAACAAUAAACUCUAAGCUAUAGUGCCAAAACCCUAAAUCAUAGGGUAUACACCCUACACCAUAAACCAUAAAUUAUGAACUCUAAGCCUUAGCUCGUAAACUCUAAAACUUAGGGCCUAAACUAUAAACCCUAACCCCUUAACCAUAAGCCAUAAACCCUAAACCUUUAACCCUAAACUUUAGGUCCUAAACCAUAAAUCAUAAACUCUAAACCCUAAACCUUACACCUUAGGGACUAAACCCUAAACCCUACACCCUACACCCUACACCUUAGGGACUAAACCCUAAACCUAAACUUUAGGCCCUUAACAUUAAACCCUAAACCCUAAUGCAAAACCCUAAAACCUAAACCAUAAAUAUACUUUAGUUAUAAAACAGUACUGCAGAUACAUAACAACAUCUGACCCAUAGUCAAUUAGACAAUUUGACGUAGUAACGUGUCAUAUACAUAAUAUUUGAAAAUGAUAUCUUAUACAUGAUAAAAUUGUAAUGUAUCAUAAAAUUGAAACGAAGGCAAUAUACAUUAAAUUAAGAAUCAAAAUCAACUAGAAACAUUGAAGAUAUGAACCUUGGGUAGAGAAGAGGGUUUAGUAACACGUUUUGCUUCCCCUUUAAUUUUGGAAUCUUUCUCAAUGGGUAAUUUAGAACUUGCAAUGCAUCUUUCAUCGAUUUUGAAUCACAAACACGAGGAACGAGAUCUUCCGUUUGUGAAACUAAUUGGGUAAGAACAAUAUUAAACGAUUGACCAGAACUCAUAAGUAUCAGAAAAAGAUAAACAACAAAAAAUUGAAAAAAAUCAAUAAUCUAAUUUGUUGAAAGCAAAGAAAUAUGAUGAAGAAAUCUUUCUACACCUUCUCUUUUACUUUAUAUCAACUCUUGUAGUUUAUUUUCACUUUCAAUAAUGGCGUCACCUAUGGAUCUUGAUCUAAAGCCCUUACCCGAGACACCAAUAACUCAAUCUUUUUCUAUUUUUGAGCAUUUUUCCACCUUCGAUUUCAAAAUCUUUGUCGUCAGAAUUAAGCAACGGCCUACAUUUGAUAAGACUAAUUAAUUAAUUUCAAUACUAAAAGAUGGAGGAUCAUCUAUAAGUAUCAAAAAUUUGUAGAUGAAAAUAUUUUUUUUAAAAAUGAAAACUGAUGAAUUGAAAAUUGGAGAAGAAGAAGAAGAAGAAGAACUACCUAUUGGUGAACUUGAAAUUGAUUGACUGGAGAGACAACAGAUUUGAAUUUCAAAAAUCGAUUGAUGAAGGUUAUUGUUAUGAUUGUUGGCAUAAUAAUAGGAAGAGAAAUCGUGGAGUUGAUUUGGAAAAGUAAUGUAUUCGGAAAAAGAGAAGUUUUGAGGUAACAAGGGAUUUUAGUAAUUUCUUUAAAUGGUAGGGAAUAAUAGAAAAUAAGGUAAAAAAAAGAUGUGUUACUAGGUAAUUUUUCAAUAAAAUUAACCCAAUUUAAAAUAUAUCAAAAAUUAAAAUUGAAAUCCCUAAGUCCUAAUCAUUAACCUCUCCACAAUCCGCUCAUCCCCGUUAUCCACCGUCAUUAUCAUGACUUACGAACACCAUAGGUCGUCGCCAUCGAUGUAUUCAUGACUAGCACACCACUUGUUGACAACUCUUGUCUCUCACAUUCAGAGACAGAGACCUUGUAUGCUUAUUUGGAAAUGUUUUAACUGAACAUGAGAGUAUAACAUCUAAAUCUAAAGAUGUAUAACAAGUAAUGAGGUACUAAAUAUUUUAAAAUCAUCUAAUUAUUGUAUACAUUCAAUCAGAGAUCAAAUCACACCGUAUUUGAAAUUUUAUAAGGAGGUGAAUAUGUUCAUAACAACAUAUCUAAUGUAAUCUCAUAGAUCGAAAAAAAAAAAAUUGCAAAAAUCGAGCCAAAUCGAACUUAUUUCAAUUUGGUUUUGAUUUACAUUUUCACCAAAUCGAAAGCAAAAAAAUUAUCCGAAUAUCAUAAACCAACCCGAUCCGACCUGGCCGAACGCCCAACCCUAAUCAUCACUAUAUUAUUACUAUUUAUUUAUUUUGGUGCAUGUGUUAAAUAUAUGUAGAAAAAAAUAUUUAGUAUAUUAUUUAUUUAUUAGUGUAAUCUACAGGAGUGUAGAAGACUUCUACUUCAUUGAAGUGAUCAGAGCCGCCGUCGUCUACAAAAACUGAAAAUUUGCCUACGUCCAUUACGCCACCUUAUGGCCAUGGCCACCGGCCAACCUCCACCAAGGGAGGUUGGUGAGACCCUAAUAAUUGCAGCAAUUAAGAAAAUUUCAUACGCAGACACUGUCACGGCACCUACAACACCAUAUCAAGCCAUACGAAGAAAACCUAUAACAUAUUUGCAUGGGGAACCAAAGAUAGUUUGGGAGUAGGAGGAGGUCCAGCAGAUGAUUCUUAACGAAAAUUUACAAUAUGCAGUGAUGGGAAAAUUCUCUUUUGGUUGGCCAGACAUGCAAGAACUAAGAAAAUUAAUACCAAAACAAUGCGAACUCAAGAGAGAAGUAAACAUUGGGUUACUUAUCAACAUGUAUGUAUUGAUACGGGCAUCGUUGCUGGAAGACUAUACACAUCUGCUAUGAAAUCCCCAAUUUUACAUAACACAUAGCUAUUGGUCAUACCUAAUGAGGACACUGAAAUGGGAUCCCUUAUUAGACCAAGAGGAGGAAACAACCAAAACAUUAGCAUGAAUUUCUUUCCCAUCCCUUUCUCCAAACUUUUUUUGCAAGGAGACAAUUUUCUCAAAGACAGCAAUAGUGGGGAGACUAUUACAACUAGAUAUGGCUACCCAAAACAAAACUAGGCUAAGUUGCGCUAGGGUAAAGGUGGAGGUGGAUCUGCUAGGAGAAUUCCCAAAAAUAAUUAACAUUGGAAUGAGGAGAAAAUCAGGGGAGAUCAUGGAAAAAUGGGUGACAAUUAACUAUGACUAUGUUCCAAAAUAUUGCAAAACAUGUAGAUUACAGGGACAUAAUGAGAAGGAGUGUUAUAUCAUUAACCCAAAGUUGUAUCCACAAGACGAAAAUGAGUUGAGUAAAGGAAAUGAACAUGCAAGAAAUUUUGAGAGGGGAGAAUCAAGUCAUAUAGGGGAAGGAAGAGAAGAAAAAUCAACAAGAAAGAAGAAAAUGAUAGACAAAGAAAUGAGCAGGGGAGGAGGAAAGAAGAGCUGGAAAUUACGAAACAGAGAAGAAGAUAUGGCCAUAGAAGAAAAUAUUACAACCAAAGGAGAAAACUAGAACAAAUUUGGAAUCAAAAAUCACAACAGGAGAUGCACACAAAUGUAACUACAAAAAAUCAGUUUGGGGCUUUAGUGGAAUAAAUACAGCCCUCACAAGAAAACAUCAAUGAGCAAGGACUUACAAAUUCAAGGGUAGCAGAGGUCAAGGAAUCAGAAGCAGUAUUGCAAAGAUCAACAUAAAAUAUUGAAGCAGGAGGAGAAGGUAGUGUGACAGGAUCCUUUGAAACAAUGCACAGAGGAGGAACUUGCACAUGAGAGUUAGGAAUAUUGCAAGGAUCCCAGCUACAAUUUUUAUUGGCAGUGUGGACACACAAAAAUAUAAGGGGGAGAAAAUGAUUACUGCAACUCAGGAAGAGAAGGCCAUCAAUAUAGGAGCAUCAGAAAAGGUAUCUUCAAUGUGAGGUUAAUACAUCAGCACCAACAAAGGAAAUACAGGUUACUUUAAAGGGAGUCACUACAACAUCACAUUCAUCUUUAGAGACUAUCAAGAGGAGUAAACAAAACCAACAGGAACUGCAUGAAAAACAAGACAGAGAAGAGGAGGACACAAUGGAUUCUAUUAUAAAACAAAUCAGCAUGGAUGGAGAUCUGCCACCUAGACAAAUAGAGCAAAUAAAAGAAAGACUUAGGGUGAAUAGAUACAACAAUGCAGGCCUGACUUAUGUCAAUACAAGGAAUAGAAAGAGUAGGCAUGUAGAUCAUAGUCAAUGAUAAGAAAAGUUCUACUUUGGAAUAUCGAGUCAGUAAAAUCUCUGAACUCUUUUGAGAGAAUAUUGGUUCUAAAUGGAAAACAUCACUGCUCAUAUAUUGCUCUUUUAGAGCCUUUCAAAAUCCAGAAGAUAUUGGCAGAUUUACGAUAAGGCUUGGUAAGCAGCAUGCCAAAGUCAAUUGCUCAUCCAAGAUUUGGGUGUUUUUGGGAUGAGGAAUGGGAGGAACAAAACUAUAAUGAUACAAUACAACAACUUACUGUUUCUUUCAAGCAUAAACAUAACAAUAAACUCUUCAAGAUUACUACAGUUUAUGCUAGAUGCAGCGCUCUGGAAAGAUUAGAGUUGUGGGAAGAUUUGAAGGAUAUGGAAAACUACACUAAUUGUCGUUGGUUGGUAGAAGGAGACUUCAAUACCAUAGUUGAUGAUUCAGAGAAACUAGGAGGACUGCCAGUUACUCAGACUGAGGAGAAGAUUUUGUUCAAUGAAUAAAUGGAUGUGCAUUAAAUGAAAUAAAGUUCAAAGGAAGUUGCUAUACAUGGUGGAAUGUGAGAAUAAAACAUGAUUGUAUAUUCAAACGACUUGAUAGGGUCUUUGGAAACAAUGAGUUCAUGAAUGUAUUACAAGAUAGUGAAGUACACCAUUUGAUCAGAGAAGGGUCAGAUCAUACUCCCCUACAUGUUACUUGCAACACAACUCAAGAACAUGUUGUAAAGCCUUUCAGAUUCUUAAAUUUCUGGACUAAGCACAACAGUUUUCAGAAAGUUGUGGAAGAAGUGUGGGAGAAGGAGGAUACAUGAUCACCCUUUAGUGUUGUCCACAUCAAACUAAAAAGGGUCAAGGCAUCUUUGGUGUAGUGGAGCAGAACAACAUUUGGAAAUAUUUUCCAACAUGGAGCAACUUUAGAAGAUAGUGAGGGCAAAAGAGACUCAACUGGAAAUAAAUCCAACAGAAGAGAACAUAAUUUUAUUAAAAAAAGUUGAAGCAAAACUGAAAAGAUAUUUGCACUUAGAAGAAUAUUACUGGAAGCAAAAGGCUGGGAUGAGAUAGUUCCAGGAUGGGGAUAGGAAUACAAAGUUCCUCCAUGAAUAUGUAACGGGAAGAAGGAGAAAGUUGUAGAUUUCAGCAAUAAAAUCUAGGUAGGGAUAUAUAAUUAAUUCAACUCAAAAUAUUGGAGAAGAGGCAGUAAAUGUUUCUAAAUAUUAAUUUAUGGAGAGUAAUGCUCCCACUGAUUAUUCAAUGCUGAAUAACAUUCCUAAAUUAAUCUCAGAUGAGCAAAAUCAAGUGAUACGAAAAAUACCAUCAGAAGAAGAUAUUAAAGGGGUGGUCUUUGCCCUAAAUGGGGACAGUGCAAGUGGUCCAGAUGGUUUCUCUAGGUAGUUUUUCCAAUGCUGAGACAUUGUAAAGGAGGAUAUUAGUAACAUGGUAAGAGCUUUUUUAUGUGCAUAGGAGCUACCAAGAUUUAUUACUCAUACCAACCUAAUACUAAUCCCCAAAAAAGAAGUGGUUAAUAACUUUGGUGAUCUGAGACCUAUUAAUUUAAGUACUUUCACCAAUAAUAUUAUAUCAAGACUGGUAUAUGAAAGAUUGGUGACAAUGCUCCUGAUAUAAUCUCACAGAAUCAAGUAGGAUUUGUAAAAAGGAGAGUAUCACUGAAAAUGUCCUUUUGGCUCAGGAGAUUAUCAGAGACAUUAACAAAAGAAAUAAGUUUCAUAAUAUGGUGGUGAAGUUGGAUAUGGCUAAGGCAUAUGAUGGAGUGUCAUCGAUUUUCCUCAUUAAGGUGUUAAGAAGUUUUUGCUUCUCACAGAGAAUAAUAGACAUGGUGGUGAGGCUAGUUUCUAACAAUUGGUAUUCAAUGAUCAUGAAUGGCCAAACAUUUGGCUUUUUUCCAUUCAACAAUGGGAUUAAAACAAGGUGACCCAAUAUCACCAACUUUUUUUUUAUCAUUGCAGCAGACGUGUUAGCUAGAAAUCUCAACCAUUUGUUCACGGAUCAAUAUUUUAAAGGAUUUGGGGUACCAAAGUGGAGUCCAGAUGUCACACUCCAACCCUAGGUGAGGUGAACAAGUACCAUAUGAACACAUGCUUUACAAGUCACUUAUGAUGAAAAAGUAAACUACUACUAUGCAGAUAUAUUUACUAAUGAGAAACUUCAAUAUACAACACAUAUUGACUAGCUGAACCAAUACAUGUGACAAAUGAAACUAUAAAUUCAGAUGAUAGCUUUACAAUGUCUACAAAGCCUCUACUGGAAUCCAUGAUUGUACCACUAUGGACUACGCAUAGUAAAGACUCGGCAAAGCCCCGAAUCAACCUAGAGCUCACCAACAACCGCUGGGUAUCAUGUGCUUCUAUUGGGGAGAUCUACUAGUUGAGUACUUGUACCUGCAUAGUCCCUAACAAGGGACGUUAGUACGAAAUAAUGUACUGAAUAUGUAAGGCAUAAUACAACCAUAUGUAAAAUGAAAGCUUAAGUGAAACCAAAUACUAAUAGAUAAAGGAUUAGAGACCACCUUAGCUUUAUACUUGUGGAAUCGUGUAUGUUACAUUCUUUUCUUUACUUUUCUUUGCAUUAUAAUAUUUAUAAGACAUAUGAUACAAAUGACCAGCUGAUCAGCGGUAGAAGAGGAUGACCCAUGCUAGACAUUUUAACCCCUGUGAUGCUAUCCUCAUAAUUCCACAAAUUUGGAUCGGCCCAUGCUAGGCUUUUGCCCCUAAGUUUCCACCCUCUUAUACCAAUUGGGAUCGGCCCAUUCUAGGCUUUCGCCCCUGAGCUCCCACCCUUCUAUACCAAUUGGGAUCGAUCCAUGCUAGGCAUUUCCCCUGGGCUGCCACCCAUAAUUAUACAGAUUGCUUCACUUAGAUUCUUUAAUCUUUGAGAUUGUUGUUUUGAUGUUCAUAACUCUUUCGAGAUUGUUCUUUUGAUGCUCAUAACUCUUUUGAGAUUGUUGUUUUGGUGGUCAUAAUCAUUGUUGAGAUUUGGAACUAUGGACCAGUAGUAGAAGACAUAUGAAUAUGGACUUACGAUAAUAACAAUGACAUAGAAAGCAAAUGUGACAUUAACGUGUAAUACUUAGGAGCUUAUAUGAUGACUCAGUAAACAUUUUAACAUCUCAAAUUGAAGCACAUAUCAAGUGAAGACAUUUCACAUUCAGCCAAAAGAUUUGAACUCUAUAUGAUGGCCAAAUACUCACCAACUAAUAUCAAAUACAAUGUAUAUGUUAACGUGGAACCAAGGGAGAAUGUCGGCAGCUUCAAAUUUAGGAUGGAUACAUAUUCUAAGUUAGUACAUGUACAAUAGAGCAAUGAGGGAACUUGUCAGGUAACAUUAUAGUCUAACAUAAUGGGAGUAAUAACCAAUAAAGGGAACAUAUGAGCAUGUGAAAAGAUGACAUAUAUAUAGAUAAUUAAAGCAAGUUGGCAUGAUAUGGGCAUAUUGUAUAUCCAACAUAUAAACAUAUGUACCAUGUGUAAUCUAGGAUCAUUUUGAUUUAUAUAAGGGAAAUACGUGCUAAGGAUACUUUGACGAUGAAACAAAUUUAAACCUUGCAUGCUAAUACUUGGUAGAGUAAGCACGUACAUUUAGUAACAAACUCAUAUUAGAGUACUCACUUUACUGCUCUAGGGAGUAGGAACUGCAACUAUGGAUAAGUCACUACCAACAACAAUACACAUAAAAUAGCCUCAAAUAUUCUUUAUCAUACAACCAAUUAUUGAACUCACCACCCCCCUUGAGUUCUUUAUGACAGCACACCCAUAAUUCUUCACUCAAACUCAUACAUAAGGAGGAAGAAAAUGGAGCAGUCACCUUACCUUAAUUUCUGCAACUUUUCCGUAUAACUUGAAUUCCUCUAGAACGUCAACUUCCCUUCACACUUAAACCAAAGAAGAAGAGAAAAUUAUCUUAAUAAUUAAGGAAAGUAAGCAGUAGAUAGUGAGAACUUCUGCCUUCUACUUAUAAUUGAGCAUGAAUAACAUGUUUUCUAGUAUUCCAUCGGAGAAUUAAGCUAAAUCCAUAAGUGUUUCUUUUACCUUGGUUUGCAGGUAUGAGGGUUUCUUCAAGAACCCCUUGAAGGAACUUUAAGGUUGCUGUUUUAAUCCUUAAGAGAAAAGAGAAAAGAGCUGGAGUUAAUUCUCAAUAUUGUGUGUUAAAAAUGAGUGAGAAUAACAGCCAAUAUAUCUUAUAUUGAGCUUUCUUCACCUUUAAGAAUAUACUCUAGAACCUCUCUUUUUUGGUCCAUUUUCAGCCACUAAUUGGUCAAGUAGGUGAUGCACCUGCUUAUGUACAUCAAGCAGCUUAAAAGGUCAAACUAGAUGAUACACCUACUUUCUUUUACUUGGGCUUAAAUAUAUUAGGCCUUGGCAGAUUUUGCUGCUGGGCUUUAGUUUCAUUUUCCUUUUAUUUAACUUAAUUUGGGCCUCAAGUGAGUCCAUUAGCAUAGGCCCAGAUCUGAUCCAUAAACCUUGGCCUUUUUAACUAGAUCCAUAUAUCUCAAGUAGGUGAUGCACCUAGUUAGUCAUUUUGACUGGUCAAUAAGUCAAAGUAGGUGAUGCACCUACUUGUCACCUACUAGCUUAGUUAAGUCAAGCAAACAACUCACUUAUUUUAUUCCAUUUUAUAAAUAUUAAUCCCUUUUUCUUUUAACUUAGCACUUAACUUUCAACUUUAAGCUCAAUUACCACCUUACUAUCAAGUUUAAAUACUCCCGUUGGAGUUAACUUGCAGUACACAUGCUGAAACGUGCAAGGCAUCACAUCACCUUCCGAGCUAGUUUAAACCAACGCUAAUCAUAUAGGAAACAUGGUCCCUCGCGUAUACUGUAAGGCUAUGUCAAGUAUCACAAGAAUAGAACAAGCAUAUGCAUAAUAUGGGCUGUUACAUACACGUAGAAUAUGGGGUAUUACAUCUUCCCCCCUUAUGAUCAUUCGUCCUCGAAUGAUACGUUAAAUUGAUAGUUUGAUUAACCUUGGAAUUUCAUUUGGACAUUUGCGAGAGUUCCCUCUGUAAAUAGGACUAUCCAAAAUACGUAGACUAAACUAAAACACGUAUAGACAAGUCUAGCUAUGACGUAUCAAUAGAUAUGGUUCAUGAAAUAAUAAUAUGACAAAUCAACCCCUUUCUUGACUAUGUAAUUCACUAAAGAUACUCAAGUAGAAUUCAUACAAAUAAGGACUUUAAUAUACCUAAACACAAGUUAUGCAAAUGACAUAUAAAAUGAACAACUGCUAGUAGAAUUUAUGAUCAUAUAAGGGGACCACAUGAUCUCAGUUCCUUAUGUACAUGUUUAGAAUGAGGAGGGGCAUUUAGGAUCUCUACCAUCUUCUAUUCCCAAGUAACUUAUGUUAUAUUAUAUUCCUUUCACAAUAAACCUUUUGAGCUUAGCUUCCGAGCCUUAACAAUCAAGAAUAACUAUAGUAUCUCCCAUUUUUUUGUAUAUGGAACGAACACAAAAGCAUAGGCCUAACCUAUCGGGGCUCUACUUUCCCUUCUCUUUUAUCUCAUGACAUUUUUCAAAGGUGGGACUUAUAAGAACACAUAGAUGUUAAUAUAAAAUCUGAAGUUUUAUGAUGCACCUUCGAAUAAGGCAUUAUGCUAAGUAAAUAUCUAUGGUUUUGAUGAAAUUUACAUAUAUGCCCAACCUUUUCUGGUCAAAAUCUUCACUACAUAAUGAUACAAGGAAAUGUUUUCCCACAAUGUUCAAAACUCAAGUCAAUAAUCACAGAGGGGCAUAGUGUACAAAUAAAUAAGUCACAUUGGGUAUAACACAUAGGAAGAUUAGCACAAAAUGGAGCGCAUAGUAUAUGGGCAUUAAGCUAUAGAAAUAUAUGGUGUACACACGCAUAUGGUUCAUAGGGUAGCGUGUGAGCGAAUGAACUAUAAGGAAUGUAGGAAAUGGACUAGAUGAGCACUUGAUGCAUGAGUACUAAAGCUACAAAAUAUAUAAUACGUAAGCAAGUAGACUAUAUGAAAUAUGAACUACAGAACACAAAUCACAUUGAUCAAGUGCGUUAUAUCGCAUGGAUUGGUGAACCUAACAUGUCAAUAAGUACACUUAUGAAAUAUGAGCAAGUGAACAGAUGACGCAUGGCUAGAAAUGCUAUAAGGCCUGUAAUGUUUAAGCAAGUAGGCUACGAGGUAUGUAAUAUACAUAGAAAUGGUUUAUGAUACCUACGACGUGUAAACAAGUGAUAUGCGAGUCAUAUAACCCAUGAGCACUAAUUUUGCUCAUAGCAUAUUAUCAAUUAGCAUGCAGUACCCACACUAAUGUUUAAGCAAGUAGGCUACGAGGUAUGUAAUAUACAUAGAAAUGGUUUAUGAUACCUACGACGUGUAAACAAGUGAUAUGCGAGUCAUAUAACCCAUGAGCACUAAUUUUGCUCAUAGCAUAUUAUCAAUUAGCAUGCAGUACCCACACAUAUGGACAAGUGACAUGUGGAAAGUAACUAGUGCAAUAAAUAACAUGUAAGGAAAAGGUCCUAUGAAAACAUAUAACAAUAAACAAGGGUGCUCUAAAGCGGAUAACAUUUACAUGUAAGCAUUCUAUGACAAAGUAACCAGUGCAAUAAAUAACAUGUAAGGAAAAGGUCCUAUGAAAACAUAUAACAAUAAACAAGGGUGCUCUGAAGCGGAUAACAUUUACAUGUAGGCAUUCUAUGACAUUAGGUAACCUAUGAGAAAGUACCAUAAAGGGCAAAUGACAUACAAAUAGAUAAGUUAUAGAACAUGCAGCAUGUAUAAUUAUAUAACAACCCAUCUUUGGAAACUACGAGAUGUCUUAUAGAACCACUCUACCAUAAUAAGGGCAAACACACUGUCUUAAGCUUUAAGUCACAGGUGGGAUAGUUCUUCUCAUAUUCCUUACUCACCUAAACACAUACAAUUGAUUUCCCCAUCUACUCUCUUCAAUCUCCUAAGAAUUCUUAUAGGUGUUCUGCUAUUGGGAUUUGGCUUCCGUCUAGGUCAAUAUAAAUACUACAGUCAAAAUAGAAAAGAAAAUCCUCAAUAGUUCAUCUUUUAGAGUAGGAGGCCGAGGUCAACUUUGCCUUCAUUACUAGCUUAUGUUAUAUCACGCUCAAUGCCUGGUGCCCUUUGAAGAUCGAAAUAGAAAAUAAAUGGGGAAGCUUGAAUGCACCAUAAAACAUAAACUCUAAUAACAUGUAAAUGUCAGGUACCUAUAAAGUUAUAUCAUGAUUCAUAAAAUCUUAGAGUUAGCCCCUUUGGGCUUAACUAGAUAGGCCUGGCCAUACUAAUAGAUUUUUUUUAAAAACAAGUGAGGGUGCUCCGACUCUUUUCCCUUUCAAGAUAGCAAAUAAUAACAACUAGCAUAUGAUCAAUUUUUCCUCUCCCUUAACUGGACUAUGACUGACGAAUUACUGCAGGCAUAUAUUAAAUGAACCAUAUAGUAGCUCUAUUCAAAUUGAUGGAAGUCUAUACAUGUGAAUAAUGCUCUGCUUCUCUUUUGUACUAAUGAUUUAGAUGAACUAGGUCCAUGUAUCUUCUAUAUAGGUAACCUUUUUGUCCCCCUCUUUUUUUGUUGUUGUUAUCAGGACCAAAUAUCAAGUCUUGAAUCAAUACUAAAAUGACUUCUCUAUCUAACAAAGGUUCACAAAGUUGUUCCUGGGUGCGCCAUUAUAACUCGUUAGGAUUGAAGAGUUGAUACCCUUUUAUUGCCUCAUACACUUAGCAACCUCUCUUUCAUAAUCACCUAUCUCACUCCUCUAUAGCAUCCUCAUAUCACCCCUACUCCUAUGUUUAGAGAAUUUGACAUAUCCCAUCUCUUUCUAAUGAGAAGCUCUACGUACAUAUUCGGCCCGUAUAAUUUAAGCUUCAUUCUCACAUGCUUCCUAUCUGACAAGUACUUUUUAAUCAAACCUAGUAGCUUCAUGUACUCUAAUCCCACUAUGUACAACCUGACUAAUCACAACUUAGGUCUAACCAAUCAAUUUUUUCCUUUUGUUAAGCCCUUUAGUCGCAUACUAAUCCUCCAUAGCCAAAAUAUAAAUCAUAAUAGAAACUACCAUACAUAUAUAAUUUGCAGAAAUUGGCUCACUUAUCCAUAAGUUUUAUAACCAUGAAAAGAAUACAAAUGUUAUUAGUACUUAUUCAGGGUUGUUGACACAUACCAUAUAAAAGCCAAAUAUUAACAUAUUCGGGAUGAUAUAUGGUGAGAAUUUGGGCCUUGUCAGCCAAUUAGGGGUAUCUAUAGUAACACUAUUGCACUGAUACAUCCACCUAUCAGAUUGUGCCAAUGCCUUCUUCUGAAAAACAAAACUGGUUUAACAACAUCAAUUUUGAGAACAUGUGUAAUGCUGAAAAUUCUAUGUAUAUCAUAGACUCUUAACAAGUGUCCUCUAUAGGAAUAUAUCUUAUAAAUAUGGAGGAAAUAUAGAACCCAAGAGAUGAAUACAUCCUCCUAAGAAGAUGUGCUUAGAAAUGCUACAACUCAUAAAUGUAACUAGAUAACCCAUCAUUUUUAAGCAUAUGGAUAACCAUACUAUAUUUUUCUCAUUUGAACCAACGUUAUACAAACGGUAAAAAUGCAACUUAAAAUGCAUAUUACAUAAAAGCCUUUACAUACGUUGUGGAGUGGGACGGUCGAAUAAAAUGAGCUCAAUGUAGUCUAAAUUUUGAUAACUUCAGAUCCUUUUCUGUAGAUUACAUGUUGACAUUCUAGCUACCAUUAACCUUAACCAUCGUAAGCAUAAUAUGAAUAGUAUGAACAGGUGAAAGUGGAAAUUGAUUUCUUAACUUCGCUCUAUCGCACGAGCUGGUUUACGAAGAAGGGUAACUUUUACUAAAUGUCCAAGCAGAACCCUAAUUAUAAAUGUGGCGCACAGCACAUUCAUAAGUAAGGCUCUACCAAAUACGGCUUUGUAGAUUCCCUAGGAUGAACUGCUCUAAUACCACUUUUGUCACACCCCAACCCUAGGUGAGGUGGACAAGUACCAUAUGAACACAUGCUUAAAAAGUCACCUAUGAUGAGAAAGUAAACUACUACUAUGAAGAUAUAUUUACUAAUGAGAAGCUUCAUAUACAACACAUGCUGACUAGCUGAACCGAUACAUGUGACAAGUGAAACUAUAAAAUCAAAUGAUAGCUUCACAAUGUCUACAAAGCCUCUACUGGAAUCCAUGACUGUACUCCUAUGAACUACGCAUAGUAAAGACUCGGCAAAGCCCCAAAUCAACCUGGAGCUCGCCAAAAACUACUGCGUAUCAUGUGCUUCUAUUGGGGAGAUCUACUAGUUGAGUACCUGUACCUGCGGCAUGAAAUUCAGCAUCCCCAACAAAGGACGUCAGUACGAAAGAAUGUACUGAAUAUGUAAGGCAUAAUACAACCAUAUGUAAAAUGUGAGCUCAAGUGAAACCAAAUACCAAUAGAUAAGGAUUCGAAACCACCUUUGCUUUAUAAUUGAAGAAUCGUGUAUGUUACAUUCUUUUCUUUACUUUUCUUUGCAUUAUAAUAUUUAUAAGACAUACGAUACAAAUGACCAACUGAUCAGUGGUAGAAGAGGAUGACCCAUGCUAGGCAUUUUGACCCCUGGGAUGCUGUCCUCAUAAUUCCACAAAUUGGGAUCGGCCGAUGCUAGGCUUUCUCCCAGACUUGCCACCCUUUUGUACAAAUUGGGUUCAGCCCACGCUAGGCUUUCGCCCCUGAGCUCCCACCCUUCUAUACCAAUUGGGAUUGACCCAUACUAGGCAUUUUCCCCUAGGCUGCCACCCAUAAUUAUACAGAUUGCUUCACUUAGAUUCUUUAAUCUUUGAGAUUGUUGUUUUGAUGUUCAUAACUCUUUUGAGAUUGUUCUUUUGAUGCUCAUAACUCUUUUGAGAUUGUUGUUUUGGUGGUCAUAAUCAUUGUUGAGAUUUGGAACUAUGGACCAGUAGUAGAAGACAUAAGAAUAUGGACUUACGAUAAUAACAAUGACAUGGGAAGCAAAUGUGACAUGAACAUGUAAUACUUAGGAGCUUAUAUAACUCAGUAAGCAUUUUGACAUCUCAAAUUGAAGCACAUAUCAAGUGAAGACAUUUAACAUUCAGCCAAGAGAUUUGAACUCUAUAUGAUAGCCAAAUACUCACUAACUAAUAUCAAAUACAACAUAUAUGUCAAUGUGGAACCAAGGGAGAACGUCGAUAGCUUCAACUUUAGGACGGAUACAUAUUCCAAGUAAGUACAUAUAAAAUGUACAAUAGAGCAAGGAGGGAUCUUGUCAGGUAACAUUAUAGUCUAACACAAUGGGAGUAAUAACCAAUAAAGGGAACAUAUGAACAUGUGAAAACAUGACAUAUAUAUAGAUAAUUAAAGCAAGUUGGCAUGAUAUGGGCAGAUUGUAUAUCCAACAUAUAAACAUAUGUACCAUGUGUAAUCUAGGAUCAUUUUGAUUUAUAUAAGGGAAAUACGUGCCAAGGGUACUUUGACGAUGAAACAAGUUUAAACCUUGCAUGCUAAUACUUGGUAGAGUAAGCACGUACAUUUUGUAACAAACUCAUAUUAGAGUACUCACUUUACUGCUCUAGGGAGUAGGAACUGCAACUAUGGAUCAGUCACUACCAAGGACACUUAGAAAGAUUACUUUUUGUAAUGCAAGUGUUGGAUUCAGGCCACAGAAAUAGGAAAUAGAAUAGCCUUAGAUACCUUAUCCUCUGACCAAUAGAACUAUCACGAUUCAACCUCCCCUUAUAGGUUUUAAUCUACAAUAUAAGUCAUGAUAAACUAAAAUUUGCAGCUAUCACACUGUGAUCCCCGUAAAACAGUAGCUAACAUUGACGGAUAAUGAGCCCAUACAACCCUAAAAAUAAUGUGUAUCAUCACACCCUCCUUCUCUGCCCAAUACAUACAUUAUAUAUCCUUUUCCAAGAUUACCCAAGCUGCACCAACAACAAUACACAUAAAACAGUCUCAAAUAUUCUUUAUCAUAUAACCAAUUAUUGAACUCACCACCCCCUUGAGUUCUUUAUGACACCACACCCAUAAUUCUUCACUCAAACUCAUACAUAAGGAGGAAGAAAAUGGAGCAGUCACCUUACCUCAAUUUCUGCAACUUUUACUUAUAACUUGAAUUCCUCUGGAACUUGAACUUACCUUCACACUUAAACCAAAGAAGAAGAGAAAAUUAUCUUAAUAAUUAAGGAAAGUGAGCAGUAGCUUGUGGGAACUUUUGCCUUCUACUUAUAAUUGAGCAUAAAUAACAUGUUUUCUAGUCGUCCAUGGAAGAACUAAGCUAAAUCCAUAAGUAUUUCUCUUACCUUGGUUUGCAGAUAUGAGGGUUUCUUCAAGAACCCUAGAAGGAACUUUAAGGCUGCUGUUUUAAUCCUUAAGAGAAAAGAGAGAGAGAGAGCUAGAGUUAAUUCUCAAUAAGCUGUGUUAAAAAUGAGUGUCAAUAGCAUCCAAUAUAUCUUAUACUGAGUUUUCUUCACCUUUAAGAAUAUCCUCUAGAACCUCCUUUUUUUGGUCCAUUUUCAGCCACUAAUUGGUCAAGUAGGUGAUGCACCUGCUUAAGUACAUCAAGCAGCUCAAAAGGUCAAACUAGGUGAUGCACCUACUUGCUUUCACUUGGGCAUAAAUAUAUUGGGCCUUGGCAGAUUUUGCUGCUGGACUUUAGUUUCAUUUUCCUUUAAUAUAACUUAAUUUGGGCCUCAAGUGAGUCCAUUAGCAUAGGCCCAAAUCUGAUCCAUAAACCUUUUCUUUUUUAACUAGAUCCAUAUAGCUCAAGUAGGUGAUGCACCUACUUGGUCCUUUUGACUGGUCAAUAAGUCAAAGUAGGUGAUACACCUACUUGUCACCUCCUAGCUUAGUUAAGUCAACCAAACAUCUCACUUAUUUUAUUCCAUUUCCUAAAUAUUAAUUCCUUUUUCUUUAACUUAGCACUUAACUUUCAACUUUAAGCUCAAUUACUACCUUACUGUCUCGAGUUUAAUUACUCCUGUUGGAGUUAACCUGCAGUACACAAGCUGAAACGUGCAAGGCAUCACAUCACCUUCCGAGCUAGUUUAAACCAACGUUAAUCAUAUAAGAAACAUAGUCCCUCGCCUAUACUAUAAGGCUAUGUCAAGUAUCACAAGAAUAGAACAAGCAUAUGCAUAAUACGGGCUGUUACAUACACGUAGAAUAUGGGCUGUUACAUACACGUAGAAUACGGGGUGUUACACCAGCGAUUAAUCACUUGUUUUAUGCAGAUGACACUAUUUUGUUUUAUUGAGCACAUCCUAACUCCAUGAAAAAGAUGAUGAAGGUGUUAAGAGGCUAUGAAAGGAUGUCUAGACAGAUGGUUAAUCUGGGCAAAAGUCUUGUUUACUUGCAUGAGAAAGUACCAGGUAGAGUUUGCAGGCAAAUAACAAUAAUUACAAGUAUUAAGCAAUGUUUUUUUCCAUUUACUUAUCUGGGUUGCCCCAUUUUCUAUGGAAGGAAGAACAGAUACCACUAUGAGGCUUUGAUUAAAAAUUGAUUAAGAGAAUCGGUUCUUGGCAAAACAGACUACUAUCUUUAGGAGGCAGGCAUGUCUUGAUAGCACAGUUGUUACAAUCUAUGCCAAUAUAUAUUUUAUCAGCCAUGAACCCAACAGCUGGGGUCAUUAACCAGCUGCAUAGAAGUUUUGCAAAAUUCUUUUGGGCUAACACAACAGGGGCUAAGGACACACAUUGGGUGGCAUGGGAUAAAAUGUGUUAUCCAAAAAAGGAAGGAGGUUUGGGGUGGAGAUCACUACAUGAUGUCUCAAAGGCACUCAUUGCUAAGCUCUGGUGGAAUUUCAGAACAUCCACAAACUCAAUAUGGGCAGCACAUAUGUGGAACAAAUAUUGCAAGAAAUACCAUCAUAUCCUAGCUCAGGGAUAUGGGAUUUCACAUGUGUGGAGGAGAAUGAAAGCAAUCAGGGAAGAGGUAGAAUAGGAAAUUUGGUGGCAAGUUAAGUCUGGUAACUCUAGUUUCUGGUUUGACAACUGGACUAAACAAGGAACAUUAUAUCACAUUGAAGAAGGGGCAAAAAAGGAAGAGGUCGAGGUCAAAGAAUUUAGCGCAAAUGAGAGGUGGAAUAGAUAAAAACUGCUACAGUUAUCUGUCAACAGAGAUGACAGAUUACAUCAUGGAGAGCAUCUCACCACCAAAUAUACAGCUUGGAAAUGAUGUAGCAUGGUGGAUGGCAAACUCACAGGGUAAAUUCAAUGUGGAGUCAUCUUGGGAGCUGAUGAGAAGUAAACAUGAACAAAUGAGGGACUAUGAAUUAAUAUGGAACAGAAGGUUACAAUUUAAGAUCAACUUUUUCUUGUGAAGAGUGUGGAAGAGAAGAAUUUUCACACAUGAUAACUUGAAAAGGAUGAAAAUUAACAUAGUUUCUGGAUGUUGGUGUUGUGAUUAGAAGGGGGAGGAAACAACAACCCAUUUAUUUCUAACAGCCCCCAUCGCUACUAAGCUAUGGAGGUUUUUUGCUAAUUUUGCUCCAUAAACAUAGAGGGGAUGCCUCUAAAACAACUCACCAUUGCUUGGUGGAAACAGGAGGCAACACACAAACUGAAGAGCAUCUAUAAAGUUAUGCCAGCCAUCAUCAUGUAGAGCUUAUGGAAAAGAAGGAAUGCUUUCAAACAUGGCAGUGGCAUUAGCUAUGAAGGAAUAGUGGACAUGGAAAUGGAAGUGGUCAGAUAGAUGGUGAAGAGUCUAUUCCCAUGGAUAAAGAAGAUAAGAUGGUCCUGACAGGAACUCAUUCUCAAUCUAAACAAUUUUAAGCCCAAGCUUCAUUUCUUUAGUGUCACUUGGAGACCACCGGAUGCGCAUCAAGUGAAAAGUAACACAGACGGGGCAUGAAGAGGAAACCCAGGACAGAGCUCCUACGGAUUUUGCAUUAGAGACAGUAGGGGUGAUCUAAUUUAUGCCAAAGCUUAAGGGAUAGGUUGGGCAACAAAUCAGGAAGUUGAAGCGAUGGCUAUGCUUUCAUCACUUAUAGAGUGUCUCGAGAGAAGAUUACAGGAUGUCAUAAUUUAGACGGAUUCACUAAGCCUCAAGAAAAUCAUCCUAAAUAUUUGAAGGUUACAUUGGGAACUAAUAGAGAAGGCAGAGAAGAUAAGGGAGAUAACUCAGAGGAUUCGUGCAACAAUUAAUCAUAUUUUCAGAGAAGGUAAUUUUUUGGCUGAUUCUUUGGCCAAUAUAGCCAUGGACUCACAAAUGGAGUACGAGUAUCACAACUAGCAGGAGCUUCCUCUAAAGGAACGAAGGAUACUCAAUUUGGACAAAGCACAACUACAAAAUUUUAGGAUUAGGACACGCAGGAUUAAUGCACAAUGAUUCUCAAUAUGAAAGUACAAGGAGAAGACAAGAGACAUCGAAUAAAGAAAGAGAUGCAUGAAGAUAGACAAUGCAGCAACAGUAAGCAUAAAUAUAUCAUAGAAACAAGGCAAGAGAAUAAUGAAAUUAUACAUGGUGAAGCUGGUGGAAGAGCUAGAUAUUACUAUAACAAGCAAAUUAUCCUCAACAUACAAAGGGGACAAGAUUAUUUUACAGAUAGAGAAGGCAAGUACAUAGCUAAGGAAUUUCAGUAGCUUCGAGUACACCCGCUCUACCUCAUCUCUCAUCAUUUCUUGGAGGAAGUACCACACAUACACCCUGAGGAAAGAAGCAAAGAUCAAGAACGAAAACACAGAGAAUGGAAAACAAGAAGAAGAUAUACAUACCUCGGCCUAAUCCAUCACAAUGCAGAGAUGCUUCUUUGGUUUCAGAUCAUGGAGGAACCGCCCAAGAAGGAAGAAAUGCAGUGAUUCCAAAGAGUUUAUCAUGGCAGCGGUAGAAAAAGAAAUGGGUCAGGUAACUUUCCAAUUUGGAGGCAGAUGUUGACUAAAGGGGAAAGAUAUUUUUUAGGAAGUGGUAGAAGAGAGUAUACCCAUUUUGAUUAUGUUUUGAAGAUUUGGGCCAAGGGCCUUGUACUGAGUCUAGAAUAAUAGAUUGAUGAAAUAAAUAUAUGUUAAAUUAGAAAAAAUAUUAUUUAUUAGUUCCAUUUAGCAGGAUUUAGUUUUUAUUUGUUUUGUCAAACUCACAAGUCACAAGAAGCAAAGAUGAGCAGAAAUGUAAGGGCUCAUCACGCGUGCUUUUGAAAUAUUUCCUUUUGCCUCCAUUCUUCCAUCUCUUUGGAUCAUUUGUUACUCUCAGUAGCAUCAAGAAGAUUAGCAAUUGAGGUUUUGGAUGUCGUUUUCCUUUUCAAGAAGAAUAGCAAUAGAGGUUUUGGGUGUCGUUUUCCUUUUCAAAAAGAUUAGCAAUGAAGGUUUUGGGUAUGGUUUUCCUUUUCAAGAAGAUAAGCAAUGGAGCUUUUGGGUGUCAUUUUCCUUUUCAAAAAGAUUAGAAAUGGAGGUUUUGGGUGUCGUUUUCCUUUUCAAGAAGAUUAGCAACAGAGAUUAACAAUUCAGGUUUUAGAAUUUCUCCUUUUCAUUCUUGAAUUGAGGGGUUAUACAUAUAAAGUUUUUCUUUGCUCUUUUUUUUAUUUCAUUCUUAUGAUAAGUUGAUGCUUUUUAGCUUCACCCAUUUUCCCUUUUCCUCUAUUCCAAAAUAUUGAUUAUCUUGUUCUUUUGGGUGUCGUUCCUAACCAGAUUUUUUUUCAACCUUAAUACAACUCUUCUGGAAUCACUAUUCUUAUGAUAGUUAAUGAUUGCUUAUGACUUUAGAUUCAAUGUGUAGCUGGGUCUGAUCUUGAAUUGUGCUUUUGUGUUAAAUCUUAAAUCUUAAAUUGUGUUCUUGGUUGAAUCUUUAAUUGUACAAAACUGAAUUUCAUGACUCUGUAAAUUGAAAUCAUUCAGAGUAAUUCCUUUUCUCGGCAGGUUGAGCUCACAGGGAACUAAUACCACUGCCAAAGUGGAGAGAAAAAUUCUGACCCAAUUGCAACUUUAACACACGAUCCAAUAAGUCCUUUUCUCUUCCAGUGAAAAUCUUUGUGAUUGUUGCGAGCCCUUACAGUUGCUGGAAUAAUAUCGUUAUUGUAGCAUUCUGAAGUUCUCAUUUUGACAUCUUUUUAGCCGUAUAUUGGGAAUUUAAUUCCGAUCCAUGUUUAUUAUAGCUUUUCCUUCAUUUUGGACUUCUUGUAUUGAAUUAUAUGUUAAUCUUUGAGUACCUACAAAAUGGAAAACUUGAUUAGCCAAAAAUAUCCGCCAGCAUGUUACCCUCCCUUAGUGUAUGCUCGAUUUCCACAUCUCUAUAUAUUACAUGGGACUUUCCAUAUUCCAUCUAGUGUUUGUUUGACUGCGAAAGAAUCAGUUUCAAGGAUAACAGACUGCAAAUUGUGUAAGAUACAAAAAUUCCAGUGCACUUCUCAAUGCCACUACUUCUACCUCUAAACUAGUAGCACUUUCCUAGCUUUUAGCUUCAACAAAUAUAAACUCUCUUGCAUCAUUUCUAAUGCAUAUAGCAAUUGCACUAGGUCCUGAAUUUCCUUUUGAAGCUCCAUCUGAAUUGUACUUAUAGACACCUCUGCUAGGUAGUUUCCACUUCACCACUUUACAUUCAAUUAAUGGGGUAUAGGCUUCAAAGAAUUUCACUAUAAGAGGAAAACUAUCAGGGAUGUUCCCCAACCAAGGAUACCUUGUAAUUGCCAAGUAGUGAAGGUUCCUAUUUUUUUUCAUCAUCAUACCUUGCACAAACAUCUUACCGCCAUGCCUUAUCAUAUUCAUCCUCUUCCAAAUUUUCCACAUUAUAAAAAUAGGGACAACAUUAAAAAGUGGUCUGAGUUUGACAUAACAUGUAGAAUUCCAUCAUGUAAACAUGGUGUCUUUUGGAUAUGGGAAAGGGCCUCUCAAACCUGUUGGUUCUGCAAAAAAUUUCCACAAAGUGGUAGCUACUUGACAAGUAAUAAAUAGAUACUCGUAGAAUUCUUUAGCUAAUGUUUCACAACACCUUACAUCAUCUACCAGGGCUAUUCAUAUUAGAAAUUCCCCAAUUAGGUGCUUUGUUUUUUCAUAACCUCCAUAUGAAAAAAGAGACUUUAAAAGGAAUUCCUUUUUUCCCAAAUGAACUUGAAUUCUUACUGUUACUUGCAUUCCUCAAAAUCCCCCAAGCACUAUUAACAUUGAAUUUUCCUGAGCUGUGUGCCAUCCACCAUAGCUUGUCCCACUCAUUUGUAUCCUCUCCACAUUCAACUUUCUGAAUAAUGUGAUUACACACCUGAUGUGCUAUUUGUUUUGUGCUGGAUCUUUGAUGAGAGUGUGAUUCUUUUCAUCCCAUUUUCUGAUGGUUUUCUCCUCUGUAGCAUCUAUAAAGGUAAAGCUUAGGAGCUGAUGUGGUAGUAGUUCUUUGGAUGAGAAGGACCUCACAUUUCUUACUGGCUCGAGCUUAUAGUGAUGCAUGAUUAACGUUUCAAGCACAACUCAUCCAAUUCUAGGUGCAAACGAUCAUUAAGCAAUAUAAAACCCAACAAUUGAGUUGGGGUCGAAUCCUACAGGGAACAGUACGUGUUCAAAUUCACCUAUGAAGUACAAAUGUGAUCUAACUAGCUAUUGAAUAGAUAUUAUCGGAAAAAGACAUAUCAAAUAAAAGGGGAGACAUGAAUGUCAAAUGGGGGUUUUUGGUUUGAAAUUAUCAAUUACAAGCAGUCAAAUAGUAAUGAGAAAACAGUGAGUUGAGGAAUUCUCGAGAUGUGAUCGAUUAUAGGUGAAUUUCGAUAUAUGGGUAAUUGAAACUACAAUUAAACAUCUAAAUAUCAGUGGGUAGGCUAGACUAUAAUUGAAAUAGUUUUCUCUCGAACAACUAUUCUGCUUCAAGUGAUUACUCUCGAACAUCAACAAGCAUAACAAUUAAGAACAACCCAAAACCUUAAUACAUCUUCUCUCUAGAGCAAGAUAGGUAGGACUGGGUUUAGGAUUUAUUCUCUCGAGCUGAACCUAAAUCAACCCAAUACAUACAAAUCAUUAAUCAAUAAUCUUUGUUCUAAAACCUCUCUCUCGCGCAAGCCAAUAACACUAAAAUAGAACUGCAUUUGCAACUACAAUUCAAAAAUUAAACCACAAUUAAUGAUUAAACUCACUUCAAUAUAACAUUUAAAGUAGUAAUUAACAAUACCCAUAAACUAAUUCAACCCAUAAUCAUAUGAUCACACCCCAAGAAUCGGGGUUUUAGCCGAACAUCAUAAAAAGAUAAAAAUCAUUACCAAAUUGAUUAGCCAUCAACUGGGUAAGAGGAAUUCAAGCUUUACAAUGCUCCUAUUCGAAGAAAAUUCGAAACCCACUUGCAAAAUCUCUAAAUUGAGUCUCAAAACCUUCAAGUCUACUAAGGAAAUUGUUCUAGACUGAGUGUAUUCUAAAAUUCGAUCAAUAAUAAUCUAAAACUUCAUACCAAUUAUGUAACGACUCAGAAAAUGAUAGGAUGAAGUAGAGCCUUGACGUUUGAGUUAAUGUGACCUUGAGUUGACGUAUGGGCUGUUUAGGACCUUUUGGCGAUGGACAGCCUUGGUCGUCCAAUGGGAUGGGUGAAUCACCCAAUGGCUCCCCACUUCGCCUAGUGGACUGCCCACCUAGUGAUCCUACUGGAAAAAUGGGCGAGCUAAGUGUUCACUUGGCGAGUCGCCUUGUGGACUUGGCAAUCCCAUGUUUCCAAAGGGUGACCUAGGUGCAUGAUCGCCGACUUGCUUGGCGUGUCCCUCUUUUCCCCUCCAAUCACUCAUUGGACACCCCCUUGAGUCAGCCACUGGAACAAAGGGUGGACCAAGUGUGCAUUAGACGAAUUGCCUAGUGCACUUGGCGAGCCCAAGUGUCCAAAGGGCGAACUCAAGAGGGUAAGGGGGAGAAAUUUUAAGUUAAAACUUUAGGGUCCUUAGUUCUUUUCCGAAAUUGACCCUACACUAUUUCAUUAUUUUCCUAGAACUUAUAUAACCUUAUUAUGACCUAAUUCCUUUCAUUUUAAGCACCUCCAAAUAUAAUUAAAAGAAACCCAUCUCAUCUCAAAUUUUCUCUCACUAGAAACCCUUCAAUAGAGAAGGAGAAGAAGGGAGCAAUAGAGGCUAGGGUUUGGCGAUUUCAAGGCCAUUUAUUCUCAAAUUUCUUGUGGAUUCUUCGGAUUAAGGUAUGGUGGCUCUUUAUCUAGGGUUAGCUUUCACCCUAGAGUCCUAUCAAAGUGUUUUUCAAAGCUUGCAAAAACUUCAAAACCUAGAUCUUUCACUCUUCAACAUAGGUUCAAACUUUUAUUGUUUUAAAUGGAUUUAUUAUGAAGUAAUGUGGUUGUAUUGAUGUUGAAUGGUGGUUUUAUGAAAAACCCUCUCAAAGAACCCAUGUUUUCCGAAAGUCUUCAAUGGUGCCCUAAGAAGUGGGUUUGUGGAUUGUUCAAGCAUGUGAUUAUGUGAUGCUUAAAUUGAAUGAGUUUAUUGAAGUAAUAUGAUUAUGCAUGCCUAAUUAUGAAGAAUUGUUGGUAUGUGGUGAUGUAUUGAUUAUGGCCUUGUAAGGCAAAUUCAUGAUUUAGCUUAUGUUGAUAUAGAAUGUGAUCUAUUGAUGUGUGAUCCACUUAUGGUGGAAGUGGUUACUUCCUAUGUACAUAAUGGUAAUUAAAUUGAUAGAAGUCUUCUUAUUACCCUAAAUGUGAAGAACAGAUGCAUGAAUGUGAUAUGAAAAGUGUAAGUAUGAACAUGAUAUGAAGAAUNNNNNNNNNNNNNNNNNNNNNNNNNNNNNNNNNNNNNNNNNNNNNNNNNNNNNNNNNNNNNNNNNNNNNNNNNNNNNNNNNNNNNNNNNNNNNNNNNNNNNNNNNAUGAAUGAAGAUGUUUGCAUGUGGAAGGUUUUCUUCCUUUUUAAUGUAUCUUGAAUUGGUAGACUUAGGUUUCCUUUUCUUGAAAGCAUGUAUGAAGUUAUAUGAUCAUGAAUGUUAUGAUGUGUUGAUUUGAAAGGUUAUUCUCAACUCUUUACUAAAGCAUGUUAAGGGAUUCUUAUAUGAAAGGUUAUUCUCAUGUCUGAAUCUAUGAGCUAUCCUCAUGUUGGGAGAGGAUGGAUUCCCAUACGAUAGUUGAGGCGGGGUAUCUAGUAGCAAUCCUUGGAGAUGGAUGCCCAUAUGUUAGUUGAGGCGGGGUUAUCUAGCAACAAUCUCUAUCCCCCAAAAGACUUAUGCAAGUUGGAAUGAGAUGGAUACCCAUACGUUAGUUGAGGUUGGGUUAUCUAGUAACAAUCUCUCUUCUUUAAUGAACAAAUGACAUGAAAUACUCUAUGAGAAUGAAGGCUAAGCACCGAGAGGUCAUUGAGUGGGAUGGAUGCUCUCACGACAGUUGAGGUGGGGUAUCUAGUAGCAAUCCUUUGUGAUGGAUGCCCAUACGUUAGUCGAGGUAGGGUGUCAUGUAGCAAGCUCUUUGUCCCUUAACUAUGUGCCCACAUAGGAUAGCUAGUGGAUCCAUUAGGCUAAUCACAGAUCGACCUUAGGCAAGUUGAUCACCUUUUUACAAUAUGGGGUUACAUGACACCAGAUUCUAUGAUUUAGCUCUCAUAGUCUAUGUCGGUUAAAUUCUUAUUCCCAUAAUGUGAGGUACCCAUUAUGGUUUCUUGAGAAGUUCUAUGACGCGUGCAUAGUUAUAUGGGAUGUUAUCCAUGCAUUUGCACGAUGAGGCUUCAAGAGGGCUAUAGUGAGAAUCUCUACUUCCUAAUGAAAGAAUGUGUUCUAAAUGAACAAAUAAAGCAAGUUACCUUUAUGUUUACAUGAUAGGAUGUACGUCUCGCAUGUCUAUAUGAAAUGAUGAAUGUCUUCCAUGAUAUAAUGUAUGUCGUAGUUGACCAAAUGAUAUGAAGAAUGUUUCACUUGAGUUGGUGAUAUAAGUUGUUUAGCAUGAUAUGUUGAAAUGCAAGGAGUCUUAUCUAUGGUGGCCUAGAGGAACACUUAGGUGUGGUGUGAAGAGGUAGUAUGGGAUGCCACUUCAUAUCUUACUUAACUGGGUCUUAGGGCUAUUAUAGAUAGGGACCCUAAGAUGAUUGAGAUGCCCUGCUUGAUGUAUAUGUUCUUAUAUUGUGUCUUGACAUUGAAGGAGCAUGAGGAGAAGGGUAAGUUCAGCUUUGGUGGAAUUGUGAUGAUAACGACUUGGUUGUUGGUAAUACUUGUAUUUGAUGCCUCUUAUUCAUAUGUUCAUGUAAUAUCUUGAAAUUGGUAUCAUGCAUGGUUUCCAAACCAAAAUGUCCGUUUUAGCAUAUUUUUGCAUGGUCAUCAUACUUAGUACAUUUUUGUGUACUAACUCCAUAUUUUCCUCUAUGUCUACAAGUGUAGGUUCCAGCAAGUUACUUGCUAGUUCUAGUGAAGACUUGGAUUGAGACUCCCAAAUUGGAGUGGUAUGUCGUCAUCAUUCGGGGACACGUUUUAGAAGCUUUAUGUUUUGUUCUACUUCUUCGUAUUAGACUCUUUCUAGUCUUUUCAAGCGUAAAGGGCCAUGACCCUACUUAUGUCAGUUUUUCUAAUAUUGUAUUAAGAUGGCCAUGUGAGAGAAGUAGAUUUCCGCUGCAAUGUUUUAAAUGUUUAGCAUGUUUUGAUUCGUAUGUUUUAAAUAAAAAGUUUUAAUUCCGUACAAUUUCUAUUAUCUAUGUGAUGAAUGAAUGCUAUGAGGCUUGUAUGAGGCCCUUCGGGGUCGAGUACGUCGUGUCGCAUCCGGGGCCUAUACUCAGGUCGUGACAAAUUAACUGUUUAAAAUCUAAUUUAUAGUCGCCAAAAAUAAGCCACGAAGGGCCAUUAGGCAAGGUAAGUCGGGUUAACCGAACCACUCGGCGAACCGCCAAAUACUCUCUUUUAUCGCCUUCCUACUUUUGCUCCCAGUAUCCUCGCAUCUUGUAACUUUGGGCGAUCUCUUAUUGGAUCGCGGAACUGCUCGGCGAUUCGCCCACUGCUCAUUUUCAUCGCCGACUUGGAUUUUUCCCUCAGGGCUUGGCACACUGGAACUUUAGGCGGUGAGAUUAGCCACACGGCUACACGCCGAGUGCUCUUAGCGAUCUUCAGGCUCGCCCUUCUUCAUUUCUUCAGUUUGUUUUGUUCCUUCUUGCCUGUUAGUGUCCUUGCUUUGCUCCUUAAAACAUAUACCUGAAAAUCAAGGUAGUAACAUCAAUUUAUAGCAUAAAUUACGCAUUUGAGGACACUAAAUCUAUCAAAACAAAGCCCUAAAUGACUCCAAAUCUCGGACUCAUCAAUGCAGUUCAGGGAGUCCCUCGUAUUCUCUUUUGAUAUUUUGACUGUGAGAACAUAAUCUCAUUUUUAGUUGGGGUGCCUCCCUUGUAGUCAUUUUGUUGAUAGUUUCUGCAUACAGUAAUUGUGCUCUUAUUGUGCAUACUUUUCUUUGGGAUCUAUCUUGGUGUCUAAAUAAUGGUUUUAACGAGGUGAUUUUGGAAGUAGACUCUGAGUUAGUGGUUCACUAGAUAAUCUGAUAAAUGGGAUCUAUCUUGGUGUCUAAAUAAUGGUUUUAUCCAGGUGAUUUUGGAAGUAGACUCUGAUUUAGUGGUUCACUAGAUAAAACAGCAAGCUCCUCCGCCUUAGAAUUUGCAGCAUGUUGUAGCUAACCUUAAGAGAACAUGUAAUCAGUUCCAAUCCUUUUCCUGUAAUCACACCUUUAGAGAGGCUAACUUUGUGGCUGAUGUUUUAUCCAAAACUAGCCAUAACAGUGAAGUCUCUCAACAUUACUUCCAUGUCCACCAGCUACCAAAAGAAGCUAUAGGAUACUACAUGCUGGACAGGAGUGAGAUGCCAAAUUUUAGAAGAAGAAAGAUGAUGAAGAUCAGAAAACCACCUUGAUCUGACAGCUUUCAUUAUGAUACAAAAAGGAACAUAUACUUUCAAGAAGAUCUUUAAAGGAAAAAUAUACACAAAAGGACAUCAGAAAAUCAACUAAACUCAAAUUCUCUAGAAUCCCUUGAAACCCAACCUAAGAUCAUUUUUAGUACUCCCUUUGUUUCAAUUUGUUUGUCUUACCUUACUUUUUAGGCUUUUUAAAAAAGAAUGCUUCUUUUCUAAUUUGAAAACUCCUUAAUUUCAUUAUCCUGCAUGGCAUGUUUGUGACCAGAAAAUCAAAGAACAUUUCAGUAUAGUAUACAGUUUUAGUUUAAAGACUACAAAAUUCAAACGUACUCUUAACUUUCUUAAACUUUGUGUCAAGUCAAACAAAGAUAUACAAAUUGAAACUGAGGGAGUUACAACAUUUGAUCAUUUUUAGUAUCAACUAUACAUAUAGGAUUACGAUAUUCCAUUAACAGCAAGAAGCCAUAUUCAAACAUGUAGUUGCAUUAACUAAAAAUAGUAAAUUCAGUAUAAGCAAUUCAUAAAAUUGCACUACUUGGGAAUAUUCUACCGGCGUCUCUCUCUCUCUCUCACACACACACACUAUCAGAUAAAGAAAGGAGCUUACUUUAGUAAUGUUGUUAGAACUAGAUUUAGACUUAUCAAUGAGCACAAUGUGAAUGAGGAAGAAAGUGUAUAUUUGGAAAGCAUUUUGAGAUGAUGCAACUCGAUCAGCAAGUGAACACUCAUCCUCUUCACUAUCAUUCCUCUCCUCAUCAACAUUUCCAUCCUUCUUCAGAGACACCCUCCAGAGAGAAUCCACAGUACGGAGCAGCACACUGAUAUUGGACCUAAGUGACUCCACAAGAUUGAGCUUACAUCCAGGAGUAAGGCAAGGAAACUCCUUCAUUAAGGAAUACACAAGAUCGAACACAUCCUGCUCCUCCAUGUAGAAUAGCUCUUUGUUAGAUAAGUCAAAGGAUACACAAGUUUAAUUGCAAACAAAAAAUAGCAAAUUUAGGGAAAUUAGUUGGAAAAAUCAAAAAAGAAUGACAACCCAGAUGGAAAAUUCAAAAAGAUAACAAAAAAAAAGAACCCAGAUGGAAAAAUGGCAAGGAAUGUGAACCAAGUAGGAAAAUCGAAAAAAGAAUUUGAACCCACAUGAAAUUUCAAAAGAGAUUGAAAAUUUGGUCUUGGGAGUUUCGAUAAGAUGAAAACCUAAGAUGGGAAAUACAUACGAUGAAUUCUUCCAAUUCAGAUGGACAAAGAGCACUACCUAAAGUGGGAUUUUGAAUUGAGGGGCGGCUGAAAUAUGAGUCUUCCUCUUCAAGAGGGCCUAAACAUUUUUGGAAAUAUGAAAGAUUGAGCCAUUUAAGAGUAAGGUUUGAAGAUUUCUAUAGCGUAAAAUGGUGGGAAUUUUCUGAUCUGAUUUUGAAUAAGCAUAAAGCGAUAAAGAAUGGAGGCGGGGUAGGGGUGAGGAGUAGAGUUUGAAAUGGGAAAUGUGGGUGUACGAGAGAGAGAAGAUGAAGCGGAAAGGCACAAAAUUAAAUAUUUAAUUGCCAAAACCUAGGCAGAGAAUGCACCAAUCUUAGCCAAUGAGAGGCAAGCAAAGGCCUUGUAGCAACUUUUAACCUAGUAAUCAAUAUGAUAUUGGCAUAGAAAAAAAUGUGUACACUAUUGCUAGGCUUGUUAUAUCUUUUAAAGGGGCUUGGAUAGAGAACUAGAACAAUAACAACUACUAUGUCUCAAUAUUAAACAAGUUGGAUUCACGAACAAAAAUAACUUUGUAGAAAGACCAAAAUCAAAUGUGGAACAAAAUAAAUUCUUAAAAUAUUGAGAAUUUAAUCCCAUAUGAUCCAUAGAAUUGCCUCAGAGUGUAUUGGAACUCAAUCCACUGAAUGAUUAGGCUUAGAGCACCAUUGACCAUAAAAAAAGUUAGCAUACAAUGCAGUUGUUAGGAAAGUCAACUGUCCCGAUGUAAUUGAAAAUGCAAGGAAACGCUUAAUUCUAAGAGGGUGGUCUAGGACCUUCGCCAGAACCUGGUUAUUAUUCUAGUGGAAUUGGAAGUAUCGAGAUUUUGAUCACUUUUGAUGCUAUUCUUAGCUCUGGAUGUAGUGGAAUUUGAAGUAUCAAGAUUUUGAUCACUUUUACUGCAGUUGUUAGCUCAGGAUCUAGUGGAACCUGCAAAUGUACAAGUGGAAUUGGCUUCACUCAUUUUGUCUAUACAGUUUGCACAUUGACUUUGAAAGUUUUAUCAAUCCGUUUCACUACUAGCCUCUUUAUAUAUCUCCAGCUCUCUCAGUAAAAUGACUUUAGAGCUUUUUUAAAUCAAUAUCUACUCAUAAAUGUACAAUUCUGAAAAAACCCAUCAUUUAAAUUUUAUAUGGAUUUUCGAAAGAAAAGUUAUAGUGAAGGAUCAACUAUUUAUUUAAGUUACUACCACGUAAUAACUUGUUAACAGAUACUACCUCCUCUACAUUGUUUCUAAAUUAUUUGGAUGAAUAAAAGCACAACUGACUUGUAUAAAUUAAAGAGACAAAGCAUGAAGCUCUAGUUCCCUCCACCAAAAAUAUUUUGAAAAUGAGAACUUUGUAAACGAAACAUGAAAUAGCAAUAACUACAUAAAUAGGCAAUAGAUUUGGAGAAAACUACCUUUAGUAAUUUCAGAUUCACCAAUUUCCUCUUCUUCUUUUUUACUCACUGUGAGGCUCUCGAAGCUUUCCACUUUCUGUUGAUGGCUUUGAGUAUUUUUGGCAGUAAGUUCUUAUUCCUUCCUCUCAAUGUUGAAUUUAUUCAACUUUUCUUCAAACUCCCUAAUGCAUGAUUCGAGUUCAGGUUUAGCAAACUUCUUCCCCUAAAUGAAGACAUUCAAAUAGGCAGAUAAAGUUCACUUUAUUUCCUUAAGCGCAUUCACAAAAGGUACUUUCCCUACCAUAAAUUGCAUUUUCAGCUCUUGACAUCUUUUUGCCUCAAGUUUACUUGGUUUCUUCAAAUAUCUCCUGAAUCAACUCUCCAUUUCAUUUUCCUGCAAAUAUGACGGAAAAAAAACCACAUUAAAAGCACCAAUUCUAAACUAAAGCAAGCCAAAAUAACUACAAAAAGUGCCUCAAAUGAGUGGAAAUCCACCACUCAUCAACACCCCCGACUUGAAAACUUUGUUUGUCCUCAAGUAAAAUAAAUCAAAAACACAAGAGGCUGUUAUUUCAAAACACACCACAACUCAAUUUCCCUUUUUAAGCACAAAGGUAAUGACUUCGAUUGGUACUAACAAAUAGUCCACAUGUAAAAUUUUCUCAAAAGAAAUCCUCUCAUUCUCAUGAAACAUUUUCAAAAACCAAGAAUCAUUUAAGUGACAACAACUCAAACUCAAGAAAUGACUCAACUCAUUAACUCUUUCGCAUGCUCACUUGACUCAAUUAGGAAUUUUUUAAAUCACCACUUUUUUAACUUACUUGCCCUCACAAGAAAGAAGUGUCCCAAAACCACACACACAUAUAAACAAGACAAGGGACAAAGAUGCAACACUCACGCUCACAAAGAAUCAUCUCAUGCACACAAAUGUCACACCAUAGGCUUUCCCAUAUUUGCAAACAACAUUGACUCAACUCCAUUUGCUUAGAAAUCUCAAAGGACUUUGUGUAUCAUUUACAUGAAUCAAGUUAUAUAUGUAUCUUCAAUAUUGAUACAUAAAUCGUAAUGUUCUAUAACUGGAGCACUGUUUAUCAGAUCCAACAAUAAGUAUACUAUACAUAUCAGUGGCAAUAUUUUACUACCAGAUACAUACACCCAAAAUUAUUCAAUUUUAUGGUCAUGAUACAUAAAUACAUAAAAGUUAAUACAUGUAAAUCUAUCCAGUUUCUCUAUCAAUGUUGUAUUCUUCUACUUUCUCUUUUUUUCUAAUUUGAAAGGAUCUUCGAUGAACUAGAAGAUUCACAAAAGAAAUCGUUUGUCCAACAAUAAUUCCAUCACAUUUGUAUCCUUCAUAACUCACCUCACUUAUCCAAAAUUUCGAUGAGAGUUUUUGAAUCAAAUCUUAAAGGUUUCUUUGUUGAACAGGGGGCCGAAGCAAUUUCAACUUUUAACUUUCUCCGUUCUUUUACGAUUUGCAUCUAUAUGAUUGAAAGCAAGAAGAAAUGUAAGAUGAUCGAAAUAUUCAGUAUGUAUUUUAUGAAAUUUUCAGAUAAUGGAUGAAACAGAGAGAACGAUGAACUUGAAGAAGAAAUUUGAAUUUUAAAUUUUUGGUUUGUUACGCUCUAUGAUUUAAUCCUUCACAAUAAUUUGGAAUGGAAUAGCACAAUUUAUUGGAUCUUAAUUUGAUUUUAAGUUUUGUUUCCCCCUUAAUUAGCACAACAAAUGGAUACUAUGAGAUCUUAGUUUUAUUUUCAUUUUUUCCCUUAAUAAGCACAACAGAUUGAUAAAUAAUGUAUCAACAAUAAUGUAUCCGUAUCCUUAUUUAUGUAUCCGGAUUGCCUAAAAACAUGGGAUUUGUGUAAUUAGAAAAAGAGCAGGGAUAAAAGGUAAUUUAGGUUUUACACUAUGGGAUUUAUGUAAGUUAUAUACUAAUUUUAAUGGGUUGUGGGAAGUAGCCAUUUGGGGAGUGGGAUGUAGGCAUUCAGGGCUCAAGGCAUGAGUGCAUGUAAGUAAAUUACAUUUAGAUUUUUUUAUUUAACCAAAUUAAAUUAUUAAAAAAUUGAAAAUCGAACCGAAAAAACUAAAAUUUCAAUAUUUUAAAUUGAAACUGACCGAGUCAAAUUGAAAUCGAAAUUUAAAAAGAUUUUGUUCGAUCGAUUUUUUUUUAUUCGAACCGAAAUAUGUCCAGCCCUAGUGAUGAUGUACAAUAAUUUAUUGUACAUAUAUUAGUGAUGAAAACUUGAAUACAUACGAAAUUAUACUAGAUGUCCCUCAAAGUGUUUCAUCUUGAUUUUUUGUCUCUCGUAGAAAAAGUCUUUAAGACUACUAUUUUUUCUUGAGUAUCCCUUUUGAACUUGGCAGCAAAACUUACUUUAGCAUUUUAACUAAACAAAUGUUUAAAUACCUCUUAACAAAUUUCAAGUUAAUUAAAUUACACCCUAAGGGGUGAAGUGACAGAGUGAGUUGACUCACUCUCCUAAAUGCGCGUGAAGAUAUUAGAAAAACUAGAUUUAUAAAAUCACACAUGUCUUUUCACUUCAACUUUGUUCACUAUUUCCAUUUCACCAAUCCUUUAGUAGUCCAUAAAAUCCAACACCAAUAUCUUUUAUUGACGUCAAUUUCACAAAUAUAAAAAAAAUUUACAUAAAUUUGAGUGACUUGUUUUUAUUUUUUUAAAUUUUCACAAGACAAAUUCGAGGUGGGGGAGAGGGGAGAGAUUCGAAGAAGAAAAUAUGGUAUUAUAGUAGUUCUUUUCUGAGGCUAUUUAAUUUUUUUUGGAAUUUUUUGAGUGAUCUAUUAUAAUUUUUUAAUUCUCACAUGGUAGAUCCAAAGAGGGAAAAGUGAGGGGAGGGCAGAGGAGGAAUUCAAAGAAGAUAAUGUUGUACUGUAAUGGUUCUUCUCUAAAGCUAUUUUUUUAAAAAAAAUUGUGAAGAGGUGGAAAAAAGAGCAGUGAAGGGCUGGAAAUGAUGAAGAACAAAGAAGUGAGGGGGAGGGGAAAUAAAAAUGGGUCUUUUAUUUAAGAAAAUAUAUUUUAAAUUAAUUAAUUAGUGUAACUUAAUUUUAAAAAGUGUUAAAAAUGGUAAAUAAACAAAAAGAAAUAAAUAAAAGUAAUGAAGUGGCGGUGACGUGGCUAUGUUGUGGCGCUUACAUGGCUAUGAAGUGGAAGGUAAGAGUGGUAUUAUAUUCAUUUCAAAGAUGUUAAGGGGUAUCUAAAUGUAUGUGUAGUUAAAGUGUUAAGGUAAAUUUUGUUUCCAAGUUCAAAGGUGAUUUGAUGUAUUUUCUUAUUUUUUUCUUCUUUAUGUAUAAAAUAAAUAUAAUUUUGUCCCUCUAUACCUCAAAUGUUUUUAAACAACCUCCAUGUUCAAUUGUCUUUCAACCUCUUUUCUUCUUCUUUUUUUAUUUCUGUGUUUUAUUUUUUUCUUUUAUUUAUAAUUUUUUUUUUCUCUUUUUUUUUCUCAACUCUUAUUAAUUUUUACUAAUGAAUCAAAAGUUGAGUAGAAGAUCUUCUUUCUUUAAUGUAACGAUCCUUCUAGUCAUUUUGUAAAUUUUACUUAUUUUGUUUUUAAUAAAUAGAAAGGAAAAAGAGAAAGAGUUUUAUAGUUUAAUUGGGAGAAAGAAAAGAAUAAAUGGGCAACGCCCAAAAGAAAGAAAAAAAGGCGGAUGAUUUAAUCUAUAUAUCUAUCUAUCUAAUCUUAAAAGUAUGAACUCCCUAACUUGUAUGUUAAAUUACUAUAAUACCCCCAACUUAAAACACUCAAUUUAGUAUAUAUUCUAUAUUUUGUAUUAUAUUAUAUUUAUUUUUCUAUAUUAUAUUAAAAGUUGAAACCUUUUCACAUUGAUCAGUAGUGACUUUUACGAAGGGUUCUGACUUUUUGUAGUGUUGUGACUUUUUUCAUUUGUUAUGAUAUUUUCAAAAAGUUGUUAUUUAUCUUAUAAGGCACAAUAAGCAUAUUUUGAUACUAUCCUUUGUUGUCUAUAAAUAGAGAGAUUUUCUCACACUUUUAAACUACGAAUUUUGUAAUUUUCUAUUCUUCUUAAAUAAGGAAGAUUGUGAGAGUUGUUCAAUUAUGUAAUUACAAUUUUUUUGCGGGUAAAUUACGUAGAUCAACAAAAAUUGAUGCAACAAGGAGAAUGGAAUAACUCAACUUCAAACGAGAAGACUAUCUAGAUAAUUAAUAUGUACUCAUUCCCAUAGCCAUAAAUAUACUUUUGGAGUAACUUCUACUUGACAAGAAGUUCAAUGAUUUUUUGUUGCACAAACUAUAAUUUGGUGUUCAAGCUGUGAAAAGUCUUAAACUGUUGGAGAAAAAGGAUUUGAUCAAAAACUUGUUUGAAGAGUCCAAACUAGAUUUAAUAAGUACUCCUCCGUUUCAAAUUUAUUUGUUGUACUUUUAUUUUUAUUUAGUUUAAUAUACAGUGUUCUUUAUUCUUGGGGGUGAGGGCUCAUCUUUAACACCAUAAAGUAUAAAGACAUUUUUAUAUAUUCUACAUAUCCUUAGAUUAAAAGUCUUAUUUAUUUUUAAAAUUUUCAUAUCAUAUUAAAAUUAGAAAAAUCUAUAUCUAUGUUUUUUAUCUAUCUAUACUAUCUUGAAAGAAUGAACUACCUAGCAUAAAUGUUAAAUUAUUAUAAUACCCCCAAAUUAAAACACCAAAUUUAGUAUAUCUUCUAUAUUUUAUAUUGUAUUAUAUUUAUUUAUUUAUAUUUUAUUUGUCACGACCCAGACCGCCGUGAUUGGCACCCACACUAGCCCUCCGGUGGGAGAACCGUUACUAACCUUUGUCUAACACCAUCUACGAAUAACACGAAUAAAAGUCUUGGGACGCAACCCAUAAUACGUCUAAAACAUAAAAAAUAAAAGAAAAAAUAAAAAUAAAAAAAAGGUAAUGCGGUUGUUGUCCUCUAAGCUAUGAGGACUCACCAAGAUAUUCAACUCCUUGCAACCUCUAGAAGUCUAUCUUCCAAGCAACUCAAGUCUCCAGACCCUACAUUUGAUAAGAAUGUAGGCAAUAUGCGUUAGUACAAAAUGUACCAAGUAUGAAAGCUAGCACAACAUCAUAAAAGCAUCUUAAAUGGUUAGUCAACAUAAGACAUAAGCAUAAGAGAUAAUAAAAUAGUCAUAACAUAAUCAUCAAAAACAUAGCAUGGUCUCUAUCAACAUAAGCCAACAUAAGACAUAGUUAAUGAGCAUAGGAGACAAUUCAUAAUCACAUAAGCAUAAUUGACCCUUGGUCAUCUAUACCAUAAUAGCACCAUUCUCAAGUAACCUCAAAAGUAUAUAUGUGCAAAGCAAGAAUAGCAUCGCAUAAUAACACCCAAGGCAAGUAUCCAUUUUUAGUCAUCUUAAUCAUAGUCUAUAUGCAUGGUUAUGUCUUAAGUCUUUCUACCAUAAGGUCACCAUACUUCUAAGUAACCUCAAGACACACUUACGCAAUGCAUGAGAGGAUCCCACACUACCCUUCACACUAAGCAUAGCCUGGAAGUCAUCUUAGUCAUACUCACCCUCCAUUGGUUCAUUAUUAGCUUAACUAUCAUAACUAAGGGAAUCUCUCACCUUUAGUCAACUAUAGUAAGGAAGGCAACUAUGGCACAAUCCUAUCUCAUUCUACUUCUUUAGUAACCCUAAUUCAUACUUGUGCAAUGCAAUCAUAGAAUCCCAUAAUACUAAUCAUGCUAAGUACCACUUUUAGGUCCUCUUACUAUAGCUUCUUGGUUGGGAACCUCGUUCCUCUCUUUAACUUUAGAACACUAUGAGGUACUCUCUUAAGCACAUCUAAGUUCAUCACUUGCUUGAACCCUAUUAGAUACCACUUUUAGCAUAUAUUGGUUCAUCAUCAACAUGGACCCUAUGAGAUACUAUCUUAAGUAUGUCUAAGUCCAUUCAUGCUCUUGAACACUAUGAGGUACUUAUUUACGUAAGUCUUAGUUCAAUUAUUCUUUAGAACACUAUGAGAUGCUUCUUCAAGCAUGUCUAAGUUCAUUGGAUAUGGAGAUUGCUACUAAGGACCUUAACUCAACUAUGUGAAGGCCCCCAUCUCAUGAGACCUAACUUUGGGAAAACCCACACUCUACUACGUAAGAGUUACCCCUUUAACUUGGAUAGUCCUCACAUCAACUAGGUGUGGCUCUCCUUUCGCCUUGGAGUCCGGAUCCUAUCUUGUGUGACACUCCAUCUCAUUGUCAAUAUCCACUUGGAGCCAAGCAUACACCCCAAGAUUUACUUGUUAAGCCUUGCUUAACACUCAUCUCUCAUGGAAGGAUGUCCUUGACAAUCCAUCCAUGUUCAAGUGAUUCUAUCACUUCAUACUUCAAACAUUCAUAAGGUAGGAGUCUUCACUCUUAACAACUCUACAACAUGAAAGCAUCUUACGAACCUAGGUUUCAAGGAACUCAACCACAUUCUUCAUAACUUGGUGAUUCUAGCCACAAUUCAUCCUAAAGGUUCAAUUUCAACAUUACAAGCCAAGAUCAAUCCUAUUAUAUUAGGUCUAUUUCAGUUCAUGAUUAUAUGACCCUAACUUUGAUCAAUUACUACUCAUGACAUUAGUCUAGGAAGAUUACUCAUGAACCUUCAAAUUCCUCUCUAAUGGCAUCCACCCACAAAACAUGAAACUCAUCAAGUAAACCCUUUAACCUUUAAAAUCACAUAAUUUCAUCAUAAUAUCACAAUUCAAUGCUAAAUCAACCAUAAAAAAUAUUAUCCAACCCUUUGGAAUCAUACCCAACUAUACCCACACUUGGAGAAACCCUAGCUUAGAUUGGGGUUCUUCUUCACAAAUUAGGGGAAAUUCUUAAGGUACUCUAUGGGUGGAAGUGUCAUACCCCAACCCUAGGUAAGGCGGACAAGUACCAUAUGAACACAUACUUUACAAGUGACCUAUGAUUAUAAAGUAAACUACUAUGCAGAUAGAUUUACUGAUGAGAAGCUUCAUAGACAACACAUGUUGACUAGCUGAACCGAUACAUGUGAUAAGUGAAACUAUGAAUACAUAUGAUAACUUUACAAUGUCUACAAAGCUUCUACUAGAAUAUAUAAUUGUACCACUAUGAAAAUAUACAUAGUAAAGACUCGGCAAAGCCCCAAAUCAACCUGGAGCUCACCAACAAUCGCUGAGUAUCAUGUGUUUCUAUUGGGGAGAUUACUCGUUGAAUACAUGUACCUAAAGCAUGAAGUGCAGUGUCCCUAAUAAGGGACGUCAGUACGAAAGAAUGUACUGAAUAUGUAAGGCAUAUUACAACCAUAUGUAAAAUGAGAGCUCAAGUGAAACCAAAUGCCAAUAGAUAAAGAUUAGAGACCACCUUUGCUUAUACUUGUGGAAUCAUGUAUGUUACAUUCUUUUCUUUACUUUUCUGUGCAUUAUAAUCUUUAUAAGGCAUAUGAUACAAAUGACCAACUGAUCAGCGGUAGAAGAGGAUGACCCAUGCUAGGAAUUUUAACCCCUGGGAUGCUAUCCUCAUAAUUCCACAAAUUGGGAGCGGCCCAUACUAGGCUUUCGCCCUUGAGCAGCCACCCUUCCAUACAAUUUGGGAUCGGCUCAUGCUAGGCUUUCGCCCCUGAGCUGCCACCCUUCUAUANNNNNNNNNNNNNNNNNNNNNNNNNNNNNNNNNNNNNNNNNNNNNNNNNNNNNNNNNNNNNNNNNNNNNNNNNNNNNNNNNNNNNNNNNNNNNNNNNNNNNNNNNNNNNNNNNNNNNNNNNNNNNNNNNNNNNNNNNNNNNNNNNNNNNNNNNNNNNNNNNNNNNNNNNNNNNNNNNNNNNNNNNNNNNNNNNNNNNNNNNNNNNNNNNNNNNNNNNNNNNNNNNNNNNNNNNNNNNNNNNNNNNNNNNNNNNNNNNNNNNNNNNNNNNNNNNNNNNNNNNNNNNNNNNNNNNNNNNNNNNNNNNNNNNNNNNNNNNNNNNNNNNNNNNNNNNNNNNNNNNNNNNNNNNNNNNNNNNNNNNNNNNNNNNNNNNNNNNNNNNNNNNNNNNNNNNNNNNNNNNNNNNNNNNNNNNNNNNNNNNNNNNNNNNNNNNNNNNNGAAAUCGAAUAGCCUUACAUACCUUGCUAUACAAUUCAAAAAGUAUGACUUAAGCUCCUUCUCUUCAGAUUACUAAUCUACAAUAAAAUAAGUUGUAAGACUAGUAUUAGUAGCUAAUCAGUCAAUUGGAGCUACUUGAUCUCACCUUAAUAAUAACCACGCAGUAAGCAUGCAAUUUAUCUAGUAAAUGUUUUAUUUCCUUCCCUUUCCCUUAAAUCGCGUUUGUAUACUGUACAACCUUCGUAUCAGGUCCUCCCCAAACCUCCUUGCAAUAUUUAAGUCCUUUAACGUCUCCAUAACUUACCCGCACAUCCAGUCACAUCCCUUAUCAUAACAUACAUAAAACAAUCCUUAAACAUAAUAAUGUAACAGAAGCAAUAUGAAUCAUGGUUUCUGAUCACCAACACUUGAAGAGCUAACAUUACUUUUAAAGUGCUCAAACAAGCUCAUAACUGAAUUUAAAGAGGACUCCCCUCCAUGGCUGUCCCAACAUGCACUAAUCACCAGAACAUCCUCCCCAAUAUUACACCAUGUAAAAGUAACAAUUUCUAACUCACUAACACAUACCAAGUGUCCUAAUUAACUCAAGCACAAGAGGAAGAAUAUUGCAGUAGGUUACCUUGCUUGACGGGACUACCACUUGUUAAGACUUGGAUUCUUCAAGGUAAAGGUUGUCCUCCUUAACUUGUGUUAAAUUAUACCUUCCAAUAGCUUGAACUCCCUAAUAUUCAAGAACCCUAAUGGUAUUUAAUCGUUGAUGUACGAAGUAAGAGAGAGAAGAGAGAAAGCUCUAGAAAUUAGAUUUUUGGCAAAGUAAAAAUGGUUGGACAAGGCUGAUAUCAAUCCCAUUUACAGGGACCUGCUUUGGCCGACUUUCUCACUAAUUUUGGGCCAUAAUUUUUCAAAUAGGUGACCCACCUACUUGGACUUUUCACUUGGGCCAUUUUGGACUUAAGAACAUUGGGCCUUUUGCCACCUUUCUUGUACUUCAUUUGCAGCCAAAUAUGUGUCUUUAAUUUAGGCCACACAUUUAAGUAGGUGAUGCACCUACUUUUCCAUUCAAAUUAUUUCUUGUGGGCUUGGAAAGAUUGGGCCUUGGAUAUCCAUUUUUCCCUUUAUUCUUCUAUUCAACUUGGGCCAGAUUAAUACAAGUAGGUGUAGUGUACUUUGCCCAAUAACAUGGUCAAAAGAGUCUUAGUAGGUGAUGCACCUACUUGGUCCUUUGAGCUGGUCAAUAAGUCAAAGUAGGUGAUGCACCUUCUUGUCACCUACUAGCUUAGUGAAGUCAAGCAAGCACCUCAAUAUUUUAUUCCAUUUCUAGACAUUAAUACCUUUAACUUAACUUAAAAACUUAUAUACACUAUGUCACCUUAAACUUCAGACUCAAAUACCACCUUAUGAUCUCAAGUUUAAAUACUUCCAUCGAUUUCAACUUAAUCGGGUCACAUUAAAAUCUACGGACAGUUCACUUUAAAUCUAUUAUAUUUUCACUAGUUGCAUAGGAAACCGAGUCCAUAAAUAUACCACAAGGAAAAUUUUAAGCGUCAUAUAAAUAGAACUAGUACACAUAGAAUACGGGGUGUUACAUCCUUCCCCCCCCCCCUUAUGAUCAUUCCUCCUCGAAUGAUGGGUGAAGCUGAUAGUUUGGUUAACCUUGGAAUUUCAUUUGGAGAUUUGUGAGAGUUCCCAUUAUAAAUAGGACUAUCCAAAAUCCAUAGAUUAACCUAAAACACGUAUAGACAAGUAUAGCAUGAAGUCUCAAUAGAUAUGGUUCAUAAAUAAUAAUAUGAUAAAUUAAACCCCUUUCUUGACCAUGUAAUUUACUAAAUAUACACAAGUGGAACUCAUACAAAUAAGGACUCUAAUAUACCUAAACACAAGACAUGCAAAUGACAUAUCAAAUGAACAAAUGAUAGUAGGAUUCAUGAUCAUAUAAGGGGACCACAUGAUCUCCGAUCCUUAUGUUGAUGUUUAGAAUGAGGAGGGGUACUUAGGAUCUCUACCAUCUUCUACUCCCAAGUAUCUUAUGUUAUAUUAUAUUCCUUCCACAAUACUUCAAUGGAGGUUACACAUUUUGAGCUUAGCUUUCGGGCCUUAACAAUCAAGAAUAACUAUAGUAUCUUCCAAUUUUUUUGUAUAUGGAACGGACACAUAAAAUCAUAGGCCUUACCUAUCAGGUCACUACUUUCCUUUCUCUUUUAUCUCAUGACGCUUUUCAGUGGUAAGUCUUAUAAGAACGCAUAGUUGUUAAUAUAAACUCUAAAGUUUUAUGCCGCACUUUCGAAUAGGGUAUUAUGCUAAGUUAUUUAUCUAUGGUUGUGAUUAAAUUUACAUAUAUGCCCAACCUUUUCUGGUCAAAAUCUUCACUACAUAAUGAUACAAGGAAACAUUUUUUCCAAAUCAUUCAAAACUCAAAUCAAUAAGCAUAGAGGGGCAUUGUAUAUGAAUAAAUAAGUCACAUUGGGCAUGACACAUAGGCAGACUAGCCCAAAAGGGAGCGCACGGUAUACGGGCAUUAAGCUAUAGAAAUACGUGGUCUAUGCGCGCAUAUGAACUAUAGGGAAGUAUGUGAACGAAUGAACUAUAGGGAAUGUAGGAAUGGACUAGAUGAGCACAUGAUGCAUGAGUACAUAAGCUAAGAAAUAUAUAAUACGUAAGCAAGUCACUAUAUGACAUGUAGACAUAUAAGAUAUGACCAAGUGAGCACAUGACACAUGGCUAGAAAAGUUAUAAGGCAUGUAAUGUUUAAGCAAGUAGGUUAUGAGGCAUGUAAAAUAUAUAGAAAUGGUCAUAUAAUCAAUUAGCCUGUAGUACCCACACAAUAUGGACAAGUGACAUGUGGAAAGUAACUAGUGCAAUAAAUAACAUGUAGGGAAAAGGUCCUACGAAAACAUAUAGCAAUAUAAACAAGGGUUCUCCGGAGAGGAUAACACUUACCUGCAAGCAUUCAAUGACAUUAGGUAACAUGUGAGAAAGUAAUCCACAAAAAGGCAAAUGACAUACAAAUAGAUAAGUUAUAGAACAUGCAACAUGUAUAAUUAUAUAACAAACCAUCAUUGGAAACUAUGAGAUAUCCUAUAGAACCACUCUACCACAUUAAGGUCAAAUACACUGUCUUAAGCAUUAAGUCAUGGGUGGGAUAGUUCUGCUCAUAUUCCUUACUCACCUCAAAGCACAUACAAUUGAUUUUCCCAUCUACUCUCUUCAAUCUCCUAAGAAUUCUUAUAGGUGUUUUUCUAUUGGGACUCUUCUUCCCUCUAGGUCAAUAUAAAUACCACAGUUAAGAUAGAAAAAGAAAAUCCUCAAUAGUUCAUCUUUUGGAGUAGGAGGCCGAGGUCAACUUUGCCUUCAUUACUAGCUUGUGUUAUAUCACACUCAAUGUUUGGUGCCUUUUGAGGGUCGAAAUAGAAAAUAAAUAGUGAAGCUUGAACGCACCAUAAAACAUGAACUAUAAUAACAUGUAAAUGUAAGGUACCUAUAAAGUUAUGUCAUGAUUCAUAAAAUCUUAGAGUUAGAAUCCCAUUUAGGCUUAACUAGAUAGGACUGGCCAUACUAAUAGUUUUUUUUUAAAACAAGUGAGGGUGCUCCAACUCUUUUCCCAAGAAAGAUAGUGAAUAAGAACAACUAGCAUAUGAUCAAUUUUUCCUCUCCCUUAACUGGACUAUGACUGACGAAUUAUUGCAGGCAUUUAUUAAAUUAACCCUGUAGUAGCUCUAUUCAAUUGGAUGGAAAUCUAUACAUGUGUAUAAUGUUUCUACUUCUCUUUUGUACUAAUGAUAUGGAUGAACUAGGCCCAUGUAUCUUCUAUCUAGGUAACCUUUCUAUUCACAUCUUUUUUUUCUUGUUGUUAUCAAGACCAAAUAUCAAGACUUGAAUCAAUACAAAAUUGACUUCCCUGUCUAACAAAAGUUCACAAAGUUGUUCCCAGAUGUGCCAUUAUAACUUGUUAGGGUUGAAGAGUUGAUACCGUAUCACCCCUACUCCUUUGUUUAGGGAAUUUGAUAUAUCCCAUCUCUUUCUAACUAGAAGAUCUACGUACAUAUUCGGCCUGUGUCAUUCAAGCUUCAUUCUCACAUACUUCCUAUCUAACAAGAAUCUUUUAAUCAAAACUAGUAGCUUCAUGUACUCUAAUCCCACUAUGUACAACCGACUAAUCACAACUUAGGUCUAACCAAUCAAUUUUCCUUUUGUUAACCUUACCCUUUAGUCACAUACUAAUCCUCUAUAGCCAACACAUAGAUCAUAAUAGGAACUACCAUACAUAUAUCAUUUUCAGCAAUUGGCACACUUAUCCCUAAGUUUUAUAAACAUAAAAGAAUACAAAUGUUAUUAGUACUUAUUCGGGGUGGUUGGAACAUACCAUAUAAAACCAACUAUUAACAUAUUCGGGAUGAUAUAUGGUGAGAAUUUAGGCCUUGUCAGCCAAUUAGGGGUAUCUCUAGUAACACUAUUGCACUGAUACAUUCAGCUAUCAGAUUGUGCCACUGCCUUCUUACUAAAAGAAAUUGGUUCAACAACAUCAAUUUCGAGUACAUGUGUAAUGCCGAAAAUUUUAUGUAUAACACAGACGUAGAACGAGUGUCCUCUAUAGGAAUAGAUCCUAUAAAUAUGGAGGAAAUAUAGAACUCAAGAGUUGGAUACAUCCUCCUAAGAAGAUGUGCUUAGAAAUGCUACAGCUCAUAUAUGUAACUAGGUGACCCAUCAUUUUUAAGCAUAUGGAUAACCAUACUAUAUCUUUCUAAAUGGAAUCAACAUGAUACAAAUGGUAAAAAUGCAACUUAAAAUGCAUAUAACAUAAAAUACAUACCUUGUGGAGUGGGACGGUCGAAUAAAAUGAGCUCAAUGUAGUCUAAAUAUUGAUAACUUCAGAUCUUUUUCUGCAGGUUGCAUGUUGAAAUUUUAGCUACCGUUAACCUUAACCAUCGUAAGCAUAAUAAGAAUAGCAUGAUCAGGUACAAGUGGAAAUUGAUUUCCUAACUUUGCUCUAUCGCACGAUCUAGAUUAUGAAGGAAGGUAACAUUUCCUAAAUGUCCAAGCAGUCCCCUAAUUAUAAAUGUGGCGCGCAACAAAUUCAUAAGUAAGGCUCUACUAGACACGACUUUGUAGACUCCCUAGGACGAACUACUCUGAUACCACUUUUGUCACACCCCAACCCUAGGUAAGGCAGACAAGUACCAUAUGAACCCAUGCUUUACAAGUGACCCAUGAUUAGAAAGUAAACUACUAUGCAGAUAGAUUUAAAGAUGAGAAGCUUCAUAUACAACACAUGUUGACUAGCUGAACUGAUAUAUGUGAGAAGUGAAACUAUGAAUACAGAUAAUAGCUUUACAAUGUCUGAAAAAGCCUCUACUGGAAUCCAUGAUUGUACCACUGUGAAAAUACACAUAGUAAAGACUCGGCAAAGCCCCGAAUCAACCUGGAGCUCACCAACAAUCGUUGAGUAUCAUGUGCUUCUAUUGGGGAGAUUUACUCGCUCAAUACAUGUACCUGCAGCAUGAAGUGCAGCGUCCCCAAUUAGGGACAUCAGUACAAAAGAAUGUACUAAAUAUGUAAAGCAUAAUACAACCAUAUGUAAAAUCAGAGCUUAAGUGAAACCAAAUACCAAUAGAUAAAGAUUAGAGACCACCUUUGCUUAUACUUGUGGAAUCGUGUAUGUUACAUUUUUUUCUUUACUUUUAUGUGCAUUAUAAUCUUUAUAAGGCAUAUGAUACAAAUGACCAGCUGAUCAGCGAUAGAAGAGGAUGACCCAUGCUAGGAAUUUUAACCCCUGGGAUGCAGUCCUCAUAAUUCCACAAAUUGGGAUCGGCCCAUCCUAGGCUUUUGCCCCUGAGCUGCCACCCUUCGAUACCAAUUGGGAUCGGCCCAUGCUAGGCUUUCGCCCCUGAGUUGCCACCCUAGGCAUUUUCCCCUGGGCUGCAACACAUAAUUAUACAAAUAGCUUCACUUAAAUUCUUUAUCUUUGAGAUUGUUGUUUUGAUGUUCAUAACUCUUUCGAGAUUGUUCUUUGGAUAAUCAUAACUCUUUUGAGAUUGUUCUUUUGAUGAUCAUUAUAUCUUUUGAGAUUGUUGUUUUGGUGGUCAUAAUCAUUGUCAAGAUUUGGAACGAUGGACUAGUAGUAAAAGACAUUUGAAUAUGGACAUACAAGGUAUACAUAAAAGUGGAACCAAGGGAGAACGUGGGUAGAUUCAACUUAAGGACGAAUACAUAUUCCAACUAAGUACAUAUAAAAUGUACAAUAGAGCAAGUAGGGAUCUUUUGAGGUAACAUUAUAGUCUAACACAAGGGGAGUAAUAACCAAUAAAGGGAACAUACGAACAUGUGACAAGAUGACAUAUAUAUAGAUAAUUGAAGCAAGUUGGCAUGAUAUGGGCAGAUUGUAUAUCCAACAUACAAACAUAUCUACCAUGUGUAAUCUAGGAUCAUUUUGAUUUAUAUAGGGAAAUACGUGCCAAGGGUACUUUGACGGUGAAACAAGUUUAAACCUUCCAAGCUAAUACUUAGUAGAUGAAGCACGUACAUUUAGUAACAAACUCAUAUUAGAGUACUCACUUUAAGGUUCUAGGGAGUAGGAACUGCAACUAUGGAUCAGUCACUACCAAGGGCACUUAGAAAUCUUACUUUUUGUAAUGCAAGUGUUAGAUUCAUGCCAAAGAAAUAGUAAACUGAAUAGCCUUAUAUACCUUGCUAUACAAUCCAAAAAGUAUGACUUAAGCUCCUUCUCUUCAAAUUACUAAUCUACAAUAAAAUAGGCUGUAAGACUAGUAAUAGUAGCUAAUCAAUCAAUUUGAGCUACUUAAUCUCACCAAAAUUGUAACCAAGCAGUAAGCAGGCAAUUUAUCUAGUCAAUGUUUUCUUUCCUUCCCUUUCCCUUAAAUCGUGUCUAUAUACUGUACAACCUUCAUAUCAGGUCCGCCCCAAACCUCACUGCAAUAUUUAAGUCCUUUAACGUCUCCAUAAUUUCCCAGCACAUCCAGUCGCAUCCCUUAUCAUAACAUACAUAAAACAAUCCUUAAACAUAAUAAUGUAACAAAAGAAAUAUGAAUCAUAGUUUCUUAUCACCAGCACUUGAAGAGUUAACAUUACUUUUGAGGUGCUCAAACAAGAUCAUGACUGAAUUUAAAGAGGACUCCCUUCCAUGGCUGUACCAACAUGCACUAAUCACCAGAACAUCCUCCCUAAUAUUACACCAUGUAAAAGUAACAAUUUCCAACUCACUAACACAUACCAAGUGUCCUCAUUAACUCAAGCACAAGAGGGAGAAAAUUGUAGUAGCUUACCUUGCUGGACAGAACUACCACUUCCUAAGACUUGGAUUCUUAAAGGUAAAGGUUGUCCUCCUUAACUUGUCUUAAAUUAUACCUUCCAAUAGCUUGAACUCCCUAAUAAUCAAGAAACCUAAUGGUAUUUAAUUGUUGUUGUAUGAAGCUAAGAGAGAGAACAGAGAAAGCUCUAGAAAUCAGAUUUUUGGCAAGGUAAAAAUGGUUGGAAAAAGCUUAUAUCAAUCCCUUUUAAAGGGACCUGCUUUGGCCAACUUUCUCACUCAUUUUGGGCCAUAAUUUUUCAAGUAGGUUACCCACCUACUUGGACUUUUCACUUGGGCCUUUUUGGACUUAAGAACAUUGGGCCUUUUUCCACCUUUCUUGUACUUCAUUUGCAGCCAAACAUGUGUCUUUAAUUUAGGCCACACAUUUAAGUAGGUGAUGCACCUAUUUUUCCAUUCAAAUUAUUUCUUGUGGACUUGGAAAGAUUGGGCCUUGGCUGUCCAUUUUUCCCCUUAUUCUUCUAUUCAACUUGGGCCAGAUUAAUGCAAGUAGGUGUAGUGUACUUUGCCCAAUAACAUGGUCAAAAGAGUCUUAGUAGGUGAUGCACCUACUUGGUCCUUUGAGCUGGUCAAAUAAGUCAAAGUAGGUGAUGCACCUACUUGUCACCUACUAGCUUAGUGAAGUCAAGCAAGCACCUCAAUAUAUUAUUCCAUUUCUAGACAUUAAUACCUUUAACUUAACUUAAAACUUGUAUACACUAUGUCACUUUAAACUUUAGACUCAAAUACCACCUUAUGAUCUCAAGUUUAAAUACUUCCAUCAAUUUCCAUUUAAUCGGGUCACAUUAAAAUCUACGGACAACACACUUUAAAUCUAUUUAUUGUCACUAGUUGCAUAGGAAACCGAGUCCAUAACUAUACCACAAGGAAAUUUUUAAGCGUCAUAUAUAUAGAACUAGUACACAUAGAAUACGGGGUGUUACAGGAAGAACCCAUAGAUGAAAAGCUAAACAUACCUUUAAACAAAGCCCUAGCACAAGUCCUCAAUGAUGGACUUUGCUCUUGACCCACGCUUCAAGCUCUAUCUUCUUCUCCAAUGGGGGUUCUUCUUAGAGAGAGAAAUAUUCUAUGGAGGGGAUGUAGUGGGUUUUCUUUUGAUUCUAGGGAGAAUGACUUAAUUGAGGUAAACUUAGGUUGAAUAGGCUUAUAUGGUUUCUAGGAAAGGAAUAGAAUAAUGUAGGGUCAAUUUUGAUAAAGAACUACGGACCCUAAAUGUUUAAGCUUAAAAUUUACUUACCACCACGACUUAGCUCGCCCUUUGCACCCCAUGGCUCGCCAAGGGCAUUAGGCUACUCGCCAAGUGUACCCUUGGCUCGCCCAAAUAUCCAGUAAGCCCUCUAAAGGGGCAGAUCACUUUGGUGAUGGAGGGGUCUUUUGGGCGAUGCGCCAAAUGGGUUGGCGAUCCCCGACUUUGCUCGCCCAAAGGACCAGUAGCUAGGCCAUGGGGAGGCUUCCCACUAGGCUGUCUUGGCUCCUUUGGCUAAUCGCCAAGUUACUUGGGCAAUGACACUGCCCAUCGCCAAGUGGCUCAAGGCUGCCUCAAAGUAUUUCCUUCAUCUAGUUCAAUGCAUGAUAUGCCCCACUCCUUUUCCAUUGACUUUAAACCCCACAUACCAAGGCCUAGGUUAGCCUAUAAGACUAUGGGGUGUAAGACGUGCCUUGACAUUCAACCACCAAACCCCUCAUUCUAUGCACGGGAAGUCUUACCUACGACUUUAGCCCACAUACCGAACCAUAGAACACUAACAUAAGGCCCUAGUUUAGUCUACUAAUUUCUGGGCUGUUACAGGCGCAGAAAGGGUGAUCAAAGGAAACUUACGGCGAGUCGCAUAGCGAACUGUGCGAGCUCAGGCUUCUCACCGAAAGUUACAGACUCAAAAUCAAAGAAAGCAUGAAAUUAAAGGCGGACUAGGGGGAUUUCAGCGAACCGCCGAGUGGUUCGGCGAGCUCGACCCAGCUUACCAACUGCCCAACGUACUAUUUUCAACCUCAACUUUCAAAAUAAACCCCUCAGUCCCCGAAAAUAGAAUCAAACCACACACAUUCUCAAUUAAGCCCAGACCCAUUAGACCCAUGCCACCGGGAUACUCAGACUUCCCCCGGUUAAGCAAAAAUUGGCCAUUUGACAACUUUAGCCCUUAAGAAUGGUGUCAAACGCUCCAUCAUUGGGCAAACCACGUCAUUUAGCACAAUUUGGGUUACUCAGACUUCACCCGACUAGACUUAACAAUAAUUAAGCACAACCUACGAGAUUAUGAUUACUUUUAAAGCACGAAAAUUAGGGAAUCAACAAUUUAGGCAAUAUGGGCACGAUAUCGAAAUUAAAAUUGGCACGCAAGCACACGUAUACAUGAUUUCAUAGAGCCCACCACACAUUAAUAAGAAGUAAACAAUCGGAAAUGAGUUCAACCGCUUAUUACGAAUUUAGGGUUCGAAAAACCAACCUUGUAUGCCGAAAUACAAUUUGUAAUGCUAGGCGGCAAAGAAUUCCAACUCCGAACACUGACUCAACGACUAAAAAGAGGUAAAAUGCAAUAAUAUAGGAAAUAUAGAGUGCGGGUGUGAUUGUAUAAAGUUAAAAAGUGAGGGAAUAUGAAAGAGUUUGAAAAUUUAAACCUUUAACCUUUUAAAAACCGUCCAGCUCACGCCCUUUUAGUGAUGUUAUUUUUACUCGGUGACACGCCGAAUGGUUACUUAGCUCGCCAAGUUUUACAGGACCUCCAGUUAAUGUGGGAAUCCAAACUGCGGACAAAGUCGGGCUCGCCGACCUGUUCGGUGAGUCGCCGACAUGUUCAUAGGUCCACCGAGUUUUAUAGACUCCAACUUUAGAUUUUCUUGAGUCCAAUAGUGAUCCAAGUCAGCUCGCUGACCUCUUCGGCGAGUCGCCGACUAGACACUUAGCUCGCCAACCUACACUUUUUCAAACGCAUUCCAUUUUUUCACCUUCACAAUCAACACACAUUAUUCCAGAAACAGAUAGAAAGCAAUAAAAACUUGGGUUGCCUCCCAAGUAGCGCCUUAGUUAACGUCGUGGCACGACGCAAGUACCCACUCAAACUUCAUUCUUAGGGUUUGCCAUAGGCUCACUAGGCAACCCUCCUUGUUGUCUUAAGUAGAGAUAAGACAAUGUAUGACCCAUUUGGGUCUUAAGUAGCUGAACAGAGAUGGAAUGACAAGAAGUCAUCUGAUUUAGCAUUGAGACAUUCUCUUUUAUCUCUUUCAAUACUUUGUCAUGUUCUUCGACUUCGUAGAGAAUGAGUGAGAGCAUCUCUUCGAUCUAUCCACCCUCAUAAUUUUUGGAAUUUUUAUGCUCAUGAGGAGGAAUGUACCUAUCAUUCUUCUUGUAAAGUACUUCAAAUUCCUCUAUAUUUUCGUCCAAUAUAUCUAGUUGGGAAAUACUUUUGGCCAAGUUAAGAUCCCCAUCCGAAUCCUUGUAGAUUUUGGUUAUGUGAUCGAGGAGUAGGGAUGUUGUUGCACAGGAUUGUUGCACUAUACCACCUAGAGAAAAUUGAUCAGCCAAUCCUAUGUUUACCGAAUCAAGGCCCCUAUAAAAACAUUCUAGCAACAUCUUAUCUGGGAUUGCAUGAGUAGGGCGCUGUAGCAGCAUUUUCCUGAAUCGCAGCCAAGUCUCAUAAAGUAGCUUACCCUCCAAGUGUUUGAAAUCUAGGAUGUUAUCCCUAAAAAUCGCUAUCUUUGAAUGAGGGUGGUACACUUGGUUACAGUUGCUACCAUAUAUGCUCAUUUUCCACCAUUAUAACAGCAACAAAAAAACCAAAACUAAAAGUAAGUAGAAUCAACUAUAAUUAACAAGAACACAAUUCAACUUCAUCAAAAGAAUCUCAAACAACACCACUCCUCGGCAGCGGCGCCAUUUAGAUUUGAAUAAAGUUAUCAAAGACACUUCAUCCAAUUCUAAGUGUCAAAGAUUGUUAAUCAGUAUAUAACCCAAUUAAUUGAGUUGGGGUCGAAUCCCACAGGGAGCGAUACGUGUUUAAGAUUCAAUUUGGAAGUAUGAACAUGGUCUAAUCAAUCAUACGAAUAAAAGUUAUCGAAUAAAAACAUCAUUCAAAUCAGGGGUGACACAAAUGACAAAUGGGGGGUUUUUGGUUUUGAUUAUCAACUACAAACAGCGGCAAACAAUACGAAAUAACAAUAAUGAGACGGGUUCUUGGGAUGUGAUCGAUUAUAGGCUAAUGUAGACAUAUGGGUGAUUGCAACUAUUAGUAAAUAGCUAGAUAUUAGUGAGUCAGCUAGGCAAUGGUGGAAGUAACUUUCUCUUGAAUAAUUUACUCCGAAUCAAGUUGAUUUCUCUCGAACAUCAACAAGCAUGCAAAUUAAGAACACCCACACCUUAGUCCAUUCACUCUCUCGAGAUGAAUGUGUGGAAAAGGGUUUAGGAUUCACUCUCUCGAGCUGAACCCAAGUCAACUCAAUACCCACAGACCAUCAAUCGUUAACCUUAGUUCUAAAACCUCUCUGUCGAGCAAGCCAAGAACACAAAGGUGUAACUGCAUUUGCAACUAAAAUUUUUAAAUUAAACCACAAUAAAUGAUUGAACUCACUUUUAAAUAACAUUUAAACUAACAAUUAGCAAUACCCAUAAGCUAAAUCAGCCCAUAAUCACACCCCAAGAAUUGGGAUUUUAGCUAGACAUUAUAAAAAGUGAAAAACAGUUACCAAAUUGAUUAUCCAUCAACUGGGUAAGUGUAGAUUUGUCCUUACAAUGCUCCAAUUCAAAGAAUCUCAAUGACCCACUUUAAAUUUCUUAAAAGUAAAACACUUCAAUUCUUCAAAGCUUAGGAAAAACUAAAGAAAACUAUCUCCAGAGCUCAAACCUCAAGAAUAGAUUAAAAAUAUAUGAUCUAAGAUAAUAAACUAAAUGUUCAAAAAUAUAUUUAUAGUCGCCGAAUAUGUGUUGUGAAGAGUCAUUCAGCGAAGUAAGUUGGGCUCGCCGAACCACUCGGUGAGCCGCCCUUCGGUCACUUCCAUCGCCCUUCAGCCUUGGUAUUCAGCAUCCUCAAGGUCUGUAACUUUGAGCGAUCUAGCACUGCAUCGCGGAACUAAUUGGCGAUCUACCGACUGCUUAUCACACCCCAACCCUAGGUGAGGCGGACAAGUACCAUAUGAACACAUGCUUUUCAAGUGACCUAUGAUGAGAAAUUAAACUACUAUGCAUAUAGAUUUACUCAUUAGAAACUUCAUAUACAACACAUGUUGACUAGCUGAACCGAUACAUGUGACAAGUGAAACUAUGAAUAGAGAUGAUAGCUUUACAAUGUCUACAAAUCUUCUACUGGAAUCCAUGAUUGUACCACUAUGAAAAUACGCAUAGUAAUGACUCGGAAAAUCCCCGAAUCAACCUAAUGCUCACCAACAACCGAUGAGUAUCAUGUGCUAUUAUUGGGGAGAUCUACUAGCUGAGUACAUGUAUCUUUGCUUAUACUUGUGGAAUCAUGUAUGUUACAUUCUUUUCUUUACUUUACUAUUAUUCUUUAUAAUCUUUGUAGGGCAUGUGAUACAAAUGACUAGCUGAUCAGUGGUAGAAGGGGAUGACCCAUGCUAGGCAUUUUAACCCCUGGGAUGUUGUCCUCAUAAUUACACAAAUUGGGAUCGGCCCAUGCUAAGCUUUCGCCCCUGAGCUGCCACCCUUCUAUACCAAUUAGGAUCGGCCCAUGCUAGGCUUUUGCCCCUGAGCUGCCACCCUUCAAUACCAAUUGGGAUCGACCCAUGCUAGGUUUUUGCCCCUGGGUUGCCACCCAUAAUUAUACAAAUUACGUCAUUUAGAUUUUUUAAUCUUUGAGAUUGUUGUUUUGAUGUUCAUAACUCUUUUGAGAUUGUUCUUUUGAUGAUCAUAACUCUUUUGAGAUUGUUCUUUUGGUGGUCGUAAUCAUUGUUAAGAUUUGGAAAUAUGAACCAUAAGUAAAAGACAUGAGAAUAUGGACUUACGAUAAUAACAAUGACAUGGGAAGAAAAUGUGACAUGAAUUUGUAAUACUUAGGAGCUUAUAUGACAUGACUCAGUGAGCAUUUUGACAUCUCAAAUUGAAGCACAUAUCAAGUGACGACAUUUAACAUUCAACAAAGAGAUUUGAACUCUAUAUGAUAGCCAAAAUACUCACAAACUAAUAUCAAAUACAAGGUAUACAUGAAUGUGGAACCAAGGGAGAACGUGGGCAGAUUCCACUUAAGGACGGAUACAUAUUCCAACUAAGUACAUAUAAAAUGUACAAUAGAUCAAGUAGGGAUCUUGUGAGGUAACAUUAUAGUCUAACACAAUGGGAGUAAUAACCAAUAAGGGAACAUAUGAACAUGUGACAAGAUGACAUAUAUAUAGACAAUUGAAGCAAGUUGGCAUGAUAUGGGCAGAUUGUAUAUCCAACAUAUAAACAUAUGUACCAUGUGUAAUCUAGGAUCAUUUUGAUUUAUAUAAGGGGAAUACGUGCCAAAGGUACUUUAACGAUGAAACAAGUUUAAACCUUGCAUGCUAAUACUUGGUAGAGUAUGCACGUACAUUUAGUAAUAAACUCAUAUUAGAGUACCCACUUUAAUGUUCUACGGAGUAGGAACUGCAACUAUGGAUCACUCACUACCAAGGGCAGUUAGAAAGCUUACUUUUUGUAAUACAAGUGUUGGAUUCAUGCCAAUGGAAUAUGAAAUCGAAUAGCCUUACAUACCUUGCUAUACAAUUCAAAACGUAUGACUUAAGCUCGUUCUCUUCAAAUUACUAAUCUAUAAUAAAAUAAGUUGUAAGACUAGUAUUAGUAGCUAAUCAAUCAAUUUGAACUACUUGAUCUCACCCAAAUAGUAACCAAACAGUACGCAUGCAAUUUAUCUUGCCAAUAAUUUAUUUCCUUCCCUUUCCCUAAAUCACGUCUAUAUAUUGUACAACCUUCAUAUCAGGUCCUCCACAAAACUCCCUGCAAUAUUUAAGUCCUUUAACAUCUCCAUAACCUCCCCGCACAUCCAGUCACAUCCCCUAUACAUAAAACAAUCCUUAAACAUUAUAAUGUAACAGAAGAAAUAUGAAUCAUGGUUUCUGAUCACCAGCACUUGAAGUGUUGACAUUACUUUUAAAGUGCUCAAACAAGCUCAUAACUGAAUUUAAAGAGCACUCCCCUCCAUGGCUAUCCCAACAUGCACUAAUCACCAGAACAUCCUCCCCAAUAUUACACCAUGUAAAAGGAACAAUUUCCAACUCACUAACACAUACCCAAUGUCCUAAUUAACUCAACCACAAGAGGGAGAAAAUUAUAGUAGCUUACCUUCCUGGACAGAACUACCACUUGCUAAGACUUGGAUUCUUCAAGGUAAAGGUUGUCCUCCUCAACUUGUCUUAACUUAUACCUUCCAAUAGCUUGAAAUCCCUAAUAUUAAAGAACCCUAAUGGUAUUUAAUGGCUGUUGUAUGAAGCUAAGAGAGAGAAGAGCGAAAGCUCUAGAAAUCAGAUUUUUUUGUCAAAGUAAAAAUGGUUGGAAAAAGCUGAUACCAAUCCAUUUUAAAGGGAACUACUUUGGCCAACUUUCUCACUCAUUUUUGGGCUAUAAUUUGUUAAGUAGGUGAUCCACAUACUUGGACUUUUCACUUGGGGCUUUUUGAACUUAAGAACAAUGGGCCUUGGUUGUCCAUUUUCCCCUUAUUCUUCUACUCAACUUGGGCCAGAUUAACGCAAGUAGGUGGUAGUGUACUUGGCCCAAUAACAUGGUAAAAAUAGUCAUAGUACCGAUGCACCUACUUGAUCCUUUGGGCUGGUCAAUAAGUCAAAAUAGGUGAUGCACCUACUUGUCACCUACUUGUCACCUACUAGCUUAGUUAAGUCAAGCAAGCACCUCAAUAUUUUAUUCCAUUUCUAGAACUUAAUACCUUUAACUUAACUUAAAACUUAUAUACACUAUGUCACUUUAAACUUUAGACUCAAAUACCACCUUAUGAUCUCAAGUUUAACUACGUCCAUCGAUUUCAACUUAAUCGGGUCACAUUAAAAUCUACGGACAGUUCACAUUAACCUAUUCUAUUGUCACUAGUUGCAUAGGAAACCGAGUCCAUAACUAUACCACAAGAAAAAUUUUAAGCGUCAUAUAAAUAGAACUGGUACACAUAGAAUACGGGGUGUUACAUCCUCCCCCCCUCCCCCUUAUGAUCAUUCGUCCUCGAAUGAUGGGUGAAGCUGAUAGUUUGGUUAACCUUGGAAUUUCAUUUGGAGAUUUGUGAGAGUUCCCAUUAUAAAUAGGACUAUCCAAAAUCCAUAGACUAACCUAAAACACGUAUAGACAAGUAUAGCAUGAAGUCUCAAUAGAUAUGGUUCAUAAAUACAGGGUGUUACACUGCUUGGUUUUAACAUGAUUAGUUUUUCACUGUAACAGUACAGCUUAAGCAGUUAACUAUACUUCAUCAAUGACAAAAUAUGACAUUUUCAUGUGCAUACGUGAAAAAGAUAAGCUCACAUCUACCUAAAAAUAAUAUUGACGAUGAAAUAUAGUCAAACUAUAAAACCAAACACUAAUUCAUAAUUGAUUUUUUUAUUAUUAGAAUAUGUGCACAAUACACAUGAAUAAAAUAAUAUAAAUAUAUGAACAAUAGAUCAUAUAAUGCCUCAAUAAUUCUGAACGGAACAUGGUGCACAAGAGUGAAUUUAUAGAUGUCUCCCACUAGAGAUCUGAUAAAUAAUUGUAAGGUUUUGUAAAGGUCUUGUUUCUAUCAGUACCUCUGCAAGAAUCUCACUUCCUUGCUUUCAAAAGGCUUUUCAACUCUGUGUUGUAGCACUAUACUUCUUAAAGAUACUUGCACUAAGAAUUGAAAUUCAUUAGCUAAACACUGCUCGUACAUUCAUAGAGAUAUAAGAAAUUUAAGAAUACCUAAUCACAAAAAAUAUAUACAUUUAUAGGAAUAUAAGAAAUUUAAGAAAAUCCAAUUCAUAUAUGAAUAGUUGCAGAUGCAUCACUUGUUUGAACUUUUAAGAAACAAAAUCAACUACAUUAUGGAUUUUAUCAAAAGUAAGUAAGUACAACAUGGAUAUAAAAAAAAAGAUCCAUUUGCUUCAUUCCUUCAACAUAUACUUAUUUGGAAAAUCUCAACUCAUUCCUUCAACAUAUGCUUCUUUAGAAUCUCUCAAUCGAAAAUAAGAUCAGGCCUAGGUAUGCCUAAAUUCGUUUAAAAUAUAAUGGUUAUGAAUCAUAUAUUUUUCUUAGUUAAGAUCAUCUACAAAAUCAAUAUAUGAACAAGGAUGACAGCACCAACAGUUAAUAGGAGGCAAUAAUCCCCAGACGUUAUAAAGAUAGAAAAUGAGGAGGCAUCGGUUUACCUCUUUACAGAUUCAUUCACGUUCCUGAAAGUUGAUUUUAGCAGCUCCAUAGGCUGUCAUGACAUUCACUUCCUUCAAGUUAAGCACUUUCCUCCCUCACUAUAACAUACAUUUUCAGAAGUAUUAAAUUUCAAAAUUUAGUACUAUAUCAUAAACCUGAAUCUUGGAAGUCAUCGAUAAUGUAGUAAAGCAAAGAAACAUGUAGGACAUAUAACAAAUCAAAGUCUUCCUUUAAAGCAUAUAUGUUGAAAUUUGUACGUCUUACAAUUAUUAGAGUAGGGAAAAAAUAAAAAUACAGAUGUAGAAUAUUUUCAAAAACCUGAAGCAUGUUAAACCUAGUUAAGAGUUAAACACAUACAUAAGGUAUGACCCUCCAUCCAGCUUAGACAUUAGAAUUUCACAACAAAAGACAUGACGUGGCAAUAUAUUUUGAAAGACAUAUAAUAUCUUUAUUCAUGAAAGUCCCAUAGCUUCCGCCAUUAGGAAAUGUAUGUCAUCAAUUGCUCCAUCACAAUUCUCAAAAUAGAUCAAAUGUAUGUUUUAAUUGGCUUUCAGAAGUAACACAAUGGUUUAACUUUGUCAAAAAUUAGUUCGGAAGCAAGGAUAAAUUAGACACCUUCAUAUGUUGCUAGAGGAAUAUCAAACCUUGGUGGCUUAAAUGAUGAGACCAGUGAAAUGGUUACAUGGUUACAGAGGCAUUUAAUGUUCGGUCAAAAUGACAGUUGAUGACUUCAGUUGAGUACUUGUAAAGCUCUUGACUACUCAAAUCAGAUUGUGGGCAUCUAUGAACCUAUAAAGUGUGCAGUGUAAUUUAUUUUCGUCCAUGAAACAUAUUAUGAAACUUGAUGUGCAAUACUCAAACAUCAAAAGCAUGGAAAUUAUAAUCAAUGAUCAGCCUAUCCUACCCUAACAAUUAGUAUUAGACCUUAUUUGUUAAUAUUCAGAAGAACCGAUGACAGGCUUACAUUUAAAAAUAGAUACCGUUUACAUUUUUUCUUCUACCAUAGGAAGGUGUUAUCAAGUAAACAUUAAAUCUCACAUAUCUCUGUAAAUAUCGGCACAAAACUUUGAGCCCUGCAAAUAUGAAAAUAAGAGGCAUGCCAUAAAAAAAUAUUAUAAAAAUGUAAAGAGUGCAAGAAGACUUGUUUUAAGAAAUCAUUCUGUUGAGGCAACUUAUGCUAUACCAAUAAAAGAAACCAAUUGGCACAAGUCAUGCAAACAUGAAUUCAUAGAUAGCUUUACUUCUCUUUUCAUUCUUAAGUAGAGAAAACUUUUAACUAUAAACUAUUUGUCUGUCGUUCAGCUAUUUACAAAGAAAACAAUUUCUGAGAAAAUCCAAGAAAAGCUAGGCAAUUCAGUCUCUCACAAGACCAAUUAGUUUACGUCUGAAACAGCAAGAACAAAUUAAAUAAAAAAAGUUAAAUGAAAAGCAAAAAUCGAACACAUAAGAAAAACAAAAGGAAAACAUAAAAUAUAACAUAAACUAAAGUUGGGCGGAAGGAUGAACAACAAAUCGUUGAGAAAUUUGCAGCAACUAUUAGGAGGGGAAGAAAUGGAACACAUCAGAAAAUCAAGAACGGACAUAUGGAUAUUGCAGGAUGUUAACUCAGAUAAGAAGCUGAAGUAGCAAAGAAAAAUGAGAACAAAGAACAACAGAAAUAUAACACAUGACAAAUUCGAAGCAGCUAUUAUAUGGAGGGAACAAAUGAAACACAUGAGAAAAUUAAAAACGAAAAUAUGAAAUAUUACAGAAGCCUAACACAGUGAAGAAGUACAAGUGAUAUUUUAGGAUAAUUAUCAAUUCAUUUGAAAGUGUCGAAUUAUUUAAAACAUACAUCCAUUUAUAAAAAAGACAUUCACAAAAAGAGUGAAUUCACCAAAUAACUUUUUCUAGAAGUUCAAAGCUUCAUAACAGAGGAAUAUGAACUUACAUAUUCUUGAUCCAACUAAGAAGCUUCAACUCCUGUUCACUACACCCAUAAAAGAAAUAGUGUCAAAUUAAAUCAAAUCACAUAAACCGUUAAAAUCAGUAAGUAUAUAAAUUUGAAAAAGUAACUAUUGAUAGCGUACCAAAAAUUUAUAAUCAGAUCCAACAGAUCUAAUUCUUAUCCGAUGUAGAAAAUUAGAAUUUUUGCCAAGAAACAACAACUAACACUAAUGCAGUACUAAAACAAGAGAUAAAACCCACCAUACCAGCUCCAGGUCGCAACAAACUGUCCUUUGACGAUGUAGUUAACCAAAUAUAUUCACAUUUGUUGAACUCUUUUGUGCUUCCACUUAAAAAAGUAUUUACUUAUAUCAAAAGACAAAAAUAAAUUGUUUUAAUUAUAUAAUGGAGAUCCAUUAGAAUGAAUGAACAUAUAAUUUUAGCCUUGAAAAUUGAAACUCUACUUAAUUAUCAAACUCGGUAGAAAGAAUCAAUCGGUGUCCUUUUUUAUGAGUAGCAAAAAUCAAUAAUUUGAAAAUUUUCACCCAUUACGGCAAAACUACUUCUGACUCAGGUUUUCUAUUUAGAUCAUUUCAAUUUCUAAUUAAAUUGGAGCUUUUCUACGGUGAAGUUGUGAAAAUUAUCCCUCUAUUGGAUAUUAUUAGUCUUCUCAUGUAAAAUCAUUACAACGGACCUUCAGUUGUUCACUCCUUGCAUAUUAAACAAAAGGAUAUGACUUUUCUUCUCGUUAAAGUAAGUUGGUCGUAAUUCUUAGAAAAUUAUUAAAUAGGUACAAUUAAUUAAUUUUCACUGCAAAAUUUUCAUUAAUUUCAAAUCAAAGAACGAUUUUCAUUUCAUAAUUCUAAGAAACCACACUAAGAUGAAGCAAGCAUCAAAUGUAAGUUGAUGUAAAUAUCGACUAAGCUAAACUAAUCUCAUGUGGUUAAAGCAAAAGUUGCCUCAACGGAAUAGGAAAUGACAUAAUAACUUACAUGUAAAUGUGAAACAUUGAGCUAACAUAUGAUCGAUCCCUGCUAUCAGUGACAAAAAAAAUUUGCUAUCUACUGAGCGUUGUGGAACACUGAGGUAACAUAUAACCAGGGGCGGAUCUACGUGCAAUCUAGGGGUUCAUCCGAACCCCCUUCGUCGAAAUAUUACACUAUAUACGUAACGUCAAAUUCUGGUUUUAUGAGUAUAUUAAUCAAAAUGAACCCCCUCAAUACUAAAGAGAAGAAUGACAGAAUGGAUAAGGGGUUCAAGUUCUGCCGAGAAUGGCCGAGUUUGAUUCUCACUAGGAGCAUAGUUUUUCACCUUUUUUUUGCUUUAAAAAGGCUAGAAGCUUUGGGCCCAGAUUCACAAACAAAUGAAAAGGCCUCAUUGGUUCAAUGUGAAGCUUUAUUCCUUUUUAUUUUUCAUUAUUUUCUUUUUUUCAAUUUGUCUUUGUUUAAAUUUAUUAGCCACAUUCUUUGUAAUUUUUCUUUUAUUCUUUUUUAUUUAUAUUUUUCAUUUUGUUUCUACAUAGUUCUCUUUCUAUGUACUAAGUUGAAGAAAUGAUGAAUUUUACUUAAAUUUUAAAUUGAGUUUAAAAAAUAUUUAUAUAAAAUAAAGUAAAAUUAAAUUUAAUCGAACGAAGAAAUAUAAAAAUUGUGAAUAUUUUUUUAACAAAAUCUAUUUAAUUAAAUUUUAUUUCUUUAAUUUCAUUGUAUUUUUUUCAAUUUUAUUCUAAGGAGAGGAAAAUUAAACCAAUCUUAUUUGAUUUAUUGACCAUUUGUUUUUUUACAAAUGACUAGCCUAGUAAAUUGAAUUAAAUGAACUAAAAAUAUAUUAUGCCAUUUAUUUAUUUUCUGAAUAUGUCAAUUUUUACCCAUUUUAAAAGAUCUUGGUGAUUUUUAUAGUAAUAUAUGAUUGAGAGGCCACUACUUUAGUAUUUUUUUUUAAUAAAAAAAAUCAAAAUAAAAUAAAACACUGCAAAACUUAAAGAAAAAAAAGCACAAGAAUUUGAAAAAAAAACUCGAUGGAGCAGGAAAAAAAGUAAGAAGAACCUAAACGCAAUAUAACAAGACAAGUUAAAUUUAGCGAGUUAAAAUUAGUAUUUUCUUUCCCAUCUCACGUGUUUAUUACUUUAUACUUCGAACCCCCUUCGAAUUCAUCCAGGCUCCGCCACUGCAUAUAACCGAUCUCUGUUAUUGAUGACACGUAAUUUCGCUACCUGCUGAGUGUUGGGUACAAAAGUAAUCUAUGAGUAGCAUGAACAUCAUAUAUGACACUGUAAAGCUGUAAGCAUGUGAAAUGAGAUGGUUAUAUAGUUACUAACGUAAGCUAUAAAAAACGGUACACGUCAAUACAGUAAGGUCAUUUGCUUCCAAUUUUAGUACCACAACUACAAUUCUUUAGCAAAGAAUUUAAAAUUAGCUUAAACGAUCAAUCAAAACUUAAUCCAACUAAAUAUUUUAGCUGGCCAAUCUUCCACAUAUAGUUACAGAUAUACUUACAUAUUUAUCACACCAAUAAUGAGAUAAAAUGCUCAAAAGAAACUCCUUACUAUAAUUCAUUACAUGUAGGGGUGCGCAUCGGUCAGUUCAGUUCGGUUUUAUGUGUUAUUGGUUCGGUUUAUCAGUUUUUGGUUUGUAAAUACAUCAAAUCGAUAACCAAAUCAAUAACAUAUUUCUUAUCGAUUUUUGGUUAAUCGAUUUAUGAUACUUAACGGUUCGAUUUUCGGUUUAACCAAUAAGAAAAUACUCAUAUAUAUUAUAUACACGAUAAGAAAAAUUUUCAUAUAAACCAUAUGAUUUUUCCAACAUUUGGCAUGAAAGUAAUAAUCAUAAAAGUAACAAUCAUUUUUCUUGUUCAGUUUUAGACACUAGACACAUUCAAAAGAAAAAGUGUGAAAGUAACAAUUGUUUAACCACUAACAAAAAGUGUGAAAGUAACAAUCGUUUAACCAUUAACAAUAAGACUAGUAAAUUUAGUAUAGUCUUAUUGGGUUAUCGGUUUAACCAUUAACAAAAUCAUAAAACCGGAAACCGAACCAAUAAUCCAAUAAAAAAAUUUGCAAAAACCGUUCAAAAACCGUUAGCCCAAUAAUCCAAUAUCAAUAAACCAAUAGUGUUUUUUUCGGUUCGAUUUAUUGGUUAAAUCAGUUUCUGCACACCCCUAAUUACAUGUUUUCUAUCUCUCCCAACGAACAUAAAAUUUCAAGAAUUUCAAUAACAUACAAUUUCGAAUGGUCUACCUCAAGAUCAUAAAUAAGUGGAAGGGCAACCAAGAAAUUGACAGGAGUACAGGACAAAAAUGUAUUACUGACCUUUGAAAACUUUUUAUCAUGGAGUAUUUCUCUAUUCAUUCAUUGUAUUUUUUUCUAAUACCAUUGGAUGAGUACAUGCAUGUCCAAAAUAAUUAACAAAGAGGCUAAGGCAUACAAAACUUUACAGUAACCUUCAAAAGAGAAAUUAUGUUGAGCCCAACAACACCAUAUCUUGACUUUUUUUCUUGAUUUGAUCUCUUUCGAGUUGGCCAUGGAGAAUGAAGGAGAAAGUGAAAAAAGUCAAAACAAUACCUGUUGGUCUUUUGGGCAUUUUAAUAUUUAUUUAUUAUUAAUUUGUCUCACAUAAUUUUGUCAUUGGCUUAAUACCCAUUCUACCACAAUUACAUGAAAUAGAGGAUGUGGGAGUUAUGGCGUUUCACUGGUACAACGGUAUGCAUUUGUGCCUAAUUAUUUAGUGGUCAAUUAAUGACCAUAGGUAUUAUGGACUUUGCUGCUUUUUGAUAAACGUUGCAGUGAACGUUAGCAUAGUCAAAGUGUAACACUUGGUGCAUUUGUUAUCCUCACCUUUAUUUCAUUCUUUUAUUCCUCCAUUAUACCUUGUAACCUAUGUAACUCCUAAGGCCAUUUAUCUUCACUAUAUACUACCCAUUAUCUUCCUAUCAAUUGGUAGGAAGACUUCCUCAACUAUAAUAGUGAUAGUCUUCAUUUGGUUUGGGAGAUACAACACACAAGAAAAUAUAGAGUGAAAGAGUUAGUCAAAUAAAAAGAGAGUUCUUAUUAGUUGAAGGGAGGUGUUCUUUUUUGUGGAGCUUUGGACUCAACUCUUGUCCAGAGUUGUUGAGUUAUACUUUGUGAAGGCUGUUGUAUCCUGGAGGGGACAAGUCAAGAGGACUACUGCUGGACCGGUGAAAACAUUUGCUGCAAUGGGCUUGAAUCUCCUUAAAAAGAGCGAGAUAUCCGCGCCUCAGCCUGAAGAGAUUUAUUUUCUUCAUAUUUAUUUUCAAUUGUAAUCUUGUAUUUUUGUUAUCUUGUAAGUUUUCACUAACAAUACCCAUUACAGUCCUCAUGCUUGAAAAAAAGUGAUGUAGAAUUGAAAAAAAUUCUGUAAAGAAAAUCAAAAGUGAUGAAGAUAGAAUCAAAGAAAUUUUAAAAAUCAUACCGUGAAGAACAGAGAAAAUGGAGAGCUGGAAAUAGAAGUAACAAUGUCUCAAAGGGUGUAACCUUAAAAGAGGAAAAACAAAGGGCUGUAUUUUGAGAGCAAUUUUACCAAUUUUUGUUAAUUUUUCAUAGUACACCAGUCCUAUGACAAUUGAUAGUGAGAUUAUAGCAUUGACUGUAGGAUCGAAGAUAUGAGAUAAAGAUAUAGGAGGAGAAAUUGAGAAGAUGAAUUAGGAUUUCAGGUAAAGAAGAUUCAUUGAGACACGUGUCUUCAUAAAUACACUACACGUUUCUAAAAGGGCAGGUUUGUAUAUCCUCCCGUGCAACUUUUUCAACUCUUGGUACAAUUGAUACAUUUUGUGUUUGUCCAUCAAGUCCAGGGCAGGUUUGUAUAUCCUCCCGUGCAACUUUUUCUACUCUUGGUACAAUUGAUACUGUUGUAUUCGUCCAUCAACUCCCAUUUCUAUAUAGGAGUAAUAUCUUGAUUUUUGGAAUGUUGGGGAUCACAUAUUGCUUUAUUGAUUGGUGAAAAAUGGUUGCAAUUUCGUGGGUUAGGAAUCAGUGGCAUAGGGUUGGAAAUUAUAGCAUUUUUGGUUGUAAAGAUAGAGGAAAAGAAUCAAUUUUUUUUGGAUUAGUUGCUGCAACACGUGAUGGUUCUGUUUGGGGUAGAAUAAUUGGUUGUUACGAAAAUGAUUAAUCCUCAACAAAACAAAGAUAAUGCAAUUUGAAUUCUGGGUACUUCCGUUUUGUUAAGGUUACAGGGUGUGAAUUAUUUGUUUUAAUUUUGGAAUUUUCUAAUAAUUAUUACUUUAUAGUGGAAGUUUAAUAUAUAGAUAUAGAAAAUUAAGUUUUGGGUACAUUAUAUUAUAUGAAUAUCCGUAGAUUUAUGAUAUUUGGAGGGAUGGGGCUUAACUCUAGGCUUAAAAUUUAACAAAUAUGUGUCUUGACAUAUCAGUUGACACAAAAAUUAGGAGUUUGAUUAUAGAUAGUAUGAGUUUGGAUCUAGGGUCUAUGGACUCACUUGUUUGCAAAUAUUGCAUAUUUGAUAGAUUGGGAACAUUCUGAAGUUUAACGAAAGGGAAAGGCAAAAUCUUGAGGAUUCGUGAUACGUGUUCGGCAUUGAAGACUUCCAGACUUCAUUGAAGGACGUUUUUCUAAUUAAAGAUUAAAAAUGGAAUAGACCAUGGGUAAGGGAAAAAGAUAGGGGUCUCGUACCAAUGGUGUGACGGGCGUUGGUACAAGUACUGGUGUUAUAAAGGGAAAGUUUAUUAUUAUAGAAUGCAGAUUGAAAGCCGAGAAUGCCAAAGCAUAUGGGCAUUAGCUGAUAUAUUAUUGACUUGAUUUAUUAUGUGUGAUUGUGUUCUUUAUUGAACCUGUAUACUUGUGAUAGCUGAGGUGAUUACAUAUCAUAUUGAUAUUUGAUUGAGAUGCAUCAUCAUCCCUUUUCAUUGAUAUCACAUUGUGAACAUGCAUUGACAUGAGAUUGCGUAUUAGCUGGGCACGUAGAGAUCGUCCGUGCCGGGGAUGGUGAGAUAUUAAGAUUAUAAUUUGGGCACGUGGAGAUCGUCCGUACAGAAAUUAUUUAAUUUUAUAAUAGUGCGUUGAGAUCAUUCGCACAAACACGUGGAGAUCGUCUGUGUCGGUAUAUGGACCUCGUGAGUCCCCCAUGGGUCAUGAACUCUCGAUGUAUUUUCGAGGAGUAUCAUGUAUAUACGGUUGAGAGAGUACUUGGCAUCUGAGGCAUAUCAUUUCAUGGUGUCAUAUUGCAUUGCAUCUCAUAACAUCCUUCAUUCUUGAUGAUUAUGUGUUUUCUUGGUGGUUGGAAAGUACUUGAUAUUUGAUUACCUCUAUUUGAUGAAACUUGACUGGUAAGUAUAAUAUAGACUUGUAUAAGUAAAGAACUGAUUUCCUUAUAUGAACUCCCGUCACUCUUUCUUUGGUGUCGGUCUAUGAGAUAUACUGGGUACAUGUAGUUUCGUACUCAUACUACACUUGUUGCACUCUUUUGUGGUUCAGAUUCGAUUCCUAAUACGAGCGCAUCUCGUGGAGCUUUAUGAGUCCGAGCUUAGAGUAUCUUGGAGUUGUGGUGAGUUGCUUGGUUGUUCCGCAGCCCACACCUCCCUCUAAUUUAUGGUUUAUUAUGUUGCUUUUGUUUUCUGACAGUAUAUCUCUUAUGUUUAGGCUUGUCAUUUUACUUUCAGACUUGCAUCGUAUUUUAGAAGCUCUUGUACUUAUGACACCAAUUCUUGGGUGGUAUUUCUAGUUUUCCGCAUUUCAUAUUUAUGAAGGACUUAGUGUUAGAGACAUUUUACGCGAUGUUUAUUUUUUUUACCUCAUUAUUUAGCUAAAUUGGUAAAAUUAUUGGGUUGGCUUACCUAUUGGUUGGGAACAUAGGUUCCAUCACGACUUGUAAUUUUUGGCCAUGACAAUUUGGUAUCAGAGCCCUAGGUUCAUCGGUCUCACGAGUACAAGAGCAAUGUCUAGUAAAGUCUUGCGGAUCGGUAUGAUGACGUCCAUACCUAUCUUCGAGAGGUUAUGACAUUUAGGAAAAUUUUAUUCUUUCAUUCCUUAUCGUGCACACUUGACUUUGUUGAAAUUCUAAUUUUGAUAUCUCGUUCUCUCUCAAAUGGUGAUGACUCGUACAUCUGCAAGUGGUGAUCAGGAGCCUAUUUUCAUGCCUUCUUCUGGGAGCACUAUCGGAGGUAGAGGCAGGGGAUGAGGUCGAGGUCGAGGUCGGGGUAGGGGCCGUAUUGCAACACCCGUGGAAGGACAAGUACCAAUAGCUACCCAAAGCCAUGAUAGGUGAUAGGACAGUACCUCCUGAUGCAUGUUAUUCAUGGGGAUGAGCAGGAUCGUGUCGAGGGGGAUGGACCAGCUCAGGCUCCACCCAGUAUUAUUGCCACCCCAGUGCUUCAAGAUACCUUGGCUCGUAUGUUAGGACUUCUAGAGGGGAUGGCUCAGGCGGGAACUUUGCCUGUCACCUAUGAUGCCUCACAGACCCGUGUUGGAGGUCAGACUCCAGAUUCGAUGGUUGCUCCAGAUUCUCAGACUCCCAAGACUCAGCCAAUUGUUGUUGUAGCUCCACGUUUAGAUAGUAUGGAAUUGCCAGGUAUUGCAUCACACUUGGCGAACAGGCCAUCCAUGACCGUUGAUGAACAAAAGAUGUUUGGGAGGUUUAGACUAAUGAAUCUUCCGACUUAUACUGGAGACUUAACUGAGGAUGCAUAUGAAUUUAUAGUUAGUUGUCAACUUGUCAUGAGAGGUUGCAUAAUCUUGGAUUAGUGGAGUCUCAUAUAGUUGACUACACAACGUUUCAGAUGACUGGUUCUGCCAAGCAGUGAUGGAGGGAUUAUAUCAGUAGUAGGCGAGCUGGAUCCCCUCCACUAUCAUGGACUCAGUUUACUCAAGUAUUUCUAGCCAAGUUUGUUCCAUGCAGUGAGAGGGAGCGCAAGAGGGCCAAGUUCGAGGGUUUGCAGCAAGAUGGUAUGUCAGUCGUAGAGUAUGAGGGUAAAUUUCAUGCCUUGGCUAGGCAUGCUUCGAUGAUAUUUCCCACCGAGGCGGAGAGGGUGAGAACUAGGGUUGUUCAUGGUUAUUGUAACAACCCACUCAAAAGGAUGCUACCACUUAAAGGAGACAACUAAUUUAAUACCUGCGACAUUUAAAAGAGAUUAACAAAGGGCAUAUUUAUUUUAGUCUAGUAGAGGAAUUAGGUUCACAGAAAAAAAAAUAGUUAAAGAAGUGAAACUUGCCCAUUUACACAUUAAUUUGAUGCAAAACUGAAACUGCGUAACAUUUUAUCUUAUGGCAGAAGAACCCUUCCAAAAUAAUCUAAGAAAAUAACCUACUAGGUUUUCGUGCAUAUUUCAUCCUCACACUCAAAAUAAUAUAACAGGAUAUUACCAACUUCCGAGUACAAACCUUUGCCGGUUCAUGCUUCACACAAACAUUCAAAACAGAUAGUAAAUUUAGUAUAUUACAAGACUUGGAAUACACACCCCAAAAAGAACAAAACAUAUAGCCAUACUUAUAUUACAACCCAUGGUGACAUGAUCAAAUUAGCCUUCAAAAUUUUAUGUAAAUGUACAACAUAAAGAUCAUGUACAAGUCCCAAAAUUUAUGCAAACUAUAGAUGCCUAUAUGCAAAUGUGAUCUUCCCAUAAAGCUCGCAAAAAAUCCGCCUCCAAUGGCCAGCUUCAAGUAUCCCCUCGAACGUUCCCUAUGAUAGAAACAACUAUCGCUAAGCAUAAAGCUUAGUGGUGUAAAAAACUAUAUGCGUGGAGCCGCUAGAUUCACCAAGUUACCUUUCAAAAGUCAUGGACAGCACAAUUGAAACAUAAUAAAUAAAUCAAGUAAACAAUAUAUUAAGGUAUCAAGUUCUAUAUUUAAAGAUCCAAGUGUCCAGAACACUCAUAACACCAUUUCCAAAAAGAUCCAAUACCAAGGCUCGCCCAAUAUAUACAUCAUACCGUCACACCCAACAUAACCAAGUAUCAAGAAGGACCGAAGCCCUGUAUCAAGAAGGAUCGAACCCCUGUAUCAAGAAGGACCGAACCCCUGUAUCAAGAAGGGUCAAAGCCCAAUAAUCAAGAGAAUCAAGAACCAUAUUAAAAAUGGCUUCCUAGUUCAUACUUAAAAUGGACAACAUCCAUACUUAAGACAAACCAAAAAUCCAGAGUCAAGAUGGCAAAUAAUCUGAAUCAAUAGGCAUGCAUUGUGACAAAGUCACAGCCACAAGAAGGACAAAGUCCCAACAAGAAAGCCAAGUGAUCAAGCAAUCUGUACAAGUGGGCGAGUUACACAAGUCUCUUGAAAGUCUCAGAGAAUAUCAAUACGACAAUACAAUGUGACAAGAAGUAACCAAGGUAUCAAGAUAACCCUUCAAAUAAACAAGCAUUUAACAAGAGUACAAGUACAAGUUUAUACCCAAACCUCGGGAUUUAGCAUAGAAACAAUCCAACAAAACUUCAAGAAUUCAAACCGUAGCCCGACCAACGUAUCAAGGUUAUCAACUUGAUUUGGGCAGCACCUUUGAAGGACAGUUGUACAAGUGAUAAACAUCACUUUUGUGACUAUAUAUUUUCACACCUCCUUUAGUAAAUUCGUUUUCCUCAAGUCUUAGAACCUUAGAAACAUAUCUAAACAGAUUGUUCUUCAAAAUCACAAGAGGAAAACUUUGUCUUUUUGGCUGGAAUUCGAGACACACCCCUUCUCUUUGGUAAGUGAUGAAAUCUGUUUCUGAGCGGGGUAGUGUUUGGUAAUUUAUACAUAUCUCGUUUUCUAGAACUUCGUUUACAGUGAAUAAAUAUGAUUUGGAAAGCUAAUUUUUAUACCUACAACUCUUAUGUUUAUGUAAAACUCUAAUUUAGUUGUUAUGGAUUCGGAAUAGGGGACGUAACAUAGGGAAAGUUCUGUCCAGAUUUCGGAAUUUGAAAUCCUGUAUGAUCAACUGUUAGUGUUUUGAAUAUAUCUUUUUGUACAAAAUAUAUUUUUCAGUGAUUCUUGUUUAUUUGCAACCUUUAGAGAUGUACCUACAUCUUUCAUGAAGAAUAUAAAGUUCAGUUUUGCGUUUUUCCUUUACAAAUUUAAGUUGCGACUUGAGGUACCAGGCUGGACAGAUUCACUGUUCUGGGAGCAUAGUUGUAUUUGUACAUGCUAGGCUUACGUGUGAUGAUGAUCCUAUUUUACGUCAACAUUAUUGAGUUAAUAGAAGUUAAAGAAGUUAUUUAAUUGUAUUUUUAAGGUUAUAUAUACUCGUGUACAAGUUAGUACUUCGGGGUGUUACAAUUAUGGUUAAAAAACCAAAUCAAACCGCAAUCCGAACCAAACCGAUUAAAAAAACUGAUAUUUGGUUUGAUUUGGUUAGGUUUGAUUUUAUAUUUUGAAAAACCGAUACUAUUUGGUUUGGUUUUACUAAAAAAUAACUGCAAAAAUAACCAAAACAAACUGAUAAAUUAGAUAUAUAAAAUUUUGUAAUUAUUUAUAUAUUAUUCAUAAACAAAAUAUAAAUAUUUUGUUAAAUUUUAAGUAACUUAAGUCUUUAACUUUACCAUUUUCUCAAGCCCAACACGUAAUUUUAGCCCGUCUAUUACAAUCAUAAGUCCAAGUCCAUCAAAAUUCAUUACUUUAGUCUUUUACUUAAUAGACCUUUCCUAAGAUAGUUACACCUUCUCUUAAUUAGAUCACUUUGUUCAUAUAAUGGUAAGUUUAGUAUUGUUUAACUGCUUAAUUGAACCAACAAUAGUUUUUCAAUGGAUUGCUCAUGUACUUGAUGUUUGUGUCUAUCAAGAUACGUAUGUCCUCAAAAAUUUAUUACUUUUAAACUGAAAAAACCAGAAAAACUUAACCAAACCAAAUCAAACUGUCAAUAACCAAACUGGCGGUUAUUUUUUUUUCAUUUGGUUUGGUUUGGUUUUAGAAAUUUAAAUAAAUACCACCUCAGCAGUCUCUAAGCACCACUUAUAUACCAUUAUUCAUCAAAUCCUCCAACCCAUCACAAACUCAUAAUGGACAAGUUGGCUUUAACAAAGAGGUCUAACAACAAUGCACCCCAACCUUACUAACUUCACUCAAGAUUUAAUAUGAGCCUACAAAACUGGGACUAAACUUCCCAAACUCAAUACACUUCUCAAGGUGAGUAUUCCAAGCCAAUCUAAAUCAUGGACAUCAAAGACACUCAAUGACCUUACCCUCAAGAACAUCAUCUUCCUCAUGGAAGUUAACUUAUACAGACUUUUAUAAGCACCAUUUCUUUCAAAUCUAGGGGAGUCUAUUCACUCAACACCUAUAGGCAUUACUCAAACACCCUCUUUCACCAAACCUCACAACCUACCUAAACGCAGAAUGGUCAAGUAGAGUUCUACCACCAAUAUCAUAAAGCAACUUCAGCCCAUUCACACUAAGGACAACAUCGAGGUCUAGCAUAUCAAGUCACAAAAAGACAAGUAAUAUCGGAACCUAAUAAAACAUAACACAUACCGGAACCAUUAGGAGGAACUUUCUUAUCCUCUCUUUCUCUUGCCCUAAGCACCGGGCAAUCUCUCAUUUUCCGAGGCAAAACCUAUCAAGAAACCCAUAUCAUCACCUUUGGUGGGAUCUACCAACCAAUCAAACCUAGGUAUUAUCUAAACACCUUACUCAAAAUGCUUACGAUCAAUCUUAAAAGAUAACUAACUCUUUGAAGUUGGUCAACACUUACACUUCUUAUUCUUCACCUUAACUAGGUGGUACAAGCAACCCUCCAUGUCAACUUUAAGACAAAACAUAAUCCAAACUUAUGGCAUAGAUCUUUCCCCCUUCCACUCUCGGAUAAGCUCAUUUGGGGACUAACAAUAUGACUAUACGGGUUCUAACAUCACAUAGGAGCAUAACAAUAACACUACCAAUUCAUCCUAAGGAUGACAUCUAAAUCUUAGCAUAUCAAGUCCUAUCUAGUCACAUAGCCAUCAUUGGCAUUUCAACCAACACCUUCUCUACUCCUUGUAACAAGAGCCCUUCGAGUAAUCACAUCUUGUAGACCAUCGAUUAGAGAGAAAACACCUUAUAGAGUUAAACUCUAUGGCACGACUAGAGAAUGAAGAAGUGGAGUUUCCUAAUGUCCUAUAGCCUCUCGCUCAUAAAUGUGUCAUGACUCACACCGAUGAACUCUCUCUACUAGGUUUGAGACAUCCUAAAACCGUCCCAAAACUUAUGCUCUGAUACCAAGUUUGUCACGACCCGAGACUAUCCCCUAGACGUGACAUGGCGUACUUGACCCCGAAGGGGUCUCAUACAAGUACUUAGCAUAUCAUACAUAAGAACAUAGGGAAAAAUGCAGAAAAUUUAAAAACUUUUCUUACAAUCGAAGUCUUUAUAAAAUGAGAGAGUCUAUGACACUAUGUCUCAAACCAUCUAUAACAAUAGACUUAAAACUCUUUAAUACAAUCUUAGGUACACAACCCUUACAUGAAUUUAAAACAUAAAAGAAAGACAUAAUGGACAUAUGGUUGAGCCCUCGAAUACUAUGAGGACUCACCAAUCUUCUUCUUCUUGAUUUACAAGAGUCCUAGCCACGAGGAUAGCAUCAAAUAUCUCCAAGGCCUACUCUUAUAGAAAAUGUAGAAAUAUGGGUUAGAACAAAAUCUAUCAAGUAUGGAAGCCAUGCAAGAAAACCCUUAAAACAUGCAUAAAAGGGACAUUUUGUUUAAAACCAUGCUUCAUGCCACUUUUGAACAUCAUCUUUGAAAUAGUUGAAGAAUGCAACUCAUAAAGCAUCUCACAUACAAUUAAUCAUAGCACAAAGCAUAUCAUCAUAAUAGCAAUCAUAGUCUCCAACAUAAACAUAAUACAUAUCUCUAUCUUCACAAGACAUAGUUCAUACACAUAGUCAAAUACAAAGAUCAACUCAUCAUAAUAGAACUACCACAUAAGCAACCCAAAGCCGCACUAGUGCAAUGCAAAAGGUAAGAUCCCAUAAUCCUACCAAAUGCUAAGUAUCACAUUUAGGCCACCAACAACAUACAUAUCUUACUUUACCAUAGUCAUUGCCAACAUACAUAAGUAAGGAGUCAUUCAUGUUCAUAUCUUGUAAUAAGUGAAGUCAACCUUAACAUUCAUACAUACCUUUCAUACAUAAUUUAUAUAUCUUCAUAGCAUAAGGAACCCACCCCAUAACCCCUUUAUAAGUCUACUUGUGCAAUGUAUAAGUGAAGUCCCAUACCCCCACUCACACUAAGUAAAGAUCAUUCAUAUUUAUAAUUCAUACAAAGCAUACAUUCAACUCAUAAUCAUCAUAUCGUGAAAGAGACAUAACAUGCCCACUCUCAAAGUCUACUUGUGCAACGCACGAAUGAAGUCUCAUACCCCCAUUCAUGCUAAGUAGAACCUCUCUUGAGGAACCAUAGAACAUGCCCAUGUUCUUAUCAUAAUUCAUAUUCUUAUCAUUUAGGGAGAUUUAGCCUUAACGUCACAUAGACCAUGUGAGCUACAUGGAAUCCGGUGUUCUACCCCCACACCGAAAAGAGGUGUCCUACUUGCCUAAGGUAAAACGUACAUAAUAGCUUAUAGGUAAAUCCACUAGCUAUGUAUGGGGGCACAUAGUUAUGGGGUAAGGAGAUUGCUACUAGAAACCCGAACUUUCUAACGUAAAAGGUUUCCAUCUCAUGAGAUAACAUACAAUGGGAAGCCAAACUUUCUAACGUAAAAGCUUCCAUCUCACUUUCAUACCCUCUCGGUGCUAAGCAUAAUUCCCUCUAAAAGUCAUAUUAAGUCUUUACUUAAGUUCAUGGUCAUAUGAGAAUGCACUAGGCACUCAAACCAACAUAUCAUAAUAGCUCAUAGAUUCAUUAAGUGAGAAUGUCCUUUCACUUUAGAAUCAUCAACAUGUGAGUAAACAUUUCACAUCAUAUUCAUAGUGUGUUCAUGAAAAUGGCCUUUCAUACAACACAACAAUAAUAUCAUAGUCAUAACAUAUCAUAUAUAAUCAUAUCAUAUCGUACAUAGUCAUAACAUAUCAUACAUAGUCAUAUAUAGGGGUAUAGGAAAGAAGGAUCUUGCAUCAAUACCACAAUAUACAUAAUAAUUAAACACCUCCACCUUUCAAGUGGAUCAACAUGAUCACGAGCAUUACAUGCAUAAAAGUAUGUAAAGGUGCAUAUGAGAACUAACCUUUCAAUCAACACCAUAGAUACAUUAUCAUCAUAGACACUUCCUUCUCAAGUGUUCAUAAACAUGUACAUAAUACCACAACCACACAUAAUACACAUAUAUUGCAUUCAAGGAUCAUAUUGAGUCAACACAUCUAGCAUUUAACAUAUGUAAGUAACAUGGAUAUAACUAUGACUCAAGUAAUCCAUUCAUUUCAUGCAUAAACUCAUGGGAUCCUAUUAUACGUCAUGUGGGUGAAGCCAUUGCACAAUAAUGCCAUAUACAACUUCUACAUACAUAAAUAGUUUCCUUCUUUAAGCAUUAACAUCCUUAGCUUAUUCACAUUAGCUUUUACCUUUAAAGCCCUAGGAGUUAUUUUCAUAUUAUGAGCAUUAACCUCAAGCAACACCUCACAUUGUAAUCAAGUAAACCUAAGUCUCAAGGUAACCUUAACUAUUUGCUUCAUUCUUACUCAAUUAUAGACAUAUAGCAUCAAGUAAACUAAAUCUCAAUACUACUUCAACCAUGAUCCAUCAUAUAAGACCUAAUCGAAUUAGUUCAUGUCUACAAGAUUCAUUCAUAAGCAAUUCAUGUCUAAGUGAUCUAAUCUAAGGGAAUUCACUAAGAAGCUCAUCGAUCUUAAAGGUUCACAUCUAACCCUCAAUUUGCCCUUCAAGGCUAAGAAUCAAGAUUCAACCCUAACCUCUAGAAUUACCAAGUUUUAUUGGGGAAUUUAUGAUUCAACAACUUAAUAACAUAAACACAAUCAAUUGACAAGCUUACAUGAUCAAUCAAGUCAUACUCUAGUUCACAUUAAGGAAAAAGGGGAAAUCAUGGGUCCAAGGGAGAUUUUCAUUAAAAUCCAUCAAUACUCCAUUAAUCCAAACAUAAAUCAUCAUAAUCAAUCAUAAUAAACCUUAAUUAAACAAUUGAAUUUGGUUUGGAAGAAGACCCAUGACUAGAUUUGAAAACCCUAGAUUUGGGGAAUUUGAAAACAUAGUUGAAUGGGAUUCUUGGUGAUAACUAACCAAGAAUGAAAAGCAUUCAUACCUUAGACUUGGAAUCCCAUCAAAUUCAUAUGAAAAAUCCGUCUUCUUGAAGCUUUAGCUUGAUCCCUUCCUUUGUUCUUCAAUGGAGUCUAGAGAGAAGAUUUUGGGAGAGGAGGGAAGUUGGGAUUUGAUUUGGGAUCUUGGGUUAUGACUUAUUAAGAUGUGUUUUAAUGACUUAAAAUAGUUUAUAUAGGUCUAUUAAAUCAGUAUAAAAUGACCCUAGACUAGAAUAAUUAAAUUAGGAGUUAAUUGGGAAAACUUACCUUUGGUCGAACCUCUUUGACAACAUGCAGGUGUGUUCCACAAAACCCCCACCUACGGACCGUAGGUGGGGUCACUCCCCGUACUGUGGGGUCGUGGUUUGAGGCAGAGGCAUUCUUUUGGGGGCCAUGACCUACGGAGGCCAUCCACGGGGCGUGGAUGGACCUACGGGUCGUGAACCCCAUCUGUAGGUCACCCUCAUUUUGGCAGCUUUUUGGUUUCUUGGGGUCUUGGGGUUAGGCUUUAGGGUGCUCCUCAAGGACCCCUAGGGUGGUCCUUGGGGGGUCGUACCUAAACGUUUAACCCCUAAACCCCUAAACCUAAGCUUGGGAAGACAUUCUACCACAUGAAAUCCCAUAACAACUCAAAACGAAACUCGUUCGGCUCUAGUUUCACCUACUUGUUUCUAUUAGGCCUUAGCUUAGUCUUACUAACUUUCCGAGUUGUUACACUUGGAGAAACACUUACCUUGAAGAAGAAUCUUGAAAAAGAUUGAAAGAAUCUUGAAUGGAAUCUUCUACUUUGAUUUUUCCUUAGGGUUUUGCCCUAGGUUUUGAGAGAGAAGAGAAUGAUGGAUUAAAAGAUAAAAAUCUGAUUGUUUUGAGCUUUUUAUUAGUCAAGAAAUUCGUUUAGGGUUUUUUUUGGAUGUAAAAAAACAAAAACGACCCUUUUUAAUGUUUUCCCGUUGGCAAAUUCGUAACAACACUGUAUCAGGUUACUAAAAUAGUCAUAACUUUUUACUCAGAAAUUGGAUUGACGUGAAAUUGAUGGCAUUGGAAAGUAGAUUCAAAUACCCACGUAACUCUUUAUAUUCUAAGAGAUAUGGUCGUUUGAAGUUGAUCCAAGUAGAAUCUUACAUCAAAACUUAAUCAAUAAGGAAACUUCAAGAACACUUAUCAAUCAGGAACUCAUCAAGAAAUUAAAUUGCUCAAUAUUUAUGGAUAGAUUUGAAAAAGAAACUCAUGAUUGGAGUGUGGGUGAACAAACCUGUCACACCUCACCCUAGGUUAGACGGACAAGUACUAUAUGAACACAUGUUUUACAAGUGACCUAUGACGAGAAAGUGAACUACUAUGCAUAUAGAUUUGCUACUGAAAAGCUACAUAUACAACACAUGUUGACUAGCUGAACCAAUACAUGUGCCAGGUAAAACUAUGAUUACAGAUGAUAGUUUUAAAAUGUCUACAAAGCCUCUACUAGAAUUCAUGACUGUACAACUAUCAAAAUACGCAUAGUAAAGACUCGGCAAAGCCCCGAAUCAACAUGGAGCACACCAACAACCGUUGAGUAUCAUGUGCUUCUAUGGGGGAGAUCUACUAGUUGAGUGCAUGUACCUGCAGCGUCCCUAAUGAGGGACGUCAGUACGAAAGAAUGUACUGAAUAUGUAAGGCAUAAAUGCAACAUAUGUAAAAUGAGAGCUCAAGUGAAACCAAAUACAAAUAGGUAAGGAUUAGAGACCACCUUUGCUUAUACCUUUGGAAUCGUAUAUGUUACAUUCUUUUCUUUACUUUUCGGUGCAUUCUAAUCUUUAUAAGGCAUAUGAUACAAAUGACCAGCUGAUCAGUNNNNNNNNNNNNNNNNNNNNNNNNNNNNNNNNNNNNNNNNNNNNNNNNNNNNNNNNNNNNNNNNNNNNNNNNNNNNNNNNNNNNNNNNNNNNNNNNNNNNNNNNNNNNNNNNNNNNNNNNNNNNNNNNNNNNNNNNNNNNNNNNNNNNNNNNNNNNNNNNNNNNNNNNNNNNNNNNNNNNNNNNNNNNNNNNNNNNNNNNNNNNNNNNNNNNNNNNNNNNNNNNNNNNNNNNNNNNNNNNNNNNNNNNNNNNNNNNNNNNNNNNNNNNNNNNNNNNNNNNNNNNNNNNNNNNNNNNNNNNNNNNNNNNNNNNNNNNNNNNNNNNGUCAUAAUCAUUGUUGAGACUUGGAACUAUGAACUACUAGUAGAAGACAUGGGAAUAUGGAUACUUACGAUAAUAACAAUGACAUGUGAAGCAAAUGUGACACCAACGUAAUACUUAGGAGCUUAUCUGACUCAGUAAGCAUUUUGACAUCUCAAAUUGAAGCACAUAUCAAGUGAAGAUAUUUAACAUUCAGCCAAGAGAUUUGAACUCUAUAUGGUAGCCAAAUACUCACUAACUAAUAUCAAAUACAAGGUACAUAUGAAAGUGGAACCAAUGGAGAACGUGGUCAGAUUCAACUUAAGGACGGAUACAUAUUCCAAGUAAGUACAUAUAAAAUGUACAAUAGAGCAAGUAGGGAUCUUGUGAGGUAACAUAAUAGUCUAACACAAUGGAGUAAUAAUCAAUAAAGGGAACAUAUGUACAUGUGACAAGAUGACAUAUAUGAUGGAAUAGACAAUUGAAGCAAGUUGGCUUGAUAUGGGCAGAUUGUAUAUCCAACAUAUAAACAUAUGUACCAUGUGUAAUCUAGGAUCACUUUGAUUUAUUUAAGGGGAACAUGUGCCAAGAGUACUUUGACGAUGAAACACAUUUAAACAUUGCAUGCUAAUACUUGGUAGAGUAAGCACACACAUUUAGUAAUAAACUCAUAUUAGAGUACUCAUUUUAAUGCUCUAGAGAGUAGGAACUGCAACUAUGGAUUAGUCACUACCAAGGGCACUUAGAAAGCUUACAAGUGUUGGAUUCAUGCCAAAGAAAUAGGAAAUCGAAUAGCCUUACAUACCUUGCUGCACAACUUUGGAUAUUACAAUGAGUUAACUGUCUUCCUUUCAGAUUAUUUAUCUACAAUGGAGUAAAUAAUAAAACUAGCAUUAGUAGCUGAUAAACAAGUUUGGGCUACUUGAUCAGACCAAAACAGUAAUUGGCAGUAAGUCUAUAAUUGAUCCCAUCAAGGGUGUUCUUCCCACCCAUUCUCCUCUAUAAAAAAAUUCAUGUACUAUACAACCUUCUUAUAUGGUCCUCCAAAACUCCUCAGGCUUCAUAACGUUUGGAAAUCAAUAUGCAAAGGGAUGGCAGGAAGUAAGCUCAUGGAACACUCAAUUAAGUGGUAUACCACUACACUUUCAAUGUUUUAUCCUAUAACCAGUUCCCAUCACUUCUCUGCACAUAUCCAGCCACACCCCCUUAUUUUACGAUACACAAAAUAGUCCCUAAAAAUCACAAUGUGGAAAUAGCAAUAUGAACAUACGGCUUCCUAUCAACAUCCCGUGAGUUCCAACUAACAUUACAUUUAAGAUGCUCAAAACGAGCUCACAAUCAAAAUUUAAGGGGACUCCACUCNNNNNNNNNNNNNNNNNNNNNNNNNNNNNNNNNNNNNNNNNNNNNNNNNNNNNNNNNNNNNNNNNNNNNNNNNNNNNNNNNNNNNNNNNNNNNNNNNNNNNNNNNNNNNNNNNNNNNNNNNNNNNNNNNNNNNNNNNNNNNNNNNNNNNNNNNNNNNNNNNNNNNNNNNNNNNNNNNNNNNNNNNNNNNNNNNNNNNNNNNNNNNNNNNNNNNNNNNNNNNNNNNNNNNNNNNNNNNNNNNNNNNNNNNNNNNNNNNNNNNNNNNNNNNNNNNNNNNNNNNNNNNNNNNNNNNNNNNNNNNNNNNNNNNNNNNNNNNNNNNNNNNNNNNNNNNNNNNNNNNNNNNNNNNNNNNNNNNNNNNNNNNNNNNNNNNNNNNNNNNNNNNNNNNNNNNNNNNNNNNNNNNNNNNNNNNNNNNNNNNNNNNNNNNNNNNNNNNNNNNNNNNNNNNNNNNNNNNNNNNNNNNNNNNNNNNNNNNNNNNNNNNNNNNNNNNNNNNNNNNNNNNNNNNNNNNNNNNNNNNNNNNNNNNNNNNNNNNNNNNNNNNNNNNNNNNNNNNNNNNNNNNNNNNNNNNNNNNNNNNNNNNNNNNNNNNNNNNNNNNNNNNNNNNNNNNNNNNNNNNNNNNNNNNNNNNNNNNNNNNNNNNNNNNNNNNNNNNNNNNNNNNNNNNNNNNNNNNNNNAUGCAGUCCACUAAUUCUAAGUAGGUGCAUCACCUACUUGUCACCUACUAGCACCUCACUUAUUUUACACCAUUUUCUCAAUCUUAGUUUCUUUACAAGACUGUAGCACUAAUACGCACUUGACCACUUUUACUUUUACAUCGAAUACCACCUUUUACUAUCCCGAGUUCAAAUUGUUUUUGAGUUCACUUAGUCAUAUAUGUGUUGGAAGGCAUGGCGUAUUGCAACUUUAAACCUAUUAUAUUGUCACUAGUCGCAUAGGAAACCGAGUCCAUAACUAUACCACAAGGCAAUUUAUAAGCGUCAUAUAAAUAGAACUAGUACACGUAGAAUAUGGGGUGUUACAAAACCCAACACUAUGGAAGCUUACAUACCUCAAAGAACUAGGUUCUUGGCUAAAUCUUGAAUUUCUUGAACGAACGCUUGAAACUUUGAACUUUUUCUCCUCUUGAAUCUUCUCUCUAAAACCCUAAAUGCUUUUGGGAUGAAUGAAACUAAUUCUAAUUAGUUUGUACUCCUAAAACCUUACUAAAAAUGCUUAAAUCCAAUUCGGUAAGGAAAAGACCAAAAUGCCCCUCAUAUUUUCGGGUAGUUUUCCUUAAUUGGACAGCCCGACUUCAAACGAGCAUAUCUCCCUCAUACGAGCUUGAAAAUUAGCAAACUUGGUGGCGUUGGAAAGAGGAUUCCAGGAAGAAGAGCAGACAACUUUUCUUAUGUCAGGCAACCCUACAGAAGUUUGGCAUAAAAGAAUGGGUCAUUUUCAUCGUCAAGGUAUGAAGUUAUUUCAAAGAAGGGAACUUGUGAAUGAUACCAAGAUUGCAGAAUCGGUGGACAAAUUGUCAAGCUUGUUUACUUGGAAACCUUUCCCAAAACAACUUGGAGAGCAUCAAAAAAGCUUCAGCUCAUUUAUACAGACCUGUGUGGACUUCACAGGACACCAUCUUUAAAUGGUAGUCUUUACUACAUUGUAUUGAUGGUAAAACAAGACUGGCCUGGAUUUUUUUUCUUAAAAUUCAAGUCAGAGGUAGCUGAUGUGUUUUGGAAUUUUAAGGAAAAGAUGGAAAAUCAAAGUGGCUGCAAAAUUCAGACUUUAGGUUAAAAUUUUGACUUUAGGUCUGAUAAUGGGAAGGGGUACUUUUUAAAUCAGUUCAAAUUACUUUGUGAAAAAGCUGGUGUAGAACAUCAGCUAACAGUCCCUUAUACUCCACAACAAAAUGGAAUUAGUGAGCAAAAAAACAGAACUAUAAUGGAGAUGACUAGGUGCAUGCUACAUAAGAAACAUCUACCAAAAAGGUUCUGGGCGGAGGUAGCCAGCACUGUUGCUUUUUUGCAAAACAAACUUCCUUCUAGAUCUGUAAAGGAUAAAACACCAUAUGAAGCAUGGUAUGGUCAUAAACCCUCAUUGCAAUUUCUCAGAAUUUUCGGCUACUUGUGUUUCGCUUAUAUACCACAGGUUAAAAAGAGAUAAGCUUGAUAAGAAGGCAAUUCCUGGAAUCGUUAUAGGCUACAAUGUUUUCUCCAAAGCAUAUAAGGUCUAAUCUUAGUUGCGCGGACUCUUCACUUUUGAUGCCGUACCCGUCUCGAAUUCUUCAAAAAUACACUACUUUUGGCGAAUCCGACACGCACCAGUUGGCAUUUUGAAGAGUCCGAGCAACAUAGAGGUCUAUGAACCUCAAAUGGAGAAAAUUGUCGUAAGUAGAGAUGUCCACUUCAUUGAGGACCAACAGUGGAAUUGGGAGAAGCCUGAAAAGAAUCCACCGGUUGACAGUCUAUUAGAUCCAAAAGAUCUACUAGAUGAUCCUCCUGUUAAAGGCAUGCGAUUGAUCUCUAAUAUCUAUCGGAUAUGUAAUACUGCAAUUUGUGAGCCCGCAAGCUAUGAGGAAGAAAAAGGGGAUGACAAAUCGGUGGCAACAAUGAAGGAGGAGAUGAUGAUGAUCGGAAAAAAUCAAAUUUGGGUGCUUGUUGAGAAAUCUCUAGACAGAAAGAUCAUUGGUGUAAAAUGGGUCUUCAGGACAAAGAUAAAUGCUAAUAAUGGCUUCAUCAACAAGCACAAAGCGAGGAUUGUAGUGAAAGGUUACGCUCAGAUCUUUGGAGUAGACUACUCAGAACUUUCACACCAGUUGCUCAACUUGACACAAUCAGAUUGCUACUAGUCAUUGCAGUGGAAAAAGGUUGGAAAGUUUAUCAACUUGAUGUUAAGUCGGCCUUUCUCAAUGGUCUUCUCCAGGAGGGGAUUUAUGUUGAGCAACCAGAUGGUUUUGUUGUCAAGGGGCAAGAAAAUAAGGUUUGUUUGCUAAAGAAAUCUCUCUAUGGUUUAAAAGCAAGCACCAAGAGCUUGGUAUAGCAAGAUUGACAAUCAUUUGCUAAGUUUAAAAGCCUAUCUGAGUCUACACUUUAUAUUAAGUGUUCAAGUGCAGACAUACUUAUUAUUUCUUUGUAUGUUGACGAUCUCUUUGUCACAGGAAGUAAGGUUUUCCUAAUCAAGGACUUCAAGUUGGAAAUUAUGAAGGUCUUUGAAAUGACAGACCUUGGACUGAUGGUGUACUUUCUUGGAAUGGAGAUCAAACAAAACGAAGACAAUGUGUUCAUUUGCCAGAGAAAAUAUGCUCAAGAAAUCCUAAAGAAGUUUCAUAUGGCAGACUGCAAAGUUAUGAGUACUCCAAUGAACCAAAAGGAAAAGUUUACCAAAGAUGAUGGAACAGAAAAGGUGGAUGAGGCAUAUUAUAGAAGUCUUAUUGGUUGCUUGAUGUAUUUGACUGCAACUAGGCCUAAUAUUGUAUAUGCAGUGAGUUUUUGUCUCGGUUCAUGCAUUGUGCAAGUGAUUUACACUUUAGAGAAGCUAAAAGAAUUGUCAGAUACAUCACGGGAACUAUCAACUAUGGUGGUAAGUUUCACAAAAGUCAGAAGUUUAGACUUAACGGAUUCCCCGAUAGUGAUUGGGGUGGUGCACCUGAUAUGAAGAGUACUUCAGGUUUCUAUUUCAUUCUUGAAUCAGGAGCUUUCUCUUGGUAUCCAAGAAUAAAGAUAUUACUACAAUCAACAGCCCAGGCAGAUUAUUGUUGCAACAGCAACAGCUGUGAAUUAAGCACUAUGGUUGGAAAAAAUUAUGAGUGAUAUGAAUAUGGAGCAAAAAGAAGGGACUGAGGUUUUUAUUAAUAACCAAGCUGCAAUUUCUAUUGCUAAUAAUCCAAUUUUUCAUGCAAAAACAAAGCAUUUCAAUAUUUAGUUGUUUUUCUUAAGAGGCGUGUAGAAACAUGGAGAUGUGAAACUUCUUUACUACAAGAGUGAUGAGCAGGUUCCCCCCUUUCCCACUUCAAGACUUCUCAGAUCCAGAUAAAACAACACAAUUAUUAAUAGGGUGGGGUUGAUGGAGCAUUGAGUCAAUACCUUGCUUAUUGUUGGCAUCCUAGCUCUGAUUGUCCUGAUAAACCUUAGGGUCAACACUGGGGGUGGGGACUGCAACACUACCAUGGGGUUGAGGGGUGGGGAUCAUUGAGUCAAUACCUUUUUGUUGUUUACUGGUCUGAUUCUGAUGUGGUACUGGUUUAUAAACCUGAUUUUGUUGGUUGUUUUGGUGAUUCCUCUGAUUGUUUUGAGGAUAGCCUAUAAAGUUCUUUUUCUUUUGUGUCUGCCAUUGGUCUUCUUGCAUUUUUUGUUGAUCCUGGUGAGUUCUUGAUGGUUGCUCUUUGGUACCUGAAACACUAGCAGAAAUAUUAUUUUUAACAGGUUGAGAAUUAAUUGGUAGAGUAGUUACCUCAGUGUCAUUUCAUUCUGCUGUUUUGGUUUUGUUCUUGUUUGCUGCUUCAGCCUCCUUUCUUCUUCUAUAUUCAUCAUCUCUCCUCUUGACACAUGUAUGGACUUUACGGCCUUGGUGUUUGCAGUAAUCACUAUCCUGACUUGUUGGAGCCUGUGGAAAACUAGAUGUGCAUGCAAAUAUGGUGGAAACAAAUCUAAUAUGCCUAGAGUGAUAUACUUGGUGCAUCAGAUGGCCAUCCAAGUGGCCUGAGUUGAUACAGUUUGCAGGAAAUUACUUCCAUGAAAUCAAAAUUACAAAGGUAAGUUGAUUUAAGCCAGGAAAGAUAAGAGCUGGUGGUAUUGUUAGACUUGCCCAAGGUGAUUUAAACUAUGCUUAUGCUACUCCACUAGGCCAUGGUACCAGCAACCACGCAUGGAUUGAAGCUGCUCAAUGGGGUAUAUCUUGGUGUCUAAAUUGGCUUUAACCAGGUGAUUUUGGAAGUAGACUCCGAGUUAGUCGUUCACUGGAUAAAACAACAAGCUGCUCUACCUUGGAAUUUGCAGCAUGUGAUCAAUUCCAAUCAUUUUCCUGUAAUCACACCUUUAGAGAGGCUAACUUUAAUAGCAUGUUUUAUUUAAAACUAUACAUAACAGUGAAGUCCCUCAACAUUACUUCCAUGUCCACCAGCUACCAAAAGAAGCUAGAGGAUAGUAACAUGCUGGACAACAGUGAGAUGCCAAAUUUUAGAAGAAGAUCAGAGAACCACCUUGAUCCGACAGCUUUGCAUAUGGUUCAUGUGAAGAUGCCCUUUUGUUUUUUUCUUGGUUUUUCUUCAUACUUUGUAAGGGGAGAGUCUCCCUCAUUUAUCGCUUUCCUAGAUUACUUGUAUUGAGAGGAGUCCUCUCUUCUAGGUGCAUAGUUGAUCUAGGUUUCUUUUCUAGUAUCGGGGAUGAGUUAGCCGUCCUUAGUAGGAUAGUCGACUUAUGUUUCACCAUAGGAUCGGAGGUAAGGUUUAUGUCCCCUCCUUGUAUUUCCCUUGUUUUUGUUUUAUUAAUGAUAAGGCCUGGGGUGUUGCUCAAUCCAUGACCCACCUCAAGGGUCACGAAAAAAAAACUUCAAGUCAUAAACCCUAAACCUUCGGGCCUAACCCUAAACUCUAAUCUCUAAACCUUAAACCUUAGGGCCUAAACCGUAAACCCUAAACCUUUGGGCCUAACCCUAAGCUCUAAUUCCUAAACCCUAAACCUGAUGACCUAAACGUUUAACCUUUUAGGGCCUAAACCCUAAACCUUAAACCUUAGGGUAGGAUCCUAAACCUUAAACCUUAGGGUAGGAUCCUAAACCCUAAACCUUGGGGCGUAAACCCUAAAACAUAAACCAUAAAUCCAAAACCCUAAGUCUCAGAGCCUAAACCCUAAGCCUUAUGCCCUAAACCUAAACCUUAGGACCUAAAACUUAAACCUUGUGGCCUAAAUCCUAAACCAUAAACCAUAAACUCUAAAUCUUAUGGCCUAAACUCUUAAACCUAAAUUCUAAACCAUAAACCAUAAAUCUUAGGAUCUAAACCCUAAAUCAUAAACCUUAGGGCCUAAACCAGAAAUCCUAAAACCUAAACUUAGGGCCUAAUAUCUAAACGCUAAAUCCUAAACCUUAGGGCCUAAACCCUAAACCAUGUACCCAACCCUAAACCCUAGACUCUAAACCUUAUACAUUAGGGCCUAAAAUUUAAAUCCUAAACUCUAAGUCUUAGGGCCUAAACCCAAAACCAUAAAUCAUAAACCCAAAACCCUAAGCCUUUGGGCCUAAAUGCUAAACCCUAAACCUUAGGACAUAAAAAAUUAUGAACUCUAAAACUUAGGGCCUAAACUGUAAAUCCUAACCCCUUAACCAUAAACCCCAAACCUUUAACAUUAAACCCUAAACCCUAAACCUUAAUGCCAAAACCCCAUCGCAUCCUCAUUUCCCUAAUUAUUUCUCUCUCUAAAAAUUCUCUCUAGAGACAACCGACUUUUACCGGAAUGGCAACAGAGCCGUCGGUGGAGCAGCUCUGGCUGCCGGACCAAAGCCAUUUGAUGCAGAAUUCGAAUACGAACAAAACCCAACCAGGCGCAUCCUCAGAUUCAUCCGACAACUCUUCAAAAUUGCAAAGAACUGAAGCGAUCCAUGUCGCGAUUUCAAAGCGAGAGUUGGACUGGGCACGUAAAAUUAUUUCCCUAGAAAAAUCUGGAAUGAUUCGAGUUAAUUCAGUAGGGAAUCAUGAUUCUCCAUCCCACGAUCUAUCUUCAGUCCAAAAAUCAAGCGAUUGCACCCUUCAAAUUGAUAGAUCCAACAAGGCGAUUUUGGGAGGAAUCGCCUGGCACGCGCGUGCAGAUUCGACCACCUUCUGAGGAGAUGAAUGAGUUUUCAACCACUGGGGAGUCUUCCCCAAGGAGUACAUCUUACUGAAAUUUCUAAUCAUUUUCAUGGUGGAAUCACCGGCAGGUCAAAGUCCGGUGAAGUCGCCGGAGCUCCGGUCAACAAUAGGGACAAAGGGCUGUGCCAAACGAUUCCUCUUGAUGAAGCCAACCCUCUAAGGUAUCAGAAUUCACUAAGAAACAUCAAAAUGAUGUGUAUUUCGAUUAACCUGCAGGACAAAGAGGCAACAAAUGCAGAUGAUCAUUAGGAUAAGCUCAGGCCACAAUCAAGCAUGAACAAUUCUGUACAAGAUAUUAGUGAACUGAAAGAAGCUAACAACAAGUCAAAAAUGGCAUAUGGUGUACAAUCCAAGGAGCACAACAUUAAUAAUCCAAGAGGUUGGCAAGAAACAGGGGAGGAGCUGACUGGUAUUCUGAAUCAAGCGAACAAGCAGGUGAAGGAACAGAUGCAAGGCCAAGAGGAAAAUAAUGGAAUUACACAGCAGCACCAGGAGAUCAGGAGCACACAACAAAGAGAACAACAUGUAGCCAAGGAAGUGAUCAAGACAAGUUCAAUCCAGCAGGAAGAAUUAAUGCAGACAGGUCAGGAUACCAACUCUAAAAAGCUCUUAGAAAUCAAUAAUACAGUGCAGGUGAAGGAAAAGCAGCAUAAUUUAGGACAAAUGCAGGCUGGUAAGACCUCUAAUACUCACAUUGUGGCUACUGAUAAUAAUUGUGUCUCACCUCAGUUGCAUUUCAAUGCAACUGAGCAUAACAGCCCAGGCUUCAGUUAAACAGGUUCAGGAUCAGCCAAAGGAGACUAACAAAAACAGGGGAAUGGUGAUCCAUCAAGACAACAACAUAGCAAUGGGAAUUAUGGUAAAAAUUUCUCAUUUCAUCAGAGUGAUUUCCCCCAAAUCUCUAAUAAUUAUGGCAAGUACAAUCCCAACAAUCAGCAAGGAAAAAAAGAGAACUCUGAACCCCCCCCCCUCCCCUCAAGGAGCAUAACAAUCAAAUGGCUCAACAACCUCCCAAAAAGGAUGUGAUUCAGGAACCAGCCCCUUACACUGUGGUACAAACCUAUGCUGCUAGACUGAGGCUCAAUCAAGCAAAAACUAAUCUGCCUAUAGUCUUUGAUACUCCUAAGAUCACUACUAAACAAGGUCUGCCAGCUACUAUAUUUAAGGAGGACUUCAUGAUUAAUUGGGCUGAUAGAUCACUACUGUAUACUCUUAUUGGGAAAUUCAGCAAUACCAUGCCUAAAGUGGAGCUCAUUAGAAAGAGUUUCAUAACUCAAACACAAUUAUCUGGGGGGGUUAAGAUAGCUCAUUACAAUGCUAGACAUGUUUACAUUGAUCUUGACAAUGAUUUGGAUUAUAUUACUGUCUGGACAAAACAAAGAAUGACCAUAGAGGGACAGCCUAUGAGAAUCCAAACUUGGACUCCUACAUUCAAACCUGAGGAAGAAAUUCCCAUUGUGCCCAUUUGGAUAGCUUUACCUGCACUGCCAUGGCAUUGUUAUAACAAAGAGAUUGUGUCUGCCCUCCUAUCUCCUAUAGGAAAGGUUCUCUAUCUAGAUUCAGCUUCUGUUCAGAAAACUAGGGGUAGUUUGGCUAAAGUAAGGAUACAAAUGGACCUCACCAAAGAAAGACCACCACAUGUUUGGAUGGGUUUCAAUGAAGAGGAUUUGACUAAGGGAAGGUGGCAAGCUAUUGAGUAUGAGAGUGUCCCUGAAUAUUGUGGCUACUGUAAGCACCAAGGGCACAUGAUACAAAUUUGUACAACCAAACAAAGAGAUGAGGAUUAUCAAAAAAGAAAAGAAAUGGAGGCAGAGAAGAAGAAUAAACCAAGGAGUGAUCAGGAAAAAAAGGAAAAUUUCACCAGUCAACCUAAUGGGGAGUUCAACCAGACAGCUACUACAUCCAAUGAGAUAAUACAGACUCACCAAGAGAAGGAAGCAAAAGAUCAUGAACAACAAUGGCAGACUCAGAAAAGGAAGCAAAAUAAAAAUCAAGAACACCCUAUCCCCAAGACUGUAUGGAGACCUGUAUCACCUCAGCACAAGGGAACCAAGGACAACAUGCAACAAGCUCCACCACAAUCAGGUAUACUAUCUACAAUUCCUACUCACAAUAAUUACACUGAUUUUCUUGCUGGAACAGUCAGACAAAGGUAAAGCUGAAGUGGACAACAAUAACAAAGCAGCAGACCAAGGAGUUCAAGCAGUUCAAGGGUCAGAAAAUGACUCAUCUCUAUUAAACAUCCACAAUAAAAUAUAUAUGCAAAAAGAACAGGUCACAGCCACCAAAAGCAACAAGAUCACAGGUAUUGACUCAGUACUCCCACUACCCCAUCACCCCAAUGUUAUUUAUGUUGAUGUUGAGAUUGCUGAUGAAGUUUCUGGAGGGAUGGAUGGAGGGUGUAAGGAGAAACCAACAAUUUGAGUGAUAUGGAGGGCAAUAUUACUCCAAGUCAAAAACAGCAGCAAAAGGGUUAUUUGAGUGCUACAAAAGGGCAACAACAGCAGAAUACUGAGAACAGGCUGGAAGAAAAUACCAACAACAAAUCAAAGGGUAAACUAAGCAAGAAGAGAAGGGAUGCUAUCAAGAAAAAACAGCAAAAGGAGAAUGAGCAACAAGGUUAUUAAUGAACAAGAUAAAAGUCAGGCAAAAGAUCAUAAUCAGCAGAAAAAUAAUGGCAGGUCUGGUCAAAAUUCUGAAUAUGAAGCUACCUUCUGAGGAUGAAUUUGAUGAGGAUACACAAUCCAUUGAUGCAAAUGAGGCUGAUGAGGAGGAAGAGGAAACCAGUGCAUACUUGAUCAAAGCUUUUGGAUCUACUUUUCACAGUGAAUUCCAUGAAGAGAUUCAGGAAGUUGCUGACCAACAAGGUCUUUCCCCUAGAGGAAGGAAGCAAACUAGACAGAAUACCAAACAAGCUACCAUGAGUACAUCUGCUACUUCUAGCAGACCCAACACAAGGUCCAGAAGUAAAGGUUUUUAAUGAUCAGUACACUGUGUUGGAAUGCUAGAAGCAUCAAUUCCUUGGUUCAUUGGAAAGACUCCAAAAUCUCAAGAAAAUGCAUAAUAUUUCUAAGAUGGCUAUUCUUGAACCAUUCUCAGAUAUUCCCAACUCAACAAUUACAAGAUCCAGUUAAAUAUGGAUAAUGCUUGUUGUAAUCAAAAUGGAAAAAUUUGGCUUUUCUGAAAUAAUGAUAUGAAUUGUCAGAUUUUGGAAGUGGAUGAUCAACAUAUUACAUGUAUCUUAAAUCAUUUGGAGUACAAGGAGAAGUUUAUGAUCUCCUUUGUCUAUGCUAAAUGUAAUGAGAAACUGAGAAGACCUCUAUGGGACAGGUUACUUCAUUUUUCCAGUUUAGAUACUCCAUGGAGUACCAUUGGAGAUUUUAAUGUGAUUACCUCUCCGGAAGAAACAUAUGGAGGCCUUCCCUACAACAUGAACAAGAGUUUUGAAUUCAUAAGUGUGAUAGAAGCCUGUGGUUUAAUGGAUUUGGGGUACAAUGGUCAACAUUACACUUGGUGCAACCAAAUAACUGAGGCAGCUAGGAUAUGGAAAAGGCUAGACAGAGCCAUGGUGACAGAAAAAUGGCUAGAGGUGAUGCCUCAAACUACUAUAUCUCACCUUCCUUCUGUUGGUUCAGAUCAUACACCUUUACUCAUGGAAAUUGUGAGCAGAACUGACAACAAAAUAAAAUACUUUAACUGAUUUUCUGAACACAGUGAAGGCAUGUUGGGAGAGAGAAAUUCAAGGGAACCCUAUGUGGAAACUCCAUCAGAAAAUGAAAAGAUUGGCUUCCACUUUGAGCAAUUGGUCUAGAAGUGAAUAUUGGGAUAUCUUCAAGAAUGUGAUGGAAUAUGAAGAAAAAGUCAAAGUUGCAGAAGAGGAGGUCAUUCAGAAUAAUUCAGAAGAGAACAGAGCUAAGUUGCACCAGACCAAUGCCAACUACAUCAAAUUCCUAAAACCAGGCUUCUAUUAUGAAACAGAAGACUCAGCUUCAGUGGUUCAAGGAAGGAGAUGUCAAUUCUAAAUAUUUUCACACUAUCAUGAGGGGAAGAAGAAGAAGGUGAUUCAUUCACAAGAUUUGCAAUGACAAUGAUGAAUGGGUUCAGGGGGAUGAAUAUAUUGCCAAAGCUGCCUGUGAUUAUAUCCAGCAUUUUUUCACUGGUCAUAACAACAGAAUUAAUACUGAGAUUCUCAAUUGCUUAGACAGGAGGGUCUCACCAGAACAAAACCAAAUGCUCCAGGAGAUGCUACCCUGGAUGAAGUUAAGCAAGUAGUUUUCUCUAUGAAUCCUAAUUCUGCCCCUGGCCCUGAUGGAUUUGGAGGAAAGUUUUUUCAGGCAUGCUGGGAUAUUAUCAAGGAGGAUCUGCUUUCUGCUAUCCAUGUUUUUUUCUGUGGUGCCAUCAUUCCUAAAUUUAUGUCUCAUGCUUGCCUUGUUCUUUUGCCCAAGGUUGACCAUCCUAAUAAGUUCAGUGAAUUCAGACCCAUAAGUUUGAGCAACUUUACCAACAAGAUCAUCUCCAAACUUCUUUGCCUCAGAAUUGCUCCUAUACUCCCUAAUCUUGUCUCUGAGAACCAGUCUGGCUUUGUAAGGGGUAGGAGUAUUUCUGAGAAUAUCAUGUUAGCACAGGAGAUCACUCAUGGCAUUAAAAAACCCAAUGAAGGAGACAAUGUGAUAAUCAAGCUAGAUAUGGCUAAGGCAUAUGACAGAGUGUCUUGGUCCUAUACUAGCUUGGUUCUUAGGGCUAUGGGAUUUGGUGAGAUUUUUAUUGACAUGGUGUGGAGAAUCAUGAGUAAUAACUGGUACUCUAUGGUGGUGAAUGGGACCAGACAUGGCUUCUUCCAUCAAACAAGGGGACCCACUAUCACCAGCAUUAUUCAUUUUGGGUGCAGAGGUUCUUACUAGAAUGCUAAAUCAGCUUCAUCAGAUUCAGGGCUACAAGGAUUUUCAGAUGGAACCUAGAGGACCUCAAAUCAAUCACUUAUGCUUUGCAGAUGAUGUGAUUUUGUUUACUGCAGGUACAAGGAACUCACUGAGACUAAUUAUGAAGACUCUUAAUACUUAUGAAAGGGUAUCUGAUCAACUGAUCAUCAAUAAGGAUAAGAGUCACUUCAUGGUUCCUAGUAACAGUCCCAAUGACAUUAUUUGCAUGAUUAAAGAGAUCACUGGCUUCACUCAGAAGAAUAGCCCAAUUACUUACUUAGGAUGUCCUUUGUACAUUGGGGGGAAAAGAAUCAUCUACUACUCAGAUCUUGUGGCUAAAGUGGUUAAAAAGAUCAGUGGUUGGCAAUCCAAGAUUCUUAGUUAUGGAGGAAAAGUCACCUUAGUGAAACAUGUACUUCAGUCAAUCCCUAUUCACACCAUGGCUGCUAUUUCACCUCCUAAGAUCACCAUUAACUACAUUAAAAGAAUUACUGCUGAUUUCUUUUGGGGGUGGGAAAAGGAGAGAAAGAAAUACCAUUGGGCAUCAUGGGAAACUCUAAGCCUACCUUGUGAUGAAGGUGGUAUUGGGGUUAGACAAUUAGAGGAUGUUUGCACUUCACUACAAUAUAAGCAAUGGUGGAUAUUCAGAACCAAAAACUCAUUAUGGGGGCAGUUUUUGAAGGCCGAGUACUGUAAAAAAGCUAAUCCAGUAGCCAAAAAGCUUGACACUGGACAGUCAUUGGUUUGGAAUUAUUUGAUGAGGAACAAGAAGACUGUAGAGGAACAGAUCACAUGGAAAAUUCACUCUGGGAAUUGCUCCUUCUGGUGGGAUGACUGGACAGGGGAGGGUCCUUUGGCCCAGCAGUGCAGUGAAAUCAACAGUUUAAACAACCCUCCUGUUUCAUUUUUCUUGAUGGAUGGUCAUUGGAAUGAAACUAUGUUAAGGUAAAAUAUUCCUCCCAACAUGGUGCCUAAAGUCAUGGAAACUCAUAUCCAUUAUCAAGCUGGAGUGACAGAUGAAGCUGUUUGGAAGCCAACUGAGAAUGGGAAUUUUACUUGUUCAUCCGCUUGGGGUCUGAUCAGGAAGAAAGGAACCAAAACCAAACUCACUUCUCUUAUCUGGAAGAAGAACAUUCCCUUCAAAGUGUCAUCUUAGUGUUUAAGCCCUAAACAGAAUAGAGCAAUGGACAUGACCCGAAACCACUUUGUGUAGAGUAGACUACUUUAGAUUACUAAAUUGGCAGUAACAUUCGGUGGAAACCAAUAUCAUGUAUAUUCCAAAGGAAUUAAUAUGGUUGUCUCGUUUAAACCAAGUGUAAGUUCCACAUCAAGCUGCAAAUCAACUAGUCCCAUGCCCUCCGUACAAUCUGAAAAUUCCCCCAUAGCUGAAGUUCUCCUAAUCCAGUCCUACAUAUAUUAAAUUCACCACAGAUAGGCCAUGGCCCCUCCAUCAGACUUCUGACGUCAGCUAAUUCCUCUCAUACCAGUCUCCAUUCUAAUUUUCUGUUAGAAGCAUACACACAAGUGAUAUGGCAUUCAAAAUCAUUUAAUUGGGCCUAAAAUCUAAACCCUAUACCUUAGAAACUAAACCUGAAACCUUAACCUUAGGGCCUAAAUCUCAAAUCCUAAACCUUACAACAUCAACCCUAAACCUACAUGCCUAACCCUAAACCCUAAUUUAUAAACCCUAAACCUUAGGGCCUAAACCCUAAACCCUACUCAGACUUCGCCACAUCCAACACCAAUCAAACACUCACAAGCAAUCGAUGAUUUACCUUUAAGAAAGUUGUCAAUCUAUCCAUCAUCGGGCACAUCAAUCCAUAUCUCAAAUAUUUAAACAAAAACAAAGAAGCCACAAACUACAAAUCAAAAACUAAGAUAGACCACCCUAAACCUUAGGGCCUAAACCCUAAACUCUAAAAUUUAGGUCCUAAACCCUAAACCUAGUGCCUAAACCCUAAACUAUAAGCCUAAUGGCCUAAACCCUAAACCUUAGGACCUAGACCCUAAAGCCUAAAAUAUAAACUCUAAACCUUAGACUCUAACCACUAAACCAUAGACCAUAAGCCUUAAACCCUAAACCGUAAAGCAUAAAAUCUAAACCUUAGGUCCUAAAUCUCAAAUCCUAAACCUUACAACAUCAACCCUAAACCCUAAACCUUACAACAUCAACCCUAAACCCUAAACCCUAAUUUCUAAACCCUAAACGUUAGGGCCUAAACCCUAAACGCUACUCAAACUUCGCCACAUCCAACACCAAUCAAACACUCACAAGCAAUCGACGAUUUCCCUUAAGAAAGUCGUCAAUCUAUCCAUCAUAGGGCAUCAUCAAUCCAUAUCUCAAAUAUUUAAACAAAAACAAAGAAGCCACAAACUUCAAAUCAAAAACUAAGAUAGACCACCCUAAACCUUAGGGCCUAAACCCUAAACUCGAAACCCUAUACCCUAAACUCUAAAACUUAGGUCAUAAACCCUAAACCUAGUGCCUAAACCCUAAACUAUAAGCCUAAUGGCCUAAACCCUAAACCUUAAACCUUAGGACCUAGACCCUAAAGCAUAAAAUAUAAACUCUAAACUCUAAACCUUAGACCCUAACCACUAAACCAUAACCAUAAGCCAUAAGCCCUAAACCCUAAAGCAUAAAAUCUAAACCUUAGGUCCUAAAUCCUAAAACCUAAACCAUAAAACACGAAACCCUAACCCAUAAACCAUAAACCAUAAACCAUAAACCAUAAACAAUAAAUUGUAAAACUUAGGGCUUAAGCCCUUUUACCUUAGAGCCUAAACUCUAAACCAUAAACCAUAAAUCCUCAACCCUAAACCUUAUGGCCUAAACCAUAAAUCCUAAACCCUAAACAAUAAACUCUAAACCUUAAAGUUUAGGGUCUAAACUCUAAACCUUAAAGUUUAGGGUCUAAACCCUAAACCGUACACCCUAGGGACUAAACCCUAAAUCCUAAACCCUAAACUCUCAACCCUAAACCUUAUGGUCUAAAAUUAAAACCAUAAAUUCUAAGUCCUAAACCUAAAUCACUAAAUCAUAGUGCCUAAUCCCUAACUUUAGGGCCUCAAAUCUAAACCCUAAACUUGAAACCUAAUUAGGGCCUAAACCCUAAACCUAAUUAGGGUUUUAACCUUAAACCCUAAACUCUAAACCUUAGAGCCUAAAUCUUUAAGCAUAAACCAUAAAUCCUAACUCCUAAACCCUAAAUCCUAAACCUCAGGGUUUAAACCCUAAACUUUUGGGACUAAACCCUAAACCAUAAAUCAUAAACCCACUAAGAGGGCCUAAAUCCUAAAUCCUAAGCCAUAAACCCUAUACUCUAGAGUCUAGACCCUAAAUAUUAGGGCCUAUAUCCUAAACCCUUAACCCUAUAUCAUAAACCCUAAACCCUAUGGCAUAAACCCUAAAUACUAAUUCAUAAACCUUAAACAUUAAACUUUAUGUCUUAAACCCUAAACCCUAAACCUUACGGCCUAAACCCUAAACCCUAAAUCCUAAGACUUAAACUCAUGGUCUGAGUUGCUGCCUGAAAAUGACCCCUUGAAUCAGCUUCUUUAUACAAAGGAUUCACUUUUUCUUGUUGAACUAGAGCAUUAACCUGACCCUGCAUGAGUUCACCUUACCCUCAUCAUCACUGUGAACCAAUUCAGACCCCUCCAUAGACUCAUAAUAUAAGAAUCUUCAGCAUCAGGAUCUAUAUCUUCAAUCAAAAUUGGACUCAGAUUUUGAGUGUCAUUCUGAGUAGUCAUGUUGAUCUUGUUGUUGAUGCUACCCUGUAUCAUAGGAGCUUGAUGAGCUGUGGUAGUAGGAGCUCUAAGUUCAAUCCUAGAGUCAUCCAUAUUAGAACUACCACCCCUUUUUGGUUCCUCUUUCUGAAAGUUAGUGAUUUUCUCCUGCAUACCCCCUUUCACACCUCCAGACUUCUCAGAUCCAGAUAAAAGAACACAAUUAUUAGUGGGGUGGGGUUGAUGGAGAAUUGAGUUAAUACCUUGCUUAUUGUUGGCAUCCUUGCUUUGCUUGUUAUGAAAUACUUUAGGGGCAACACUGGGAAUGGGGACAGCAACACUACCCUGGGGUUGAGGGGUGGGGAGCAUUGAGUCAAUACCUUGCUUAUUGUUGGCAUGAUUUGAUUGUCCUGAUAAACAUUAGGGGCAACACUGGGGUGGGACUGCAACACUACUAUCGGGUUGAGGGGUGGGGAGCAUUGAGUCAAUACCUUUCUGUUGUUCUUGACUGGUUGAUUGUCCUGAUAAACAUUAGGGGCAACACUGGGGUGGGGACUGCAACACUACUAUCGGGUUGAGGGGUGGGGAGCAUUGAGUCAAUACCUUGCUUAUUGUUGGCAUGAUUUGAUUGUCCUGAUAAACAUUAGGGGCAACACUGGGGUGGGGACUGCAACACUACUAUCGGGUUGAGGGGUGGGGAGCAUUGAGUCAAUACCUUGCUUAUUGUUGGCAUGAUUUGAUUGUCCUGAUAAACAUUAGGGGCAACACUGGGGUGGGGACUGCAACACUACUAUCGGGUUGAGGGGUGGGGAGCAUUGAGUCAAUACCUUGCUUAUUGUUGGCAUGAUUUGAUUGUCCUGAUAAACAUUAGGGGCAACACUGGGGUGGGGACUGCAACACUACUAUCGGGUUGAGGGGUGGGGAGCAUUGAGUCAAUACCUUGCUUAUUGUUGGCAUGAUUUGAUUGUCCUGAUAAACAUUAGGGGCAACACUGGGGUGGGGACUGCAACACUACUAUCGGGUUGAGGGGUGGGGAGCAUUGAGUCAAUACCUUUNNNNNNNNNNNNNNNNNNNNNNNNNNNNNNNNNNNNNNNNNNNNNNNNNNNNNNNNNNNNNNNNNNNNNNNNNNNNNNNNNNNNNNNNNNNNNNNNNNNNNNNNNNNNNNNNNNNNNNNNNNNNNNNNNNNNNNNNNNNNNNNNNNNNNNNNNNNNNNNNNNNNNNNNNNNNNNNNNNNNNNNNNNNNNNNNNNNNNNNNNNNNNNNNNNNNNNNNNNNNNNNNNNNNNNNNNNNNNNNNNNNNNNNNNNNNNNNNNNNNNNNNNNNNNNNNNNNNNNNNNNNNNNNNNNNNNNNNNNNNNNNNNNNNNNNNNNNNNNNNNNNNNNNNNNNNNNNNNNNNNNNNNNNNNNNNNNNNNNNNNNNNNNNNNNNNNNNNNNNNNNNNNNNNNNNNNNNNNNNNNNNNNNNNNNNNNNNNNNNNNNNNNNNNNNNNNNNNNNNNNNNNNNNNNNNNNNNNNNNNNNNNNNNNNNNNNNNNNNNNNNNNNNNNNNNNNNNNNNNNNNNNNNNNNNNNNNNNNNNNNNNNNNNNNNNNNNNNNNNNNNNNNNNNNNNNNNNNNNNNNNNNNNNNNNNNNNNNNNNNNNNNNNNNNNNNNNNNNNNNNNNNNNNNNNNNNNNNNNNNNNNNNNNNNNNNNNNNNNNNNNNNNNNNNNNNNNNNNNNNNNNNNNNNNNNNNNNNNNNNNNNNNNNNNNNNNNNNNNNNNNNNNNNNNNNNNNNNNNNNNNNNNNNNNNNNGGAAAACAUUUUCCGGAAAAUGUUUUCCUUCAUACCAAACACACCCUACAUGUAUGAACCUCUUAUGGCCUUGGUGUUUGCAUUAAUCACUAUCUUUACUUGUUGGAAUCUGUGGAAAAAUAGAUAUGCAUGCAAAUAUGGAGGAAACAAAUCUAAUAUAAACUAGAGUGAUAUACUUGGUGCUUAAAGACACCAACAAGGAACUCAUCAACUUUCCUUACAUAAAAUGGUCAUCCAAGUGGCCUGAGUUGAUACAGUUUGGAGGAAAUUUCUUCCAUGAUAUCAAAAUUACAAAGGUAAGUUGGUUUAAGCCACCUACAAAUGUGGUUAAAAUCAAGUCUGAUGGUAGUGCAUUAGACAACCCAGGAAAGAUGGGGGAUUUUGUUUCAAUUUGUUUUUCUUACCUUCCUUUUUAGGCUUUUUAAAACAGAAUGCCUCUUUUCUAAUUUGAAAACUCCUUAAUUUCAUUAUCCCGCAUGGCAUCAUGUUUGUGACCAGAAAAUCAAAGAACAUUUCGGUACAGUAUACAGUUUUAGUUUAAAGACUACAAAAUUCAAAAGUACUCUUUACUUUCUUAAACUUUGUGUCAAGUCAAACAAAGAUAAACAAAUUGAAACUAAGGGAGUAACAACCUUUGAUCAUUUUUAGUAUCAACUAUACAUGCAGGAUUAUGAUAUUCCAUUACCAGCAAGAAGACACAUUCAAACAUGCAGUUGCAUUGACAAAAAACAGUAAAUUCAGUAUAAGCAAUUCAUAAAAUUGCACUACUUGGGAAUAUACUACAGGCAUCUCUCUCUCUCUCAGUCACACACACACACUAUCAGAUAAAGAAAGGAACUUACUUUUGUAAUGUUGUUAGAACUAGAUUUAGACUCCUCAAUGAGCACAAUGUGAAUGAGGAAGAAAGUGUAUAUUUGGAAAGCAUUUCGAUAUGAUGCAACUCGAUCAGCAAGCGAACACUCAUCCUCUUCACUGUCAUUCUUCUCUUCAUCAGCAUUUCCAUCCUUCUGUUGAGACACCCUCCAGAGAGAAUCCACAGUAGGGAGCAGCACACUGAGAUUGGACCUAAGUGAAUCCACAAGAUUGAGCUUACAGCCAGGAGUAAGGCAAGGAAACUCCUUCAUUAACGAAUACACAGGAUCGAACACAUCCUGCUCCUCCACGCAGAAUAGCUCUUUGUCAGAUAAGUCAAAGGAUACACAUGUUUAAUUGCAAACAAAAAACAGCAAAUUUAGAGAAAUGAGUUGGAAAAAUCAAAAAAGAAUGACAACCCAGAUGGAAAAUUCGAAAAGAAAACAAAAAAAAAGAGAAACCAGAUGGGAAAAUGGCAAGGAAUGUGAAUCAAGUACCUUCCCGAUGUAAUUGAAAAUGCAAGGAAACGUUUAAAUUCUAAGAGGCUGGUCUAGGACCUUCGCCAGAACCUGGUUAUUCUUCUAGUGGAAUUGGAAGAAUCAAGAUUUUGAUCACUUUUGCUGCUGUUCUUAGCUCUGGAUGUAGUGGAAUUUGAAGUAUCAAGAUUUUGAUCACUUUUACUGCUGUUGUUAGCUCAGGAUCUAGUGGAACCUGCAAAUGUACAAUUGUUAGUGUUUGUAUAGGAUAUAGGAUGUAGGAUGUUGUAAGGAACCUCUGGUGCGAUUUAUAUAGGAUUGAAGUUCAUUGUCAUCAAUUACUGAAUCAGUCACCUCACUGGAAGCAUGAGAAUUUGCUUCCGACUCAGCACAUGGUGGUUCCAAAGGUGAACAUUCUGUUUGCACUUCCAUUAUUGAAUCAGUGACUUCAGAAUCUGUUACAUGACAAAGAAAAUGAAGUUACAGAAAAUUCAAGAUAACCAAAUCAGGAACUAAGCCCACUCCUUUCCAUUAUAGAUCAUAUGAAACAGAGCAGAUGCAACAAUACUGUUUCAUGUUGGCUUCACUCAUUUUGUCUAUAUAGUUUGCACAUUGACUUUAAAAGUUUUAUCAAUCAGUUUCACCACUAGCCUCUUUAUAUAUCUCCAGCUCUCUCAGCAAAAUAACUUUAGAGCUGUUUUUAUAUCUACUCAUAAAUGUACAAUUCUGAAAAAACCCAUCAUUUAAAUUUUAUAUGGAUUUUUGAAAGAAAAAGUUGUAGUGAAGGAUCAACUAUUUAUACAAGUUACUACCACGUAAUAACUUGUUAAUAGCUACUACCUCCUCUACAUUGUUUUUAAAUUAUUUGGAUGAAUAAAAGCACAAAUGACUUGUAUAAAUUAAAGAGACAAACAUGAAGCUCUAGGUUCCCUCCACCAAAAAUAUUUUGAAAAUGAGAACUUUGUAAACGAAACAUGAAAUAGCAAUAACUACAUAAAUAGGCAAUAGAUUUGGAGAAAACUACCUUUAGUAAUUUCAGAUUCACCGAUUUCCUCUUCUUCUUUUUCAGUCACUGCGAUACUCUCUCCAAGCUCUCCACUUUCUGUUGAUGGCUUUGAGCAUUUUUGGCAGUAAGUUCUUGUUCCUUCCUCUCAAUGUCAAAUUUAUUCAACCUUUCUUCAAACUCCUCAAUGCAUGAUUCGAGUUCAGGUUUAGCAAACUUCUUCCCCUANNNNNNNNNNNNNNNNNNNNNNNNNNNNNNNNNNNNNNNNNNNNNNNNNNNNNNNNNNNNNNNNNNNNNNNNNNNNNNNNNNNNNNNNNNNNNNNNNNNNNNNNNNNNNNNNNNNNNNNNNNNNNNNNNNNNNNNNNNNNNNNNNNNNNNNNNNNNNNNNNNNNNNNNNNNNNNNNNNNNNNNNNNNNNNNNNNNNNNNNNNNNNNNNNNNNNNNNNNNNNNNNNNNNNNNNNNNNNNNNNNNNNNNNNNNNNNNNNNNNNNNNNNNNNNNNNNNNNNNNNNNNNNNNNNNNNNNNNNNNNNNNNNNNNNNNNNNNNNNNNNNNNNNNNNNNNNNNNNNNNNNNNNNNNNNNNNNNNNNNNNNNNNNNNNNNNNNNNNNNNNNNNNNNNNNNNNNNNNNNNNNNNNNNNNNNNNNNNNNNNNNNNNNNNNNNNNNNNNNNNNNNNNNNNNNNNNNNNNNNNNNNNNNNNNNNNNNNNNNNNNNNNNNNNNNNNNNNNNNNNNNNNNNNNNNNNNNNNNNNNNNNNNNNNNNNNNNNNNNNNNNNNNNNNNNNNNNNNNNNNNNNNNNNNNNNNNNNNNNNNNNNNNNNNNNNNNNNNNNNNNNNNNNNNNNNNNNNNNNNNNNNNNNNNNNNNNNNNNNNNNNNNNNNNNNNNNNNNNNNNNNUUAGAAAUCUCAAAGGACUUUGUUAAGCUUGUAAUGUAGGCUUAGGGAAGGUUAGGAUAUCAUUUAGGUAUAAGUGACUACACCCUCCUUGAACACUACACAACAACUCAUCGUUUCCAACUUUCUCCACUUCUCUUCACAAUGCACAUUCCACACUACUUUUCAGUUUUCUUUUCUUAUUUCUACUCUAGAUUCCCCACAUGCAACCAUUUUCAACUUUUCGAGAAUUCAAGCCUCAUUUAUUCAUUUUCUUUCUUCUUUCCUCUUUAUUUUUUUCUUUCUUUUUCAAAGUUUUUUCUUUCUUUUAAGACUUCCCAUCCANNNNNNNNNNNNNNNNNNNNNNNNNNNNNNNNNNNNNNNNNNNNNNNNNNNNNNNNNNNNNNNNNNNNNNNNNNNNNNNNNNNNNNNNNNNNNNNNNNNNNNNNNNNNNNNNNNNNNNNNNNNNNNNNNNNNNNNNNNNNNNNNNNNNNNNNNNNNNNNNNNNNNNNNNNNNNNNNNNNNNNNNNNNNNNNNNNNNNNNNNNNNNNNNNNNNNNNNNNNNNNNNNNNNNNNNNNNNNNNNNNNNNNNNUUAGGCUCAAAGGGGACAACUAAGGAUAUAUUUAGUACAAAGGUGGGAUUUUUAGGCCAAGUGGACUUCAAGAACAUAAAAAAAGCCUAAGAUCAUUUUUCCAACAAAACUCAAUCAAGACCAACCGGGCAAGUUCUAGGUGACAAAAGCAAACACAAGGCAUUAUUCAACAACUCACCACACAUGGCCUGCAAAUCAAUCAAGAUGGUUCAAAAUCUUACUUCCUUUUAAAAAUACAAGUAGUAUUGAACAUUUUAACCGCUAACGAAUCAAAAGUCACAAAAAGAGUGGUAAGAGUUGUCACAAAAUCAUUCGUAACAUGAUCAACCUUUUAAAAAUGGAGAGGUAUGCUCAACGCUAUUCACAUGCAUGACUAUGCUCUUAGUACCAACCAAGUCAAAACCUUCCCAAAAAGACGAUGAUUUUGCCCUUAAAAAAGCCAUCAACAAAUCCAUCAUCAUGCAACAUCAUGCAUCUAUUCGGGAACAGCUACUCAGAAUUUGCCACAAUCAACGCCAAUCAAACACUCACAAGCAAUCGAUAAUUUACCAUUAAGAAAGUCAUCACUCUCUAUCCAUCAUCGGGCAUCGUCAAUCCAAAUCUUAUUAUCAAAAGAAAAACAAAGAAGCUACAAACUACAAAUCAAAAACUAAAAUAGACCAAUUUAACACAAUAUCCACAGAAACAUCCACAAUAUCAAAUCCCGACAAGGGCACACCAAUCCAUAACAAAGAAAGAAAAGUAUGCCCGACAAGGGCACAAUCAUUGUAUGCAAAAACAAUCAACAAAAUGACUACAAGGGAGGCACCCCCAACUGAAAAUGAGAUGGUGUCCACACAAUCAAAAUAUCAAAAGAGAAUACGAGGAACUCCCUGAAUUGCAUCACUCUCAGCUCGAGCCGGUAGGAAAUGUGAGGUCCUCCUCAUCCGAAGCACUGCUACCACAUAAGCUCCUCAGCUUUCCCUUUAGAAAUGCUACAGAGGAGCAAACCAUCAGAAAACGGGAGGAAAAGAAGUUGCACUCGGAUCCAGCACAAAACAAAUAGCACAUCAAGUCUCACAAAGGCAGCAAGAAAAUGCAAGCAAGAUAGGUAACACAUUGCUACAAAUACAUCAUCAACAACACCAUGGCAGUGGCAAAUCAAGUCCUCGAUAUAGUGGGGAAGGAAGAGAGAAACCACAACAGAUGCAAGGUCCUCAAGAUAAUGAAAUCAAUAGCAAGAGUAGUCCUCAAUAUCAAAUACUGAAUAAUGAAGCAACAGUUACAAUAUUUGAGAAAAACAAACCUGUAGCAGAUGCGGAGCAAGUCGAGAAAGAGGCCCUAGCAUUGGCAGAGUUCCAUGAACCACUUCAAAGUGGAUUUUACUAGUGUUGAGGUAGUAGGUGAUGAUUCUGAUAUGAUUGCAAGGUACCCACUGUGUCCCAGAAACAAUUGUUGAUUAAGACUAAUGAUCAACACAAGGAGAUUGUACCUGCAACAAAAGCACAAUUAGAAUUGGCCCAAAAGCAAGCUUCUCCCGUGCAAGUACUACAUGAAUUUGUUUCUCAUCACCUAACGGGUAUCACAGGAGUUGCAGUACAGAUAAAUAAUCAGGAUAAAGAUGGUAAAAGAGAAGAUAAAGAGGAAAGAGAGGGACAUCAAAAUAUCAAUCAGUUGGUGAAGGAUCCUGAUUUAUCUCCACACGCAUUCUUAAAAGCUAAAAAGUGCAAGGCCAGAGUUAAUAGUAAACCUACAAGGACACUUCCUAGGAGGAGUGGAAAAUCAAGUAUUAAUGAAUUUAAAAGCUUUAUUUUGAAACAUUAGAUCUGUAAAAUCCUAACAUUCUUUUCACAGAGUGCAAAUGCUACACCGACAUAAUGAUAUUUCCAUUAUUGCAUUGAUGGAACCUUUUCAAUAUAUUAGGCAUAUACAAAGUUACAAGAGGAUAUUGGGCAGGCAUUAUGCAAACUAUAAUCAAAAUGGAAAAAAUUGGGUUUUUGUACAAGAGCAAUUCAUGUAGAAGUACUGGCAGAUUCAGACCAACAACUCACUAUUCAGCUUUCUUUCCAAGGUAAUUACCACUACGGUAUAUGCUAAGUGUGAAGCUACUGAGAGAUUACAGUUGUGGGAUGAUAUUUACCUCUUGAGUCAGAACAUGAGACUUCCCUGGCUUGUUUGUGGGGGUUUCAAUGUUAUUAUGAAUGAUGAGGAGAAGAUUGGAAGACUUCCUGUAUAUCCAACUGAAUAUAACGACUUUGCUUUUAGCAUUAAUUCCUGUGAUCUUUUUUAUAUUAAUUUCAAAGGUAGCCCUUUUACAUGGUGGAAUGGGAGAAUAGAUGAUGCUUAUAUUUUCAAAAGGCUGGACAAGAUUGUUCUUAAUCAAGCUUUUCUGGGCCUUUUGGGAAGUGUAGAAUUGGAUCAUCAGGCUAGAGUUGGAUCUGAUCACGCCCCUUUGCUAAUAUCUCAUAAUUCGGUUUUAUAACUCUAUUUUUAGAUAUUUUAAUUAUAUUUAGGUGAAUCCCCACACCCAUAUCCAUACAUGGAUCCAUAUCCCCGAAUCUUAAAAAUUAGAUCAUGAAGGAUUCGACCUCUAGAUCCGAACCCAUAUCAGACACCCGCAUCCGAGUCCGAGCAACUUAGUGUGAAUUAGUUAAGGUCACAACGAAGGCGGAAUGACAAUUUGCUAAAUCCUCUUUUUCCGGAGGAGGUAUGUAAUCACAUUAUUUAUAAAGUUGGAUGUGGAGAGGAUACAGAUGAGUGGGACAAGCUAUGGUGGAUGGCACACAGCUCAGGAAAAUUCAAUGUUAAUAGUGCUUGGAAUAUUUUGAGAAAUACAAGUAACAAGAAGAAUUCAAGUUCAUUUGGGAAAAAGGAAUUCCUUUUAAAGUCUCUUUUUUCAUAUGGAGGUUAUGGAAAAAGAAGCUCCCAAUUGGGGAAUUUCUAAUACGAAUAGCCCUGGUAGAUGAUGUACGGUGGUGUUGUUGUAAAACAAUUAGCCAAAGAAUCCUACGAGCAUUUUUUUAUUACUUGUCCAGUAGCUACCACUUUGUGGAAAACUUUUGCAGCAGCACCAGGUUUGCGAGGCCCUUUCCCACAUCUGAAAGACACCAUGUUUAAAUGGUGGAAUGCUACAUGUUCUGUCAAACUCAGACCACUUUUUAAAGCUGUCCCUACUUUUAUAAUGUGGCAAAUUUUGAAGAUGAUGAAUAUGAUAAGGCAUGGUGGUAAGAUGUCUGUGCAAGGUAUGAUGAUGGAGAUUAAUAGGAACCUUCACUACUUGGCAAUUACAAGGUAUCCUUGGUUGAGGAACAUCCCUGAUAGUUGGCCUCUGAUCCUGAAAUUCUUUGAAGCCUAUCCAUUAAUUGAAUGUAAAGUGGUGAAGUGGAAACUACCUUACGAAGGUGUCUAUAAGUACAAUUCAGAUGGAGCUUCAAAAGGAAAUCCGGGACCUAGUGCAAGUGCUUUCUGCAUUAGAAAUAAUGCAGGAGAGUUUAUAGUUGCUGAAGCUAAAAGCUAGGAAAGUGCUACAAGUUUAGAGGCAGAAGUAGUGGCGUUGAGAAGUGGACUGGAAUUUUUAUAUUUUAAACAAUUUGCUGCCUGUUAUCCUUGAAACUGAUUCUUCACAAUCAAACAGAUACUAGAUGGAAUAUGGGAAGUCCCACGUAUCAUGGCUUGUGAAAUCAAGAUGAUAAGCAGAUUAAUGGCUCAUAGAGAUGUGGAAAUCGAGCAUACACUAAGGGAGGGCAUCAUGCUAGCGGAUUUUUUGCUAAUCAAGUUUCUGUUUUGAGGUAGUCAAAGAUUAACAUAUAAUUCAAUACAAGAAGUCCAAAAUGAAGGAAAAGCUCUAAUAAACAUGGAUCGGAAUGAAAUUCCCAAUAUACGGCUAACAGGAUGUCAAAAUGAGAACUUCAGAAUGCUAUAAUAACGAUAUUAUGCUAGAAACUGUAAGGCCCCCCAACAAUCACAGAGAUUUUCACUGGAAGAGAAACAGACUUACUAGAUCGUGUGUGAAAGUUGCAAUUGGAUCUGAAUUUUUCUCUCCUCUUUGGCAGUGGUAUUACUUCUCUGUGGCAUAAACCUGCCUAGAGAGGGACUAAGAAAUGAUUUCAAUUUACAGCGUCACGAAAUUCAGUUUUGUACAAUUAAAGAUUCAACCCAGAACACAAUUUAAGAUUCAAGAUUUAACACAGAAGCACAAUUCAAGAUCAGACCCAGGUACACAUUGAAUCUGAAGUCAUAAACAAUCAUUAAUUAUCAUAAGAAUGGCUACCCCAAUCCAAGAUUCCAGAGGAGUUGAAUUAAAAUUGGAAAAAAAACAUCUGGGUUAGGAAAUGACACCCAAAAGAACAAGAAAAUCGAGAUUAUGGAUUAGAGGAAAAGGGGAAAUGGGUGAAGGUAAAAGCAUCAGCUUAUCAUAAGAAUGACAUAAAACAAAGAGCAAGACAAAACUUUAUAUGUAUAACCCCUCAAUUCAAGAAGGAAAAGGGAAAUUGUGAAACCUGAAGUUGCUCAACAGGGAAAGGGCCCUCUUGAACAUCCUCGAUUUCAUCAUUUUGGUCUUGCAUACCUUCUGAUUCUUGUGCUGCUACUCCAUUGCUAAUCUUCUUGAUGCUACUGAGAGUAACAGAUGAUUGAAAGAGACGGAAGAAUGGAGGCAAACAGAAAUAUUCAAAAGCGCGAUGAGCCUCUUUAUAUAUCUCCAACUCUCUCGCCAAAAUGACUUUAGAGCUUUUUUAUCAGUAUCUACUCUUAAAUGUAAAAUUCUAAAAAAAAACCAUCAUUUAAAUUUUAUAUGGAUUUAUGAAAAAAAAGUUGUAGUGAAGGACCAACUAUUUAUCAAAGUUACUACCACGUUAUGUUUUGUUUACAGCUACUACCUCCUCUACAUUGUUUUUAAAUUAAUUGGAUGAAUAAAAGCACAAAUGACCCGUAUAAAUUAAAGAGAUAAGCAUUAAGCUCUAGUUCCCUCCGCCUUAAAUUUUUUCAAAAUGAGAACCUUGUAAAUGAAACAUGAAAUAGUAAUAACUGAAUGAACAGACAAUAGAUUUGGAGAAAACUACCUGCAGUAAUUUCAGAUUCACCAAUUUCCUUUUCUUCUUUUACAGUCACUGUGAUGCUCUCCAAGCUCUCCACUUUCUGUUGAUGGCUUUGAGCAGUUUUGGCAGUAAGUUCUUGUUCCUUCCUCUCAAUGUCGAAUUUAUUCAACCUUUCUUCAAACUCCUCAAUGCAUGAUUCGAGUUCAGGUUUAGCAAAUUUCUUCCCCUAUAUGAAGACAUUCAAAUAGGCAGAUAAAGUUCACUGGGUUUCUUCAAGCGCGUUCGCGAAGGGUACUUUCCCUGCCAGAAAUUGCAUUUUCAGCUCUUGACCUCUUUUUGCUUCAAGUUCACUUGGUUUCUUCAAAUAUCUCUUAAAUCAGCUCUCCAUUUCAUUUUCCUACAAAUAUGAAAAAAACCCACAUUAAAAGCACCAAUUCUAAACUAAAGCAAGCCAAAAUAACUACGAAAAGAGCCUCAAAUGAGUGGGAAUCCACCACUCAUCAACACCCCCGACUUAGAAACUUUGUUUGUCCUCAAGUAAAGAAAAUCAAAANNNNNNNNNNNNNNNNNNNNNNNNNNNNNNNNNNNNNNNNNNNNNNNNNNNNNNNNNNNNNNNNNNNNNNNNNNNNNNNNNNNNNNNNNNNNNNNNNNNNNNNNNNNNNNNNNNNNNNNNNNNNNNNNNNNNNNNNNNNNNNNNNNNNNNNNNNNNNNNNNNNNNNNNNNNNNNNNNNNNNNNNNNNNNNNNNNNNNNNNNNNNNNNNNNNNNNNNNNNNNNNNNNNNNNNNNNNNNNNNNNNNNNNNNNNNNNNNNNNNNNNNNNNNNNNNNNNNNNNNNNNNNNNNNNNNNNNNNNNNNNNNNNNNNNNNNNNNNNNNNNNNNNNNNNNNNNNNNNNNNNNNNNNNNNNNNNNNNNNNNNNNNNNNNNNNNNNNNNNNNNNNNNNNNNNNNNNNNNNNUUUUCAUUUUUCUUUUCUUAUUUCCACACUAGAUGCCCACAUGCAACCAUUUUCAACUUUUGGAGAAUUCAAGCCUCAUUAAUUCUUUUUAUUUCUUUCCUUUUCAAAGUUUUUUCUUUCUUUAAGAAUUUCCAUCCAUCCUUCAAUUUCUCUCUUCUUCUUUUUUCUUUUUCUUCUUUUUAUAUCAAGUCCUCAUGUGGUAAGCAUCCCUUCAAUGAAUUUCCCAUAACACCCCAACUUAGGCUUUUAGCCUCAACUUUCAGAACCUCAAGUUCAAGGAGGGAAGGGUUCAAAAGAGGGUUCCUUCUUCAAAAAGGAUAAGGCUUGUAAUGUGGUUGCCAAUAAAAAGGAUUAGGCUCAAAGGGGACAACUAAGGAUAUAUUUAGUACAAAGGUGGGAUUUUUAGGCCAAGUGGACUUCAAGAACAUCAAAGAAAGCCUAAGAUCAUUUCUCCAACCAAACUCAAUCAAGACCAACAUUUCAAGACCAACCGGGCAAGUUCUAGGUGACAAAAGCAAACACAAGGCAUUAUUCAACAACUCACCACACAUGGCCUGCAAAUCAAUCAAGAUGGUUCAAAAUCUUCCUUUUCAAACUACAAGUAGCAUUGAACAUUUUAACCGCUAACGAAUCAAAAGUCACAAAAAGAGUUGUAAGAGUUGUCACAAAAUCAUUCAUGACAUGCUCAACCUUUUAAAAAUGGAGAGGUAUGCUCAACAUUAUUCCCAUGCAUGACUAUGCUUUUAGUACCAACCAAGUCAAAACCUUCCCAAAAAGACGAUGAUUUUGCCCUUAAGAAAGCCGUCAACCAAUCCAUCAUUAGGCAACCUCAUGCAUCUAUUCAGGAACAGCUACUCAGACUUCGCCACAAUCAACGCCAAUCAAACACUCACAAGCAAUCGACGAUUUACCCUUAAGAAAGUCAUCACUCUCUAUCCAUCAUCGGGCAUCGUCAAUCCAAAUCUUCUUAUCAAAACAAAAAUCAAGAAGCUACAAACUACAAAUCAAAAACUAAAAUAGACCAAUCCAACACAAUAUCAACAGAAACAUCCACAAUAUCAAAUCCCGUCAAGGGCACACCAAUCCAUAACAAAGAAAGAAAAGUAUGCCCGAUAAGGGCAUAAUCACUGUAUGCAGAAACAAUCAACAAAAUGACUACAAGGGAGGCACCCCCAACUGAAAAUGAGAUUGUGUUCUCACAGUCAAAAUAUCAAAAGAGAAUACGAGGGACUCCCUGAACUGCAUCACUAUGAGCUCGAGCCGGUAGGAAAUGUGAGUUCCUUCUCAUCCGAAGCACUGCUGCCACAUAAGCUCCUCUUUAGCUUUAUAGAUGCUACAAAGGGGAAAACCAUCAGAAAACGGGAUGAAAAGAAGUCGCACUCUGAUUAAAGAUCCAGCACAAAACAAAUAGCACAUCAGGUGUGUAAUCACAUUAUUGAGAAAGUUGGAUGUGGAGAGGAUACAAAUGAGUGGGACAAGCUAUGGGAUGGCACACAACUCAGGAAAAUUCAAUGUUAAUAGUGGUUGGGAGAUUUUGAGAAAUGCAAGUAACAGGGAGAAUUCAAGUUCAUUUGGGAAAAAGGAAUUCCUUUUAAAGUCUCUUUUUUCAUAUGGAGGUUAUGGAAAGAGUAGCUCCCAAUUGGUAAAUUUCUAAUACGAAUAGCCCUGGUAGAUGAUGUAAGGUGUUGUGAAACAUUAGCCAAAGAAUCCUACGAGCAUCUUUUUAUUACUUGUUAAGUAGCUACCAGUUGUGGAAAACUUUUGCAGCAGCAGCAGGUUUGCGAGGCCCUUUCCCACAUCUGAAAAGACACCAUGUUUAAAAUGGUGGAAUGCUACAUGUUCUGUCAAACUCAGACUACUUUUUAAUGCUGUCCCUACUUUUAUAAUGUGGCAAAUUUGGAAGAGGAGGAAUAUGAUAAGGCAUGGUGGUAAGAUGUCUGUGCAAGGUAUGAUGAUGGAGAUAAAUAGGAACCUUCACUACUUGGCAAUUACAAGGUAUCCUUGGUUGAGGAACAUCUCUAAUAGUUUGCCUCUGAUAGUGAAAUUCUUUGAAGCCUAUACCCCAUUAAUUGAAUGUAGAGUGGUGAAGUGGAAACUACCUAACGAAGGUGUCUAUAAGUGCAAUUCAGAUGGAACUUCAAAGGAAAUCCGGGACCUAGUGCAAGUGCUUUCUGCAUUAGAAAUAAUGCAGGAGAGUUUAUAGUUGCUGAAGCUAAAAGCUAGGAAAGUGCUACAAGUUUAGAGGCAGAAGUAGUGGCGUUGAGAAGUGGACUGGAAUUUUUGUAUUUUAAACAAUUUGCUGCCUGUUAUCCUUGAAACUGAUUCCUUCGCAGUCAAACAGACACUAGAUGGAAUAUGGGGAAGUCCCAUGUAACAUAUAGAGAUGUGGAAAUCGAGCAUACACUAAGGGUAACAUGCUGGUGGAUUUUUUUUGCUUAUCAAGUUUUCUGUUUUGUAGGACUCAAAGAUUAACUUAUAAUUCAAUACAAGAAGUCCAAAAUGAAGGAAAAGAUAUAAUAAACAUGGAUCGGAAUUAAAUUCCCAAUAUACGGCUAACAAGAUGUCUAAAUGAGAACUUCAGAAUGCUACAAUAACGAUAUUAUGCAAGAACUGUAAGAGCUCGCAACAAUCACAAAGAUUUUCACUGGAAGAGAAACAGACUUACUAGAUCGUGUGUGAAAGUUGCAAUUGGAUCUGAAUUUUUCUCUCCUCUUUGGCAGUGGUAUUAGUUCUCUGUGAGCUCAACCUGCCUAGAAAGGGAAUUAAUCUGAAAUGAUUUCAAUUUACAGCGUCACGAAAUUCAGUUUUGUACAAUUAAAUAUUCAACCAAGAACACAAUUUAAGAUUCAAGAUUUAACACUGAUGGUUUUUACACUGUGAAGUUUGAGUAAAAUGUAAGUUUCUACUUGUCGAUGUGUUCUGUUGUGGCCUGUGGGUCUUGACAACCUCUUCUUGUCAUGUUAGGAAGAUCAAGAAACUGCAAACAGGAUGUACCGCAUAGCAAGGGCAUCUGAAUUUUUGGUGAUCGCUGGGAUUGGUAUUAAUGAACUGAAGAUCACAAAAAAGGCACUAGUAUGGCCAUUGCAGAAAUGUCGGGUCAUUGAUGUUACUCCUGUGAACUAUACUUUUGAAGUCAAUGCUAUGAGUGCUGAGAAGCUGCCCUUCCUUCUCCCUGCUGUUUUCACUAUAGGUCCAUGUGUGGAUGACCAUGAGAGACUUAUCAAAUAUGCUAAACUUCUAUCCCACCAUGCACGUGAUUCACACGAUGCGAAGGACCUUGUUCAAGGUGUCAUUGAGGAAGAUACUCGUGUCUUGGCUGCUUCCAUGACCAUGGAGGAAAUCUUUAAAGGCACAAAAGAUUUCAAGAAGGAGGUAUUUGACAAGGUUCAGCUUGAGCUCAACCAAUUUGGCUUGCUGAUUUACAAUGCUAACAUUAAGCAACUGGUCGAUGUUUGAGGGCACGAAUACUUUUCUUACUUGGGGCAGAAAACUCAAAUGGAAGCUGCAAACCAAGCAAAAAUUGAUGUUUCUGAGGCCAAAAUGAAGGGUGAGAUUGGAGCUAAGGAGCGAGAAGGUCUCACACGUCAAAAUGCUGCCAAAAUUGACGCUGAGACAAAGAUCAUAUCCACCCAAAGGGAUGGUGAUGGAAAGAAAGAGGAGGUUAAAGUGAAGACUGAUGUUAAGAUAUAUGAAAAUCAGAGAGAAGCUGAGGUGGCUGAGGCGAAUUCUGUUCUGGCAACCAAGAAGGCUGGGUGGUCUCAGCAAGCAAAAAUGGCUGAGAUCGAAGCCCAGAAAGCUGUAGCAAUACGGGAGGCUGUAUUACAACAAGAAGUUGAGAGAAAGAAUGCAUUGACUAAGACAGAGAGCCUGAAAGCACAACAUCUCAGUAAGGCUACUGUUGACUAUGAGAUUAAGGCAAGUCCAUCAUGUCACAACACUUCUCUUUUAGUACCUUGGGGCAGAUUUUUUUUGCUAAUCAAGUUUUCUGUUUUGUAGGUACUCAAAGAUUAACAUAUAAUUCAAUACAAGAAGUCCAAAAUGAAGGAAAAGUUAUAAUAAACAUGGAUCGGAAUUAAAUUCCCAAGAUACGGCUAACAAGAUGUCAAAAUGAGAACUUCAGAAUGCUACAAUAACGAUAUCAUGCCAGAAACUGUAAGGGCUCGCAACAAUCACAAAGAUUUUCACGGGAAGAGAAACAGACUUACUAUAUCGUGUGUGAAAGUUGCAAUUGGAUCUGAAUUUUUCUCUCCUCUUUUCUCUGUGAGCUCAACCUGCCAAGAAAGGGAAUUACUCUGAAAUGAUUUCAAUUUACAGCAUCACGAAAUUCAGUUUUGUACAAUUAAAGAUUCAACCAAGAACACAAUUUAAGAUUCAAGAUCAGACCCAGCUACACAUUGAAUCUGAAGUCAUAAGCAAUCAUUAACUAUCAUAAGAAUGGCGAUUGCAGACGAGUUGAAUUAAGGUUGGAAAAAAGAACAUCUGGCUUAGGAAACGACACCCAAAAGAACAAGAAAAUUGAGAUUUUGUAUUAGAGAAAAAGGGAAAAUGGGUGAAGGUACAAAGCAUCUGCUUAUUGUAAGAAUGAAAUAAAACAAAGAGCAAAGCAAAACUUUAAAUGUAUAACCCCUCAAUUCAAGAACGAAAAGGGAAAAUUGUGAAACCUGAAUUGUUAAUCUCCAUUACUAAUCUUCUUGAAAAGGAAAACGACACCCAAAACCUCCAUUGCUAAUCUUCUUGAUGCUACUGAGAGUAACAGAUGAUCCAAAGAGAUGGAAGCACGGAGGCAAAAGGAAAUAUUUCAAAAGCAUGCGUGAUGAGCCGUUACACUUCUGCUCAUCUUCGCUUCUUGCUUGUGAGUUUGAAAAAAUAAAUAAACACAAUGGAACUAAUAAAUAAAUAAUAUACUCAAUAUUUGUUUAUUUUUCGACAUUUAUUUUAACACAUGCACCAAAAUAAAUAAAUAGUAAUAAUAUAGUUAUGAUUAGGGUUGGGCGUUCGGUCGGAUUAGUUCAUGAUAUUCGGUUCGAUUUUUUUAUUUUCGAUUUGGUGAAAAUGUAAAUCAAAACCAAAUUGAAAUAAGUUCGAUUUGGCUCGAUUUUCACAAUUUUGGUUCGGUUUGUUUUUUUUUAGUUUAUGAGAUUACAUUAGAUAUGUUGUUAUGAACAAAUUCACCUCCUUGUAAAAUUUCAAAUAAGGUGUGAUUUGAUCUCUGAUAGAACGUACACAAUAAUUAGAUGAUUUUUAAAAUUUUAGGACCUCAUUACUUGUUAUACAUCUUCAGAUUUAGAUGUUAUACGCUCAUGUUCAGUUAAAACAUUUCCAAAUAAGCAUACAAGGUCUCUGUCUCUGAAUGUGAGAGACGAGGGUGGUCGACAAGUGGUUUGUGUGAGUCAUGACGACAGCGACAGCGAUGGCGACGACCUAUGGUGUGCAUAAGUCACAUGAUAACAACGAUGGAUAACAGAGAUGAGCGGAUUGUGGAGAGGUUAAUGGUUAGGACUUAGGAAUUUCAAUUUUAAUUUUGGAUUAAUUUUAAAUUGGGUUAAUUUUAAUGGGUUGUGGGCAGUAGCCAUUUGGGGGAGUCCAGGGCUCAAGGCAUGAGUUCAUGUGAGUAAAUUACAUUUUGAUUUUUUGGUUUAACCGAAUUAAAUUAUUCAAAACUCGAAAAUCGAACCGAAAAAAGUAAAAUUUCAAUAUCUUAAAUUGAAACCAACCGAUUAAAUUGAAAUCGAAAUUUAAAAAAAUUCAGUUCGAUCGAUUUUUUCGAUUUGAACCGAAAUAUGUCAAGCCCUAGUGAUGAUGUACAAUAACUUAUUGUACAUAUAUUAAUGAUGAAAACUUGAAUAGAUACGAAAUUAUACUAGAUGUCCCUCAAAGUGUGUCAUCUUGGUUUUUUGUCUCUCGUAGAAAAAAUCUUCAAGACUAGUAAUUUUUCUUCAGUAUCUCUUUUGAACUUGGCAGCAAAACUUACUUUAGCAUUUUAACUAAACAGACGUUUAAAUACCUCUUAACAACUUUCAAGUUAAUUAAAUUACACCCUAAUGGGUGACGUGACAAAGUGAGUUGACUCACUCUCCCAAAUGCGCGUGAAGAUAUUAAAAAAAAUUAUAAAAUCAUACACAUGUCAUUUUCUAUAGGUCAAUAUAUAAUUAGUAUUUUAAAUAUUAUUUUAUUGAUACAUUAACUUUUUUAAAAAUAUGUGAAUUUUUUUGGUGGCCCAAAAAAAUUAAUUUUCUUUUUCUUUAUUUUGUUGUCUUCCCCAAUAUAACUUCUUCUCCAUUGAAGCAUCACCACUUCCUUCAUCUUCAACUUUGUUCACUACUUCCAUUUCACCAAUCCUUUAGUAAUCCAUAAAAUUCAACACCAAUAUCUUUUAUUGACGUCAAUUUCACAAAUAUAACAAUUUACAUAAAUUUUGAGUGAUCUGUUUUUAUUUUUUUUAAUUUCCACAAGACAAAUUUGAGGUGGGGGGAGAGGGGAGGGAUUCGAAGAAGAAAAUAUGGUAUUGUAGUAAUACUUCUCUAAAGUUAUUUAAAUUUUUUUUUGAAUUUUUUGAAUGAUCCGUUUUAAUUUUUUUAAUAGAUUCAAAGAGGGGAAAGGGAGGGGAGGGGAGAGGAGGAAUUCGAAGAAGAUAAUGUUGUAUUGUAAUGGUUCUUCUCUAAAGCUAUUUUUUAAAAAUAAAUUGUGAAGAGGCAGAAAAAAGAGCAGUGAAGGGAUAGAAAUGAUGAAGAAGAAAGAAGUGAGGGGAGGGGAAAUAAAAAUGGGUCUUUGAUUUUAGAAAAUGUAUUUUUAAUUAAUUAAUUAAUUAGUGUAACUUAAUUUUAAAAAGUGUUAAAGAAAAAAAUGGUUAAUAAACAAAAAGAAAUAAAUAAAAGUAAUGACGUGGUGGUGACAUGGCUAUGUUGUGGCGCUUACAUGGCUAUGAUAUGGCAGGUGAGAGUGGUAUUAUAUUCAUUUCAAAAUUGUUAAGGGGUAUCUAAAUGCAUGUGUAGUUAAAGUUUUAAGGUAAAUUUUGUUGCCAAGUUCACAGGUGAUUUGAUGUGUUUUUUUUUUCUUUUCUUUAUGUAUAGAACAAAUAUAAUGUUGUCCCUCUAUACCUCAAAUGUUUUUAAACAACCUCCAUGUUCAAUUGUCUUUCACUAUUUUUUCUUCUUUUUUUUCAUUCUUGAGUUUUAUUAUUUUUCUUUUAUUUAUAAUUUUUUUCUUUUUUUUUCUUAACUCUUAUUAUUUUUGCUAAUGAAUUGAAAGUUGAGUAGAAGAUCUUCUUUCUUUAAUGUAACGAUUCUUCUAGUCAUUUUGUAAAUUUUACUUGUUUUCUAUAGCUUAGCCCUGCUUACAACCUUUUUCAUGGAUAAUUUAUAACUUGCGGGAAUAAGUGACGUGAUUUUUGAAAUAUUUUUUUGUUUUUAAUAAAUAGAAGGGAAAAAGAGAAAGAGUUUUGUAUGUCGUUCUAUUUUUAUACCUGCCUGUCUGCCUAUCUAUCUAUCUAUCUAUCUAUCUAUCUAUCUAGCUAGCUAGCUAGCUAGCUAGCUAGAUGUCUGUCUGUGUAUCUAUCAUCUCUAUCUAUCUAUUUAUCUAUCCAUCCAUCCAUUUAUUUAUUUUACUAGUUUCAGGGCACGUGUGUAUAGUAUAUAUAGUAUACGAUGUUGUAAAAUAGAAUUAAUAUUACUAAAUUAAUUAUUUUUAGUAAAUAAUUAUAACUUAAAAAACAUAGGACAAGUGCUUUAAAAUGAUUAAUACGUAUUGUUAUAGAGUUACUUGUAUUUUGAGAUCAAAAUGACCAGAUAUUUUUGAAACAUUUCAAAAUACAUUCAAAGUUCAAAUAUGGGGAGAAAGUGACACUUCUUUAUUAGUAUUAUUAUUUACAUAACUCAAUUUUGUAAACAAAUCUAACCAACAAAAUUUAAAAAAAAAUAUCAAUACAAAAAAUGUCACCAAUAGUCUUUCCUCUUGAGGUUAUGAACAUAAAUGAUGGACACCAUUUAAGUAUAAUUUUCUCUCUUAAAUAUUCAUAUUUCAAAUUAAGUAUGUGCAUGAAACUAAUAAGGAUUACCAUAAAUAUUUCAAUAUUUUAUCUUUAUACGUAAUCUAUCUUUUACCAAUUAAUACUUGAGUACGACUAUCAUAGAGAGGUAAUUCUACAAAAAAGGUACUUUAUUGUUAUAACGAAUGAUGGUUAAAUUGAGGUUUGAGUGCAUGUCAAAUAUUUAGCUUGACAAUUUCUUUCUUUUAGAUAUACAUAUAUAUUUAAGUAGCAUAAUUUAAUUUUAAUAUAUAUAUAGCAUCACCUUUGGUGAAAAAUAUUUCAUUUCUUUAAAUUUCUACCGUAUCUUUGUAGAAUUGUAGUCUUCUCCUUUUUCCUGCUGCAUACAUACCAUAUAGUUGUUGUUUUAAUGAAAGUAUCUAGUAUCUUAUACAAGUUAUAUCGUGAUAUAAAAUAUUAAACUUUUUCAAUAAUAAAAAUUAAUAGAUGAAUAAAAUUUAAAUUAUUGUUUAUAGAAUCUUUAAUUUGAAUCAAGAUUAUUUUAUGAUCAAUCACUAUUUACUUAUCUAUUUUUAUAUAGCUAACAAGGAGUGUAUCAUGUGACCUAAAAUUUUCUCAAAUUAAAUGAACAAAAAAUAAUAGGAGAAAAUAUAUGGAAAGAUACAUAGCCAAUGAAGAUGGAAGACGGAAAUAUAGUUUCAUGUUAUAUUCACAAUAGAGUUCUAUUUGAUUAAAAUCUCUUGUAACCAACACUUUACUUUUUCGUUCAUUUUUACUUACAUAUCUAUUAAAAUAUAUAUUAUCAUAUUAUAAGUAAUAGUGAAAAUCUAUUUUUGAAAUAGUGAAUUUAACAUCAAAACUAAUAAUUCAACGAACUAAUGCUCAUUGUUUUAGCCAAAUCAGAAAGAAAUUAUUUUAUUUGAGGGUAAAAAAGAGAAAAUGGCCAAAUCCCUCCUCAAUCUAUAACCAAAUUCUCAACUACACACUUAUAUUUUAUGAGAGUCCUAUUACCCCCUUGAACUACUUUAAAGCGAAAUAUAUACCACCCUUAAACUAGAUAACCACAUUCUUUGUAUGUGGCGUGCACACGCGCUACAACUGUCAAAUAUCAUUAUCAUUAUUAUUUUAAAAGUAAAUGUUAUUCUUCUUUUUCAUUGCCAACAACAUCAUCUUUACUCUUCUCUUCUCCAGAUAUUGAGACAUGAUUUUUAUUUCUUUUCACUGUAAACUCCCCUAAACCUUUAUCUCCCUCCACCCCAUUUCUCCCUAGACACCCCACCCCCACCCCCACCCUCGUCUUCCAUAACCCACAAAUUAGAUCUCAAUUCAAGAUUCAUAUCAACACUUAUCAUCUCUUUUUCGGGUAAAAGAAAAUCAACAAUAUUUAUCAACAACAUCACCAUCACAACAACAAUUUUAUCAAGUCAUUUAGAUCAACCCCUUCACCUCUCCCACCCAAAUUCUGCAAUCUUGGCACCAAUUUUAAGUUCGAAGUUUUUGCUAAUCAUCUUGGACUUGAGUACAAUUAUGCCCUUUUGAAUCCUUCUUUAAAUAGUGUAGGAUUUAUGCCUUUUAAACUUGAGGAAAUAAUUUGGAUUAUCAGGGUUGAGCAUAAUCGACUGGUGGUUGCUGCUCAAGUUCCUAAAAUCGUUAUUGGGUGUAGUUUGAAUUCUUCAUCGAAAAGUAAUAGAGAUUAGAUAAUAUCUGAAGGUUGGUGAAUUUUAUUAGAGUAAAGAGAUUAAAGACGAUUUAAUUUUAUUCACUAUAUGAGUAAUAUAAUAAUUUUAAUGCUUAUUUGGUGAUUUCGAUGGUGAUUUACAAUGUUAAGAAUUGUGAGUAAAUAGUGUGACAAAUAAUGAGAAAGUACUAAAAGAUGGGUGAAGACAUUGGCUGCUAUGGUAGUGGGCUAGUGGUGGUUCAACAAUGGUGAUGAAGAACAUGUAAGGUGGGGUGAUUUUUUUGAGUGAUGAGAGAGAAAAUUAAAUAAAAGACAAAAGUAAAAAAUUAUAUAGUAAAAAAAAAGUCAAAAUAUUUUUAAAAUAUCUUUUUAUCAGUUUUUUCAACUUUCACAUGCCUUCAAGAGUGUGAGCACACUCUCUGUGCCAUGUCAGCACUUAAGGGUGCAUUUAUACUACUUUAAAAUAGUUUAAGGGGUAAUAGGACCCCUAUAAAAUAUAAGUGUGUAGUUGAGAAUCCGGUUAUAGGUUGAGGGUGUAUUGGACCAUUUUCUCGGGUAAAAAAUAAAAAACCAAAGAAGAAAUAUCUUACCCAAAUCAUGUGACUUUAUUCAUAUUUUAUUAUUAUUAUUGUCUUCCCACAACAUUUCCUCACCGUUAACUCAUAAAAAUCGUAAGAAAAUAUACGAGUGUCAAUUUAUGAAUGAUUUGCUACAAUUUGUUCACCAACUCCAUCUUAUGUGGUACCUCGGAUUUCAUUGAAUUUUGAACUUAAUCAACUAUUACAAAUAACCCUGAGAUUUUUUUUAAGAAGUAGAAGAGUAGAAAACUUUAAAAAUCGUAGUUUAAAAGUGAGAGGAAACCCUCUAUUUAUAGCUAACAAAUAGUAGUAUUAAUAGGUGCUAAUUGUUCCUUAUCAGAAAAGUUGACCUUUCAUAAAAGUCACUGCUCAUCGGAAAAAUCACAACCUUUUGCAAAAGUCACAACUCAUCGGAAAAGGCACAACCCUUUGAAAAAAAUCACAACCUUUCAGAAAAGUCAUAACUCUUCGAAAAUGUCAAACAUAAAAUUUUCUCAAAUUAAAAUGAACACAAAAUAAUAGGAAAAAAUAAUAUGGAGCGAUAGAUAGCAAAUGAAGAAGGAAGACAAAAAUAUAUGUUCAUGCUAUAUUCACUUUAGAGUUCUAUUUGAUUAAAAUCUCUUGUCACCAACACUUUACAUUCUUCGUUCACUUUUACUUACAUAUCUAUUGAAAAUAAUUAUUAUCAUGUAUAUAUUAUCAUACUAUAAGUAAAAGCGAAAAUCUAUUUUUGAAAUAGUAGAUUUAACAUCAAAACUAAUGAUUCAAUGGACUAUGUUGAUGCUCGGUGCUUUAGCAAAAUCAGAAAGAAACUGCUUCAUUUGAGGGUAAAAAAAACAAAUAAAAAAUCAAAGAAGAAAUAUCUUACACAAAUCAUAUGACUUUAUUUAUAUUUGUUUAUUAUUAUUGUCUUUUCCACAAUAUUUCGUUACUGUUAACUCAUGAAAAUCGUAAGAAAAUAUACGAGGUGACUUUAUGAAUGAUUUGCUGCAAUUUGUUCACCAACUCUUUCUUAUCUUGUAUCUUGAAUUUCGUUAAAUUUUUAACUUAAUCAACUGUUACAAAUAACCCUUGGAUUUUUUAAGAAGAAGAAGAAGAGUAGAAAAUUUUAAAAAAUUGUAGUUUAAAAGUGAGAGGAAACCCUCUAUUUAUUUCUAACAAAUAGUAAUAUUAAUAGGUGCUAAUUGUUCCUUAUAAGAAAAGUUACAACCUUUUGUAAAAGUCACUGCUCAUCAUAAAAAUCACAACCUUUUGCAAAAGUCACAACUCAUCGUAAAAGACACAACCCUUCGGAAAAGUCAUAACCCUUUGAAAAAAAUCACAACCUGUCGGAAAAGUCACAACUCAUCAAAAAUGUCAAACAUAAAAUUUUCUCAAAUUAAAAUGAACAGAAAAUAAUAGGAAAAAAAAUAUAUGGAACGAUACAUAGCUAAUGAAGAAGGAAGAAGAAAAUAUAUGUUCAUGCUAUAUUCACUAUAGAGUUCCAUUUGAUUAAAAUCCUCUUGUCACCAACUACUUUACUUUCUUCGUUCAUUUUUACAUACAUAUCUAUUAAAAACUUAUUAUUAUCAUGUCUAUAUUAUCAUAUUAUAGGUAAUAGUGAAAAUCUAUUUUUUAAAUAGUGGAUUUAGCAUCAAAACUAAUGAUUCAAUGGACUACAUUGAUGCUCCUUGUUUUAGCAAAAUCAGAAAGAAACUGCUUAAUUUGAGGGUAAAAAAAAAAAAAACCAAAGAAGAAAUAUUUAUUAUUAUUGUCUUUACCACUACAUUUUGUCACUGUUAACUCAUGAAAAUCGUAAAAAAAAUACGAGUGUGAAUUUAUGAAUGAUUUGCUACAAUUUGUUCACCAGCUCUUUCUUAUGUGGUACCUCAAAUUUCGUUGAAUUUUGAACUUCAUCAAAUGUUACAAAUAACUGUGAGAUUUUUUAAGAAGAAGAAGAAGAGUAGAAAACUUUAAAAAACUGUAGUUUAAAAGUGAGAGGAAACCCUCUAUUUAUAGCUAACAAAUAGUAGUAUUAAUAUGUGUUACUUGUUCCUUAUCAGAAAAGUUACAACCUUUUGUAAAAGUCAAUGCUCAUCGGAAAAAUCAGAAUCUUUUGCAAAAGUCACAACUCAUCUGUAAAGGCACAACCCUUCGGAAAAGUCACAACCCUUUGAAAAAAUCACAACCUUUCGAAAAAGUCAGAACUUGUCGAAAAUGUCAAAACCCGUAAAAAAGUCUCAUCGGAAAAGGUACAACCCUUCAGAAAAGUCACAACCCUUUGAAAAAAUCACAACCUUUCGAAAAAGUCAGAACUCAUCGAAAAUGUCAAAACCCGUCAAAAAGUCGAAACCCUUUGGAAAAGUCACAUUUGUUUGAGAAAAUCGCAACCUUUUAAUAUGAAAGGGUAUUUACAUUUAAUAUAAUACAAAUAAUUAAAUUAAUAAAUAAAACAAAUUGAGUAUUUUUAAUUAGGGGUAUUAUAGUAAUUCAACAUUCAUUUUAGGAGUUCAUACUUUUAAGGUAGUAUAGAUAUUAUAUUAAAAGCACACACAUUUUCACAUUUAAGGGUUGUGAAAUUUCCAAAGAUUUAUAAUUUUUCCGAUGAGUUGUGACAUUUUCAAGGGUUGUGACUUUUCUACAAGGUUGUGACUUUUCCGAAGAGUUGUGACUUUUUUGAAGGGGUUGUGACUUUCCAAAGAGUUAUGAAUUUUCGAUGAGUUGUGACCAUUUUUUUUUUGAUAAGGCACAAUAAGCAUUUUUCUUUGUUGGCUAUAAAAAGAGGGAUUUCCUCAAAUUUUUUAACUACAAUUUUUUUAAUGCUUUUCAUUGUUCUUCUUCUUAAAACACUCAAUAUAGUAUAUUUUCUAUUAUAUUAAAAGAAGACACCAUUUUACAUUGAAUGGUUACAACUUUUCCAAAGACUUGUAACUUUUUCAAUGAGUUGUGACCUUUUCGAAAGGUUGUAACUUUUAUGAUAAGAAACAAUAUGUGUAUGCUCAUACUACCCAUUGUUAACUAUAAAUAGAGGAGUUUCCUCACAUUUUUAAACUACAAUUUUUUUUAUGUUUAUAUUCUUCUCUUAAAAAAAACUCAAGUUUGAUUUACAGACGUUGACAAUUUCAAAGUUCACUGAAACUUGAUCACUUCCUAACAUGAAUGUUCAAAUUAAUAGGCGGAAUGGUCUGGGAGACCCUUGUACUUGGCUCCGUUUGUAUGUUGGACCCUUAUACUUACGACUUUGUCAAUCGAACCCUUAAACUCGCUGAAACACAAUUAUUAAACACCUCUGACCAUUGAUUGAACACAUGUGACAUUAAUAUUGCUGACUUGGAAUGAUGCGUGGUUCCACGCGUUUUAAAGAAAGUGUCUGAAAUUUAUAUGAAAAAAACAAUUAAAUUUUUUAAAAAUAAAUAAAUGAAAAACACCAAAAAAAACAUAAAGGCAGUUAUCUUCUUCAAGCAGCCUGUCGCUGCUGCCCCCCCCCCAACCAACCCCCCAACCAAAUUUCUUAAACCCAUUCCACUUCUUUCCUUCUCUCUUUGGAUUCACCCACCAUUUCCCUUCUUCUUCUUAACACCCCGCACACUGUCUCACCCCUAAAUAUUUUCUCAAAAUUCAUUCUUUUUAAAAAUUUCGAUUUCAUGCGUAGUCUUUGGUGAUAGUGGGUAUUGAAAAAUGAAAAACUUCAUUGAUAAGCUUGAUGAAGCUUCAAGAAUAAUAAAUGGGUUUUGUGAAUUUAUGAAAUAAAUUUGAAAUUGUAUAGAGAUUUGUUGGGUUUAUGUUUGUGAACAAUAUAGUGUAAAAUUCAAGUCAAAUAGUUAAGAAUUCCACCAAUUUAACAUGAAUUUGGUGCUCAAUUUGAGAGCAAAAAUGGAGAAAAUAAUGUUCAAAAUUUCUAGCAUAUGCAGAAGUACUCUUUUUAUUUUUAUUUUAUUUGUUUAAUAUUUAAUUUAUUGUGUGUCAUUAAAAAUGACGUGGAAUUCUACCUGUAAAUGAGUGUACCACACGCACACACAUAGGAUGAGGAAAGAGUUUAAAAUAUUGUGUUUCAGUGAGUUAAAAGGUUUAGUUGACAAAAUUGUAAGUAUAAGGGUCCAACUUACAAACAGAACAAAGUAUAAGGGUCUCUCAAGUCAUUCUGCCAAAUUAAUAUAAUACUCUGACUAAAAACAUCCAAUUUAGUAAAUAUUCUAUAUUUUAUAUCAAUAUUUAUUUAUAUUAUAUUACAUUGAAAGUAAGAACUCCAACGAUACAAUAAUAACUAAGUUAAUGGGUCAAGUCUAAUAUUUAUUUAAUACCUUAUACCACUUGGCCCAUGUAAUAACCCGUUAGGUCAUUUUGAGAAUUUGGACUAUUUUGACUCUUCCCGUAAAAUUUUAGAUGAAAAUUUUGAACAAUUCAGUAACUACGCUUAUUUAAUUGUCAGAAAUUUUUUAAUUAUUAAUUUAAUUAGAAAGUAAUGGGCCAAGUCUGAAAUCUAUCCUAUACCCUUUACCACUUGGCCCAUAAAAUUAAAUUAAGUUAGUGGGUUUUGCCACUUUAAAUACCUAAUUAGUUUAUUUGAAAAAGGAAAAGAAUUGUGGCAGAAAACUUCCCUCUGCAGACGAACGAGAGAAGAAGAGAAAACAAAAUAAAACCAUACUUCGAACUUCAGGUAAGCAAAAAAUUAGUGCACAUUCUUAAUUUUUCUAUAGCUUGCUAUGUAUAUGAAAUAUAUGGCGUUCUAUUUAAAUUGGGUGGACAAGGAAUUGAAAUUGUUUUCUCUAACUACGAUGUCACGAGUGGAGGAAUAAAUUGAGGACUUGUGAUAGUUGAAUGUAAGGGUAAUAUUUAGGUAAUGAUAAUUUAAUAAUUAGGAUAUAAUGAGUGAGUGUGGGGAUAAUCAUUGACAGAGAAGGAUGUCUGCAUAAAUGAAACAUGUAUAUAGUUCCAUUAGUUAUUAUUUUAUCUUAUUUCGUGGGUAAGGUUACACGUGAGUAGCUAUUGGCUUAAAAUUUUGAAUUUUCAUAUAGUUAUUACUAUUUGAAGUUUUAAUAUGUGGAUAUAGGUAACAAAUUUUUGGUGGUAUUGUAUUAUAUGAAUAUCAUUAGAUUCAUGAUAUUUGGGGCUUAACUCUAGCCUUGAAAUUUAACAAAUAUGUGUUUGACAUAUCAGUUGACACCAAAAUUAGGAGUUUGAUUAUCGAUUAGUGUAAGUUUGGGUCUAGGCUAGACAUAUAUUAAUAUGGGUGUCUAUAGACUCAUUUGUUUAAGAAUAUUUCAUAUUUGAUAGAUUCAAAACGUUCGAAAGCUUUGCGAAAGGGGAAGGAAAAAUCUUGAGGAUUUGUGGCACGUGUUCGACAUUCAAGGUAUGUUAAGACUUUCAGACUUCGUUGAAGGACAUUUUUCUAUUUAAAGAUUAAAAAUGAAAUAGACCAUGAGUAAGGGCGAAAGAUAGGGUCUUGUACCAAUGGUGUGAUGGGCAAUGGUACGAGUAGUGGUGUUAUAAAGGGAAAGCUUAUCACUAUAGAAUGUGGAUUGUAAUUCGGGAAUGCCAAAGAACAUGGACAUUAGCUGAUGUAUUGUUGAUUUCUUCUGUGUGAUUGUGUUUUUUUUUGGACCCGUAAAUUUGUUAUAGCUGAGGUGAUUACAUAUCAUAUUGAUAUUUGAUUGAUUGAGAUGCAUCAUCAUCCUUUUUCAUUGAUAUUAUAUUGUGCACAUGUAUUGACAUGAGACUGAGUAUAAGUUAGGUACGUGGAGAUCAUCCGUGCCGGGGAUUGUGAGAUGUUAAGAUUAUAAUUUGAGUACGUGGAGAUCGUCCGUGCAGAAAUUGUUAGAUUUUAUGAUAGUGCGUUGAUAUCGUCCCGCACAGACACGUGGAGAUCGUCCGUAUCGGUAUAUGGAACUCGCGAGUUAGAUUUUAUGAUAGUGCGUUGAGAUUGUCUGCACAGACACGUGGAGAUCGUUCGUGUCGGUAUAUGGAACUUGCGAGUCCGCCAUGGGUCCGAUGUAUUUCCGAGGAUAUCAUGGAUAUGCAGUUCUUCUUCUUCUUCUUCGGUAUAUGGAACUCGCGAGUCCCCCAUGGGUCCGAUGUAUUUUUGAGGAUAUCAUGUAGAUACAGUUCUUCUUCUUCUUUUUCUUCCUCUUCUUCUUCCUGUUCUUCCUCUUCCUCUUCCUCUUAUGAGAGGAUUUUUGAGAGGGAAUUGGGUUUCUUCUGGGGAUUUAGAAACAAUGAUUUGGAAUGACUUAAUUAAGGGUCUAAAGUAUUUAUAUAGGUGGUCUAAAUUAGGGUAAAAUGACACCACUUAAUCCCUAAUUAAUUUCGAAAAGUUCCACUUACCCCUCACUUAACCGCCUAAGACCAACACAUUGCCUCACCCACAAGACCACGCCCACGGGUCGUGGCUGGACCCAUGGGGUGUGGUGGUCAAUCAUGAGUUGUGGUCUGUGGGUCUUCAUUUGGGCCCUUGACCCACAAAGCCAACCACAUGGCGUGGACCCAUCCACGAGGCGUGGGUCCUGCCCGUGGUUACUGCCCUAGGCAGAUUUCAGGAAGGGCUCACCCACGCUGCCCACUUACGGGCGUGGUUCCAUCCACGGGGCAUGGAUGGCCUCGUGGGUUGCACUGUUUUGGGCAGUUCUAGGGUCUUCCUCAAGGACCCUUGGUUGGUCCUUGGGGUCAUACCUUGACGUUCUAACACGAAACCCUAUAUUUUUAGGUACGGGGAGGUACAUUCAUGACUCUAACCCUCACGUCAAGCUCUAGUUUAGCUUACUAGUUUCUGGGGUGUUACACUAUCAAUCAUUAAUUUUACUCUAAUACCUCUUUCUCAAGCAAGCAUAGAGAGCUAAGCUAGAACCGAAUUUGCAACUUCAGUUCAUCAAUUAAAACACGAAAAAACAAUUGAACCCAUUUCCAAACAACAUUAAAUUCAGCAAUUAACAUCCAUAAGCUAAUUAAUGCAUUCGACUACAUGAUCACACCCCUUAGAUAAGGAUUUUUAGCCAAACAUAGCAAAAAGUGAGAAAUCGUUACCAAAAAGAUUGUCCAUCCAAAUUGUUAAAAAUCUGCAAUACUCAAUGCCCGAAUUAAAGCUAGAAUCCUAAAACCUCAAAUUCGAGAUCCAAAUGUUCUCCAAGGUGUUCAACAAUGUAAAAAAUGUAAAAGCUCUCAAAAUUUGGGGAAUACACACUUUAUUAGUCGGGAAUACACACUCAAAAACUUAGAAAUACACACUACUUGUAGACAUUCAUGUUGUCCUAAUCGAUUGGGUUUUACUUGAGGACAAGCAAAUGUUUAAGUUGGGAGUGUUGAUGAGUCGGGAAGUUCGACUCAUUUAGGGCUUAUUAUUCAAUGAAUUAGUGUCCUCAAUGCCUAUUUUGUGCUCAUAAGUGAUGUUAAUGUGUUUAUAAGCAACAAUGAAGGCUUAAAAACAAGACAAGGCCAUUAUGUUGUGAAAAGGAUCGAAAAAGUUGGAAAACCUGAAGAAAUAAGAAGUUGGAGCUCGCAAAAGCCACUCAACGACUUUUCGCGUGAGCCUCCUGCUCGCCAAAAUUUCCAGUGAAGUAGCUCAUGUACCAGGCCAACUUGGCGAGCAAAAGAUGAUUCGGCGUGUCGAAUGGAUCAGUGAUCACGACCCAGCUCGCCUAAUCUUCUAGAACAAUUUGAUGCAGGAACCAAGACACACUACAAGAAAAAGCUUUAUUUAAGACCAAUAUUUAUGGACGAGUCAAUAAUCCCGUCUCUAAAAGUAGAUGUAUUGGGACGAGAUUUUAUUUUGGUCUUUAAUUAUGUAUGUUUUUGUGAAGGUACUAAAUUUGGUCUCUAGAAAAAGUAGUAACUGGUCCCAAAUCAAAAUUUAGGGGUCUUGAGAAAUAUAUAUUGAAAGGCGGGAACUGAAAUGUAUAAAAAAAACAUCUUUUUUCACCAAAAUUAGGCGCCUAAAAGAUCAGUAAUACUGAUAGAUCAAAAUUCUAAAAGUAAAAGAAAAAAAGUGAUCGUGAAAUCAAAAACCCUAGCAAUGAUCUUCCCUAACAACAAUCUUCCCUUACAACGAUUUUUGGAAACGCACUGGUUUACCUAGCAAGAAACACAAUAUAGGUCUGUGUUUUCUCAGAACAGAGAAAGCAGAGGUCUGCGCAGCAGUGAUCUUCACUCAAUCACUAUCUUCUAUUCACUCGAAUCUCAGGUAUUCCUCCACUUCUAUGAGUUGAUUUGAUUUCAUCUGUGAAGUCGAUUAGUUUUUUGUAUUGUUCGAGUUAUAUCUCUUCUUUUUUAAACUCUUGUUCUGUUAGACUAGCUGCCGAUUGUUUUCUUAAAGAACAUGAAGUUUUGUAGUGUGAUAUGAUCCAAAAAAUGAAGGGGAUCAGUCCUUAAUGAAUUACGUUACAAUUUUGUUUGGGUCUGAAGCUGAUGAACUAUGUAAAACGCAAUAGAACUAAUGUAAAUUACCUCAUGUGGUGCUGCACAUUAAAGGUUGAAAGAGUGAUAACUUCGUUUGCAUCUGAAACUUGGGUUCUUUAAAGCUUCGUUUGCAUCUGAUGAAACUUGGACUCUUUAAAGGUUUAAAGGUUGAAAGAACUAAUGUAAAUGACUUCCUGUGGUGCUGCACAUUAAGUUAUAGUUUCGUUUAAAGCAUUCUUUCCUCUUUUUCUAGCUAGUUCUCUGAUUUCUCUCUACUUGUAUCUCAGCUACGCAUCCUCUUUUGCAAGUUUUUUUUUUCUGCUCAAAAUUUUAAUUGUUGAUUGUUUUCUUCCUAUAGCAUAGUGUAUAGUGUGUGCCUAAAGAAUUGAUCAUAUUUUUACGAUGAAAUUCAUUCAAGCUAAUGAAAGAUGAAGUAUGACAUAAAACUUAUGUAAAUUACCUCUUGUAUAUGAUGUACAUAGUAGGUAGAAACAACGAUAGUUUCAUUUAGGUUUCAAAACAUGGAAAACUUGAGAUUUUCAAGAAGAUAUGUUCUAGCAGUACCACCAUAUUUUUUCCAUUCUUGUAAAACUGAAUCACUAGUUGUUAUCUAUUUGUUCAAGUUUCACGUAAGCCUCCUCUUUUGGGACCUGCUUUUUUCUUCUUCUAUAUAUUUGAUUUGUUUGAGUUACACUACUUGUUUGAUUUCAUCUGUGAAGUCAGUUUGUUGUUUGUAUUGUUUGAUUUAUAUCUCUUCGUUUUUGAACUAUUGUUUUGUUAGACUAGCUGCUGAUCGUUUUCUUAAAGAACAUUAAGUUUUGUAGUGUGAUAUGAUCCCAAAAAUAAAGAGGAUCAGUCCUUAAAGAAUUAAGUUACAGUUUUGUUUGAGUCUGAAGUUGAUGAACUAUGUCAAAAGCAAUAGAACUAAUAUAAAUGACUUCCUGUGGUGCUGCACAUUAAAGGUUGAAAGAGUGAUAGCUUUGUUUGCAUCUGAAACUUUGAUUCUUUAGAGCUUCAUUUGCAUCUGAAACUUGGAUUCUUCAAAGCUUCGUUUGCAUCUGAUGAAACUUGGACUCUUUAGAGGUUGAAAGGCUGAAAGAACUAAUGUAAAUGACUUCCUGUGGUGCUGCACAUUAAGUUACAUUUUCGUUUAAAGCAUUCUUUCAUCUUUUUCUAUCUGGUUCUCUGAUUUCUGUUUACUUGUAUCUCAGCUAUGCAUCCUCUUUUGCUAGUUUUUUUUUCUACUAAAAAUUCGAAUUGUUGAUUGUUUUCUUCUUAUAGCAUAAUGUAUAGUGUGUGCCUAAAGAAUCGAUCAUAUUUUUACGAUGAAAUUCACUCGAGCUAAUGAAAGAUGAAGUAAGACAUAUAACUUAUGCAAAUUACCUCUUGUAUAUGGUGUACAUAGUAGGUAGAAAUAACGAUAGUUUCAUAUAGGAUUCAAAACUUGGAAAACUCGAGAUUUUCAAGAAGAUAUGUUCUAGCAGUAGCACCAUAUUUUUUCCGUUCUUGUAAAACUGAAUCUCUAGUUGUUCUCGAUUUGUUCAUGUUUCAUGUAAGCCUCUUCUUUUGGGACCUGAUUUUUUCUUCUUCUAUAUAUUUGAUUUGUUCGAGUUACACUACUUGUUUGAUUUCAUCUGUGAAGCCAGUUUGUUAUUUGUAUUGUUCGAGUUAUAUCUCUUCUUUUUUGAACUUUUGUUCUGUUAGGCUAGCUGCUGAUCAUUUUCUUAAAGAACAUUAAGUUUUGUAGUGUGAUAUGAUCCCAAAAAAGAAGGGGAUCAGUCCUUAAAGAAUUAAGUUACAGUUUCGUUUGGGUCUGAAGUUGAUGAACUAUGUCAAAAGCAAUAGAACUAAUAUAAAUGACUUCCUGUGGUGCUGCACAUUAAAGGUUGAAAGAGUGAUAGCUUCGUUUGCAUAUGAAACUUUGAUUCUUUAAAGCUUUGUUUGCAUCUGAUGAAACUUGAAUUCUUUAAAGGUUGAAACAACUAAUGUAAAUGACUUCUUGUGGUGCUACACAUUAAGUAAAAGUUUGUGGCAUGAUAAGAUCCCAAAACGAAGUUGAUCAAUCCUAAGAGAAACAAAUGUUCCUAAGGAAACAAAACAGUGAACUACUCUUAAAUAGAGGCACUCACAGGUCAUGCAUUAAGACAAUGUUCGGAGAGAAGAUAUAUGAAUUUUUAUUCGACUCAAGAAAUCUAUUCAGAAUUACAAGUGAACGAAUGUUUACCUUUUAAUACUAACAGAGCACACUGUAAAGUGUCUUCAGUUAUUAAAUCUGAUCCAAAUAUAUAGGCACGUGCAACUAAUUCUUAAAAAGAUUUCUAUCUAACUAAAAUAAAUUAGUAAUUGCAAAAGGCACCAUUGAAUUAUUAUCUACUGUAAAUGGAUCAUAUUUUAGUGUUUUGUGUGUGUCUAAGGAAUCGAUCAUAUUUUCUUACAAUAAAAUUAACUCGAACUCACAAAAGAUGUAUAAAGCAACAGAAUUGAUACAAAUUACCUCAUGUGGUGCUGUACAUAGAAGGUAGAAAUAGUGAUAAUUCCAUUUGAGUUUCAAACUUACCAAACUUGAUAUCUUUCAAGAGAUACAUUCUUAUAGUUGCACCAUAUAUUCGGUCAUUCCUAUCAAACUCAAUCACAACAAAUUUAUCAAAAAUUUAUAAAAAUAUAUUGUAAUUAACUUUUAGAAGGUUAAAGAUGCAACUGACUUCUUACAGUUAUACUUCAUGUGAUUCCAUAUAUAGAAGGUAGAUACAAUGACACUUCUCUUUGGGUCCUUGAGAAAGAGAACACGGAACCCAAAUCCCCUUGUUCUACUCAUCAAGUUAUGCAAGUCUCCCAAACAACUGAAACAUGUAUGACAAUUUACAAAUCCAUUCACUAUCAAUCUGUUGAACUAAAUUUUAUUGCUACAGUUCUUACUAAAUUAUAAAACUAUAGGAUCAUCUAAUCCAAGAAAUGUAAAAAGAGUGCGAGGGAGCAACAAGUGUAAAGAAGUUGCAUCACUUGAAGCUGAAAAGAGGCUGAAAGUAACAUUUUACAAUAAUAGAACAGUUGGAACAAAUAGCAAUCUGUUUUCAAGGCACCUGGGAAAAAUAAUUUGUGACUGUAAUAUGUGUCCAUUGGGAGUACCAUCGUGGAGGGACAUUAAGCAACAAAAGUUGGAUCACAUGUGGGCAGCUAUUGAGGUACAAUUACGAAUUACAUCAUCAUUAUAUUUAUAUUCAGCUUUUUUGUGCUCUGUUAAUUAUUACAUGAAUCUAAUCAACUAACCAAAAAGAUAAAAAGAAGGAUAUCUACUAAGAAGAUACAUUGGUGUAACUACCAUCUGGUGUUUAACUUGAUGAAUUAGAACUUACUAUUCUUAUAUUUCCAACAUUAACCGUUGUUGCACAUAUUUUUCUUUCUCAAUUUUAUACAUAGUUUUUGUAUAGUUGACGCACAAUAUUCACUCUCCUUUUGUAGGAUAAAUUUGAGAGUGUUGACUUCAAUGAUCAUCGUGAUCAUAUAUUUGGAUGGAUGAAUGAGUUAUGGAACAAAUGGAGAGGAUACUUGCAUGCUACUUAUGUGAAGAAUAAGCCAAUUGCUCAGGCUCUUAAUAAUAUUCCAAAGGGAGUAGAAAAGAAGAAAUGGGAGUGGUUAGUUAAGGAACAUUUUUCUUCUGAAAGUUUUCAGGUAUACCUAGAGAUCUAAUAGCCUAUAUCUUUCAAGUAUCCAUUUUGCAACUCAUCGUGAUAUUUAGAUGUGAAACUAUCUCUAAACUUGGUAAUAUUUCUUAGAUAUGGCUUUUUAACGUACCAAUACAGGCGAGGAGCAAUAGAAAUGCAGAAAAUUGAGCUAUGUUAAAGAUGUUUCAUCACAUUGGUAGCAAGCCUAUUAGAGAGAUUAUUUAUCAGCAGGUAUUAUCGAAAAAUAAUUUUCCUAAAUAAAACGUUUAAGAAGUUCUAUUUGCGGAUAGUCGUUUAAGCAUUUAGUGUAUAGCUAAACUCUUAGAUGAUUGAUCGUGUUUAAAGGAAUUUCUUCACUUCUGAGGUUCUUUGUUGGUGAUUUAUUUUUUCUCUUAGCUGGUGGCUGUUUGAUCACCUAUAUAAGUUAGUUUUGUUUAGUGAGCUUUAUCACUUUUGCUGGCAGGACAAAAAUCUAUGACUAACUCCCUUCCUGCAUAAGUUAGGUUGAUUCUUCCUAACAUUUUAUCAAGAAGUGGAUGAGACAUUCAAUAAUUCUAUAUAUGAAUCUUUAUACAUAAGACUGGGAUAGUGCUGAUUUGUUGAUAAACAGAGUUGUUUUAUACAUUAUGUUUCGAGUUAUUUUCAUGUUUGUGUCGUUUCUUUCUAGACAGAAAUUGGAAACUGAUUUGCAUUGAGUUUUAGCCGUUUAGCAGCUACAACCGUAGUAAUAGAUACCACAUAUGAAAUGCUUCAGUUGUUCCGAGUUAUUUUAAUGUUUGUGUCGUUUCUUCUCUAGAAAAAAAUUGAAAAACAGAUACGCAUUCAGUUUUAGCCUUUUAGAUGUCUUGGAAAUUGUUGCUUCUUGUGUGCUAGCAUAUAUAAGUUAUAGAACCAUUACACUUGACCAUAUACAAAAUCUCUCGACCCGUAUAGACACUCAACCAUAUAUAAGUUCUGCUUUGUCCACUAAGAAUAAGAAUACAAGAUAUAAAUGGCAGGAAAGAAGUAACAACGCAUUGUAGCCUCAAAGUAACAACAUCCUAGCCAUAUACAAAAUGUCUCUCCCCCUAUAAGACUUAUCCUUUAUGAAUAGGCCUUUAUCGAUGCAAGAAGAACUUUGACAUCACUCUCAGGGUUAUUAAGAUAAUUUUUUGAUAUCUUUUGCUGUUGUACAUCAUGUUUUCCAUCCAUAUACAGAAUAUCUCAGCAUAAAGUCUAGCAAAACAGAGAUUUGAGUUGCACCUUCAUCUGGUUUAGAGGAUCAAGUAACUAGCUAAACCUGUAUCAUUAGAAUUGCUUAACAGAUCAUUGCCUUCUUUAUCUCUAUUUUUUAAUUUUCUACACGUACAAUUGCAGGCACACAGUUUGAGAUUGUUUGGCUUCUACAAGGAUUAAUGAUGAGAAGAAAAAAGUGAUAACUUGUUUGUUUCCCCUGCUACAAUAAUAACCUACUGGUUUAUAGCUGAAACAGUGAUAUACAUCAUACGUGUUUAGUUACUCUGCAACAACUUCUUUCCCCUAAAACCUAAUAUAAAUCUUCUUGGUGGAGAAUUUCUCCAUUUGUGCUAGCUUAUGUCACUGAAUUUGUGCUUUCGGUAUAGAUUUGGAUUCUUGGUGAAUGCAUCUCAUCAAAGUUUUCUUAAUCAAUUUUUCUUAUGUUGUUGCAGCUUGUUGAUAUUCUGGAUAUCCCUUGGUUAAUUUUAGAGUUCUUUUGUGAAGAAUGAAGCUCAAGUCAAGAUGCAAGUUUAGAAGAUGCACACGACCAUUAUUAUUUUGCUAGGAAAGUUGUGCAAGACAUGAAAUCAUAGUCUAGCUCGGGAUAUUGUUAAUUUGCUAAGAUUUUUUUUGUCAAACAAAUAUUGAAACUAACACCAUGGGAUAUUUACCUAUUUUUAUAUUUAUAUCAGCCUUUUCUCUAGAGAUUUACCAUAGCAAUCUUAUAUUUAUUGGUAGAACUUAUAAUACUUUUGUGAAAUGAGGAUCCAGAAUCAAUGGUGGACAAUUAGAGACCAAAAUUUUUGCUCGUCUCUAAAAGUUCAUCUAAGAUGAGAUAGUUUCUUGUCUCUAAAAGUUUCAUCUAGGAUGAGACAACUUCUUGUCCCUAGAGGCUCAUCUAGGACGAGGUGUUGCUUGUCUCGAAAAACAAUCUAGGACGACGUGGUUGCUUGUCAAGAAAAAGUAAUCUAGGAUGGGGUAGUUGAUCGUCCCUAAAGAGUAAUCUAGGACGAGUUAGUUUCUAGUCUCUACAGGGUUUAGUGACCAGAAAAUGACUAGUUUUUAAGGAAGAAAAUCAUCUAUUUGGGACGAGAUAUGUAGUCUUUAAAAGUACUUUGGUGACCAGCUUUGAUUCCGUCCCUAAGCACAUUUAGCGACCAGUUAAUGGAACCCGUCCCAAUUAACCUUUAGCGAAGAAGCAUUUUAGGACGGGUGGCGACCAGCCUUUUCCCGUCUCAAAAGACAAUUUGGGACCAGAUUUGGACAUUCUAGGACCAGAUUUCCCUUCCUUAGAGACUGUUUUUCUUGUAGUGACAAUAAGCUGAGAAGAAGUGCAACUCGGUAGAUCGUCGAGUCGAUCGAUGAUACCGAAAAAUGAAUUUAUACGUUCCCAAAAACUCAGCAUGGAAUCCACUCGGUGAAGCUAGUCGGGAUCACCGAUUGACUCGGCGAUCCGUCGAGUUGCACUUCUUCUCGCCUUAUUGUCUUGGCUCCUGCAUCCAAUUGUUCUGGAAUAUUAGGCGAGUCGGGUCAUGAUCACCGAUCCAUUCGGCACAUCAAUGAAUCUUCUUUUGCUCGCCAAGUUGGCUUUGUACAUGGGCUACUUCGCUGGAAAUUUUGUCGAGCUGGAGGCUUACUUGGCAAGUCGUCGAGUGGCUUUUGCGAGCUCCAUCUUUUCUUUUCUUCAGCUUUUCUAACUUUUUCGCUCCUUUUCGCAACAUAAUGACCUUGCAUUGUUCUUAAGCCUUCAUUGAUACAUAUAAACACAUUAACAUCAGUUAUGAGCACAAAAUAGGCCUUGAGGACACUAGUUCAUUGAAUAAUAAUUCCUAAAUGAGUUGAACUUCCCGACUCAUAAACACCCCCAACUUAAACUUUUGUUUAUCCUCAAGUAAAACAAAAGAUUGAUCAGGCCAAUAUGGAUGUCUACAAGUAGUGCUCUUGGGACUCAACAUGAAUGCACACAAGGUUCAAUCUACACAUGCACUGUUCAAUUGUGCACUGAAAGUUUCAAACCAUGACUAACACUCAUCAAAUAGAGUUCAAGCUCGCAAUGCUCACUUCAAAUGCAACUGCAUGCUCAACAAGAGUGUUCAAAUGUCUUCACAUCAACAAUGAUUUCACGCUUUCACAAAGCCAAUCAAAGAUUACGAUUAAGGAAUCAAAAUCAAUUCUCACACUCCCAAUGAGAAAAACGUGCACGAUUUUACCCAUAGGCCUUCCCAUAUUUUCCAACCAACACAUCAUUCGGCUCAUGCAAGAUCAAAAAGGUCUUUCAAGGCUUGUAAUUGGGCUGAGGGUACGAGUAUGAUCAUUUUGGCUUAGUGGCUUCUACCUUCACGAAGCAUGGCUCAAAUUUCACUUGUUCUCCUUUUCUUUCAUUCUUUUCACCUUCACAGCUCAUCCUUGGCAUAUUCAAAGCACACGAAAUUUUUGGUAUCGAUUAUUAGACACCCCUUUUAUUUCCACAACAUUACACACUUCAAAUUUUAUCAUUUCUUUGCUUUUUUUUCAUUUUUUUUAAAUGGAGAGGUUCCAUCAUUUUUAUACACAUUCCUUCAAGGAGGAAUUUUCAUGAACUUCUUGCUCUAUUUUCUUCCUUAUUCUUACCACACUCCCGACUUAGGCUUUUUGCCAAAGUUGGCUAUUCAAACAAACUAAUGCUUCAUGAAGGUUUUAGGUGGAGAGGAUAAGGUCAUUUGCGUUCAUGUUUCAUCCAAAAAAAGGUUAGUCUCAAAUGGUGCCAAGCUAGGUUCACACACUCACAAGGUUGUCACACAAAGGUAUAGCAAUUAGGUUCACUCUAAAUUUUUUAUGCAUAAGAUCAUUUCCUCCAUUCACCAAAAUUAGUCAAUCGGACCAACGGAGCAAGUUCUAGAUAACAUUGAUGUGAGGCCAAAAUACAUAUUUUUAAUCAUUAUUUGCCUCAUAUUUAGUAUUUAUAUUUGUCCUUUUUGAGUAUGAAUUUUAUGGAUUGUGCUUUAUAGUAUAUUUUAUUUGUAGGAUUAAAUUGGUGGAAAAUGAAGAAGUUUGGAGCUAAAACCAAUUAAAGAUGGAAGGUUAAAGAAGAAAAUCAAACAGGCAGCUUAAUGGAUUAAAUUAAAUAUAAUAAUAAUAAUAAUAUAUAUAUAUAUAAGUGCAGCGAAGAGAAAUUCACUCAGUAUAACACUGCUGCCACGUGGCAACCAGUAAAGGCAGCAGCAACCCAUGGCAGCGCAACACUGUUUCACACGGAAUUAAAUUCCUUUUAGGUUUUGGGUUCCUAAUUUAUUUUGGACUCAAUUAUUUUAUUCAGAGUUUUCUAUAUUUAUAAAUAGUCCAUAAGAAUAAUUAUUAAUUUAUUAAGGGAGGAUGAUACAAUAUAGAAAAUAAUUUUUGAUUUAGGGUUUUAUCUUUUCUUCUCUUUUAUUUAUUUUACAUCUUUUCUUGGAAUAAUUCGUUGUAAUUGCUCUAUAUCUAUGUGGAGUUAAACUUCUCGUUCUUGGAUUAUAUUUUCUUACAAAAUGAUUGUUUAGUAAUUUUGAUUCUGCAUAAUUGUUUAUCAUAUUGGUUGUUCUAGUCUUGUGGUUACUAUUUCCAUGCUUGAUCAUAGAGAUAAAUAUAUUGUCUACUCUUGAACUUGGGAGAGGAAUGGAGGGAUAGAAUGUGGAAUAUAAGGAGCAUAAUCUUUUCUUGCAUAUCACUUGAAUUGAUUUGUGUCUAGGAUAGGGAUAUACCUAGGUACCUUGCUUGGCUCAUACGGAAAGACAACGUAAUGCUCCAUAGUUGGUUCAGUCUAUCCCCGCUCAACGAUGUAGUUAGACUGUCAAUUGUGGUAGACGGUUAGAGGUCGGGAGAUCAUGACUAUAUUAUCAACCCCGUGAAUCAAUAACUAGAUAAUAAAAUAAGUUGAUGAAAUUGAUGCUAAGCAUGAUUGUUAGUUAAAUCAUAAUCCUAGAUCGAUUCAUUCAUUGAUUGUGUAAACAUCAAUUUUUUCUUAGUUAAUUACUUUUUAGUUAUUUUAUCUUUAUUUUUAGUUUAGUUAAUAUAUAUUCGUCUUUUGAAAUCCUCCCUUAAAUAAAUAAUUAAUAUAAUUAAUAAGAAUAAUUAAUUGACAAGUCCUUUGGGUUCGAUAAUCCGAUUCUUUUAAGAGCCACUAUAUUACUUGCACGACACGUACACUUACGUGUGCAAUUGGUAGCAACAAGUUUUUGGCGCCGCUGCCGGGGACUUAGAAUUAAUUGUUUUUCUAGGUUAAACUUUUUCUUUUUAUUUAUUUAAGUUUUUUAUAGAAAAAAAAAACAAAAAGAAAAAAAAAAUUCUUAUGUUAUACUUUUUUAUUAGUGUCACUUUUUUUCUUUCGAUCUUGUUUUUGUAGAUGAGGGGAAAUCUAAGUACCCAAGAAUUUGAAGCAAAGUAGCAUGUUUGAGCUUAAGUGUGGGGUGCGUACGACCCUUGAUGGAAAAAAAAAGAUUGAAGAGAACAUGCAACUAUCUAGGCCUAGAGGCCUCAGGGAGUUCUUUCUUUCAUUCUUAGCUUGUGUAUUGAAUUGUUGCACUGGGGACAGUGCCAUGUUUUAAGUGUGGGUGGGGGAAUGAAUUCCUUGUUUUUACUGCUUUAUUGAGUCUUUUCAUUUUUUUAGGAUGGGUUCCUUGGCUUUUGUUUUCGGUUCUUUUUCUGAGGAUAGUCCUUUUGAACCGAGUGUCUUUUAUUUUUUAGGAAUAAGUUUUCUUUUAAUUUAUUUUUUUGAGAGAAAAGAAAAGACCCUUUUGAUGGUGUGAUACUUGCUAUUUAGGACUAAUUUUUGAGUAGUACUUUCUUGGGAAUGCUUGAUUGAUAAGGAAAUUGCAGACUCUUUAACACCUAAACUCAUGGUUGUGACUUUGUAUAUAGCUUAUUUUAUUUUGUAGUUUGUUAUGAUUCUUUCUCUCUUAGAAGUGGAAUUGAUCCAUCUUGAUUGAUACUUGUGCCAUGUGUGGAGAGAAUUUGUAUUUUCUAUGUUUUAUAUCUUAAUCUAGAACUUUCCCUGCAUGUUAUUGAAGAGAAAUAAAAAGUGUUGCUUUGUUUAGGAGAUCAUAAUAGGCUUUCUUUGUUUUGUCUUGUAACUUUUAGCCUUUUUAGAUACAUAUCACUAGUAGCCCCUUUGAGCCUGUAGUUUUUUAUCGGUAGCCAUAUUUUUGCCUUGACUUUUUGUUGGAAUCCCUAGUUUUUGCACCCUGCUUCCUUGAGCACUGUAGCAGACUUAUUAUAUUUGUUAAAUCUGAAGAAAAAUGGAUGGUUGAGUGAAAAAAGUAAUCAAUGAUAGCUACAAAGUGAUUAAAAAGCCCUCUUUGAAAGAAUGUGACAUGAAAAAGAAAAAAGAAAAAAAAAGAGAAAAACAAAAUUAAAAAAAAAAUAUUCUUUGGAAAAAAAAUGAUUGAAGCAAAAAAAACGCUCUCUUCUCUCUUAUGCAAACCCUAACCCAAAUCUCCCAGCAACACCUAUGGCCACUCCGGCCACUGGCAAGUCGUCUUUGGCGACUGGUCAGACAGUCCCUUUAACGUUCAAUGAACACUUCCCCAACCUUACUCAUAUAACACGUCUAUCCAAUCCCAAUUGUGGCAUUAAGGAUCCUAAUACUCUGCCUAGCGAACAUGUCGUGCAUAAUGAUGAUACAAUCAGAUUUAAGGAAGGAGAGUAUGCAGCUUUGGUAAAACCUAGUGGUAUGAAUGCAGUUGAUUCAAACAAAGGACUACCAGCAGUACCUUUGAAAAAACCUACGUUUAACAAUGGUAUUCCUCGGGUUACUUGGAAAGAGGAAGAAGUAACACGUAUGAACAUUAUGGAGAAUCUACAAUAUGCUGUGAUAGGAAAGUUCUCUUAUGGGUGGUCUGAGCUAGAUGAGUUGAGAAGGAUUAUCCCUAAACAAUGCAAUAUAAAAGGAGCAUGUCAAAUAGGUUUGCUGCGACUUAGGCAUGUUUUGAUGAUAUUCGAAUUGUUUGAAGACUUUGUGAACAUGAUGUCCAAACCUUCCUAUUACAUUACUGAUAAUGCAGGAUUAUACUAUCCAAUGGGACCCUUGAUUUAUGAUGAGAAGUUCAGAGUUGAUGAAGAAAAAUCAUAGGCUAUGGCAUGGAAAUCCUUCCCUGAUCUUUGGCUUAUUUUUUUUUGGGAGAGAACCUAUUUUUUCAUUUGCAUCAGCAGUGGGUAAACCAAUUCAGUUAGAGACAGCUACUAUCAACAAAACUAGACCUAGUUGUGCUAGGGUUUAAGUCCAACUAGACUUAAGUUAGGUGAUCUUCCUAAGUUUGUGGAAUUGGAGAUUGAGAAUGAAGAGAAAACCUCGUCAAGGGUGGAAAAGGUGAAAGUGGUUUAUGAUAUGCUCCCUAAAUAUUGUAAAAGAUGCAAAUUACAAGGACAUAAUGAGGAAGAAUGUAGAAUCCUACAUCCUGAAUUGAGAAAGCAAGAACAUAAUGCAAAUAUGGAAUUGAAGGACAAAGAAUUGAGCAAACCAUCAAGGUUCCUUAAAAAACAAUGGAACCCUACUAAUAGAAGAUUCAUCAGAAACACUGAUAAGGAGGUUACUACUGCAGGCAUGGAACUAGAGACGGAUGUUAUUGUGAGUAACAACUCAUUUACUGCUCUUAAUGAAGAACAAGAUGAAGGAGAAAAAAAUAAAGGGGAGGGCGGGGGGGGGGGGGGGGAAAUGAAUACAAAAGAAUGGAUUACAAAUUCUUUCUACAAAAAUACAAACACAGUAGGUGAUCAAGCUAUAAAUAACAGUGCAACAAAUAUCAUGGCAGGGGUGAUGAAGUCCAACAAUGUGCUGCCUUCUCAAGAGCCUGAGGAUCAAGAUAAAGCUCUGGUUAUUCAUACACACCUGCAGAAUACAGAGAAGGUCAACAAUGAUAAUGAAGAUCAACUUGAUGAAUGUAUACAAAGGAAUGUAGUAAGUGAGGAACAAAUUAAUAUUACUGAAACAUGUUUUCAGGAAGCUGGGGCUUUGGAUAAAGCAUUAGUAAUUCACAAGGACCAUCAGGUCUUACAUGGGGACAUGUUAGGAGGACAUGAUGAUGUGGUUUUAGAUAUGGUGGAGUUUGAGGAGGAUCCUCUUCUGUGUUCUGAGGAGGUAGGUAACAUGUGCAGUUCAGCCAAUAGAGAGAAGCUCCUUACAGGUUGCUCACUUGGCAGUCAAGAGCAAAUGCACAAUGUUAGGAGUGUAAGAGAAGUUCAUAAUGCAGUAGUCAAUUUUUCAGGGGCAAUCAAACAAAGUUCUCCUAUUAAAGAAUUACAUGGCUUGGUUUCUCAUAAAACAACAUAUAAAGAAAGCAAAAUGGUCUAGUGAUAGACAGGGAUGAAGUUGAAAAUCAAAGUGAUCAUGCACAAGUUAUAAAUAAUGCAGGAGGUUCCCCUCAAGGGAAAUCAAAGAAGAAGAAGAGUAAGCCUCAAGGGGAAAAGUCUACUAGGACUAACCCUAUGUGGUCUGAUAGAGCUAUGUUGAAAUGAUCUUUAUAGCAUUAAUAUGGAAUAUUAGAUCAGUUAGAUCUAAUCAUUCUUUCCAUAGAGUAUAAAUGCUUCAUAGACAUCAUAAAUUUGAUUUGGUUGCCUUAAUGGAACCUUUUCAAGAGAUUAGGAAGAUUCAACAGUUUAAAAGGAGAUUAGGCAUGGCCUAUGCAAAUUAUAACAUCAAUGGGAAGAUUUGGUUGUUUGUCAAGGAGGAUAUUCAGGUGAACGUUGUUUCUGAUUCUGAACAACAAUUGACUAUUGAAAUGCUAUUCCCUAGUGGGCAUCAGAUGGUCAAUACUCUUGUCUAUGCUAAAUGUACAGCUGCUGAAAGACUUCCAUUGUGGGAGGAUAUGUAUGCAAUUGGGCAAAAUAUGAAUUUCCCCUGGUUUGUUGGAGGGGACUUUAAUGUUAUUAUGGAUGCAGAAGAAAAGAUAGGUGGUCUACCUGUCUAUCCAAAUGAGGUGGAGGAUGUGCUUUUUGUAUCAAUUUUUGUGAACUAUUUGAUAUUAAAUUCAAAGGUAGCCCUUUCACUUGGUGGAAUGGGAGGUCUGAUGGUGAAUAUAUUUUUAAAAGAUAGGUGGUCUACCAGUCUAUCCCACUACACUAUUUAACAGUUUAUUUUAAAGGUAUAUAUGUGCCCACGUGGACACGUUACUAUUUAUAAUUAUAAAAUGUUUAUGAUGUCCACGUGAGCACAUAUAUAUACCUUUAAAAUACACUAUUAAAUAGCUUAGGGGGGUAAAAGGUCCUUUUCAAAGUUUGGUAUCGUUACAACAAUUUCGGUCAAAGUUUUGAUAUAUUUCAGACCUUUUUCCCUAUUUUUUUAGAAGAUCUCAAAUAAUUCCCCUUCAUUUUUUAGAAAAAAAUAAUUAAAUAUGAACAAUUAAUGUGAAAACCAAAUGAACAAAAAUAUGAUUCAAAAUAAAUAAGAAUACAUUUAAGCAAAUGAAUCUAUAUUGAGUCGUAAUUUUCAAAUUAAACUAACAAAAAUUUUACAUUUCAUUUUACCCUUGAACUUUGCGAAACAAAUCAAAUGUACCCUAUGUGAAUUGUAUUCUUAUAGUAAUAAUUAAAAAAAUUAAAUUAAGUUUUCACUUUUGUCAGCCUAAAGAGAUAUAUUUGAGUCAUUUUUUAAUAAUAAGGAUAUAUGUAAGCCGUUAUUUUUAAACCAAAUGGUAUAUCAAUUUUAAAUUUCAAGGUUAAAAAAUAAUUAGACCCUUGUUUCUUUAUUAUUAUUAUUGUUUUAUUUUUUAAAUUCUUAUUGUUAUUAUCAAGGCCUAAACCCUAAACCACGCUUGGAGUAUUUCUCAGGCUUUCACCUUUGAGGUUUUCUGAGGCUAUGAAUGAGGAUGCCCACGUGUUUUUGACUACUUGCCGGGAGCAGCUUUAUACAUUUGGGACUGGUGGAGUCGAGAGAAGCCAACUUCACUACUUAUCAGUUAGAUGGGCCAACCAUACAGUCUUGACAUACCUUCAUUCAAACUAGACCAGUUCAUUCCCUUUGGUCAGGUCACUUGGACCGAGUUUUUUUAGGCCUUUUUGGCUAGGUUCAUUCCUUGCAGUGUUAGAGAAAUCACCUCUGGGAUCAUUUCUCUAGGCUGGAGCAGGCUCUCCAUGAUUGUGUUAGAGUAUAAGGCAAGGUUCCACGAGCUCUCUCGCCAUGCCAUUAUGAUUUUACCUAUUGAGGACAAGGAGAGAGUUUGAUGUUGUAUGUGGAUUGAGGUUCCAGCUACGGAUUGAGCCUCAAUCUAUGAUCUCUGGUAUUGUUCCUUUUUGGAGAUUGUCGAUCACGCCCUCACUAUUGAGCAGCGUGAGGCCCAAGGGGGCAGCGACAAGAGAGCUAGAUACGAGGGCAGCUACAACAGAUCAUGUUCCAGGUCCAGAGACACAUAUGAUAGGAUUCUACAGUCACGUAGGCCUAUCUAGGCCUCAUUAAAGAUUUCAAAGGGUGACUGGUAUAGCCGGAGUGAGGUCGGCUCCAGUCAGAGACAUGAGUCCCAUUCUUGUGCUUCAGACUGUGGUGGACGUUCUUCUAGGAGUCGAUCAUCCCCAAGUUAUUUUGAUUGUGGAGAGUUGGAUCACUGGGACAUAUAUUACCCUUUGCGUAGGCAGAUUACUUUUGCUCCACAGGUAGCUCCACCAGUAGCACCUACAACUAGGGUUGAGGUCAGUGUAAACACCUAAGUUUAAACUGAACCCAAGAUUUUACACCAUUUUAUUACUUAAAUGAUUUCUUGUAGGUUAAAAUUUAAUUAUCUAAAGUUUUACUUCUUCCUAGUGAAUUUAUUUUAAAUUGUUGAAAACUACAAAAUAGAAUCCCUUUUAAGGAUACAUUUGUUUUUAAUAUUAUUAUUAUUAUUUUAAAAGAAAGAAAACCUACCAAUAUAUAUACACGUCUUUCAAUUAAAUAUUAUAGUCAGUUAAUACUUUUAAUUGAUUUUAAAAUUUAUUACUUUAAGAAGAAAAUAAAGAAGAAGAACAAAAAGAAAGAAAAAAAAAGAACAUACAAAAAGAACAAUUUUUUUUUUAAAAAGGGAAAAAGUAAUAAAGGGGAAAAGAGGAAGAAACCAAAACGUGUAAAAUAAUAAAGAAAAAAAAUAAAACAAAAUGUUCAGUAAAAGAAGGGAAAAAAUGCAAAAAAUAAAAAAUGAGAAAAGAAAGAAAAAGAUAAAAGGGAAAAAUCUUUCUAAAAAAUAGUCCUAAUCCCUUUAGAAUUUUCAUACAAAACUAAUCCCAAAUUCCAUAAAAAUUUAUCUCCAAUUUUAAAUCCAACUCAAAAGACAAUCCUAAAAUUACUCAAACUCUAAAAUCUCACUCCUACACAAUCCCUAAAUUUUAGCAACUAGAUGCCUAUAUAUACUCUACCCACAAGACAAUUCAAGAGACAAAUUCAAAUACAACAAACACGCAUAAACCACAACAACAAAAAAAAUCUUCCUUUAUUUACCUUUUUUUAAAAGAAAAGAAUUUGAGAAUUAGUGAUAUCAAGUUUGAGUCCUUGUUUGAGUUUUCAUGUGCGGUUCUUGAUUCAAGAAAAUAUCUACGAAAGUUCAAGAUUAAAAUUUGUUAAGGUCCAUCUCAUGACCUUACUCUAUUUUGUUUGAACUAAGUUGCAUGCUCAUACAUAAUAUUUUUUUAGUAUAUAAUAUAUGAUCGCUUGACCUUCGUGGAGGAGCAAGUUGCCAUUCUUGCCAGGUGUGACACUUGCACUUGAGAGCCAUUCCUAUGGUUAAGGUCCGUUGGAGGCAUCGUCCAAUUGAGGAGGCUACCUGGGAGAUCGAGCACGAUAUGCGGGAGCAGUUUCUUGGCUUUUUGAGCCUUCUAGUACUUCUUGACUCUUAGUUUCGCGGACUACCAAUGUUGUAAUGACCUUCAGGUCAUUUUUGUGUUUACGACUCAUGUUCGCCGUUUAGAGCAUUCUUGUAGCGACCCCAAGUCAUUUAUGACUUGCUGGGACUGAUAGUUUGGUCACCUGGUCGUUCGCUUAUUUUUUAUCUGAGUUUUAGUCAGUGUUAUGAAAGGCGCUCGCCAUUUCGCCAAAGGCGAGAGGCGAGGCGAGGCCUCAUCGCCUAUUAUAGGAGCGGCGAUGCGAUUUCAGAAAGACGAGAAAUGGCGAUAGAAAGGCGAGAGGCGAUAUGGCAAGGCGGGGCACCAUGCGUCGCCUGUUUGUUUUUUUUUGUUUUUAAAAAGGUCAGAUUUAAUAAUUAAAAGGUAAAAUUAGGGUUUUUUUUUGGUGUUUUUGCAAACCUGGGCUCCUCUUCUCUUUAUUGUGACUUGCACGAUCUCUUCUCCUCUUCCAUCGCGACUCUCUAGCCUUCGAGAGGACGAGACCUUCGCUGCUACUCAGUCCUCUGCGUCGCGAGUCGCGACUCUCAGGUACAAUCUUCUUUUUUUUUUUCCUUCUUUAGUUGUUCUCUUGUUCUCUACUCUGUUUUUCAAACAGUGGUGCAUGGCUCCGUUUUUCUUUUUCAAUUUGUAGCUAAUGAACUGACUGCCAUUCUGUUUCUGCCUAUAUUAUUUUUAAAAAAAAAUUCAAUCCUUCUAUAUUUAUUUUUUCACUACUCAAUUUAGUUUUAUAUUUAUUUUUUCACUAUUCAAUUUAGUUUUAUACUAAUUAAUGUAAUAUUUGUUUGUCCAUAAAUAGUGAAUUCAACGACGUCUGAUGGUAACAAAAAGGACAUUGGUGUAUUGCGCCUCAAUUGUCUUAUGAAUUAUUGAGUCAUUCAAGUUCUAGACUUUUAACAUCUACUAUUAAUUUUACAAUUGAAAUAUGCUAAUGAAUGUUAUUGCUAUUGAAAUUUUGGAUAUUUAUAUAUGCCCUUGUCGCCUUUCGCCGUCCAAAACACUGGUUUUAAUGUUUUGGAGCUUUUGAACCUUGAACGGUCAGUUUUGAUCAAAAUUCAAGAAGAUGACCUCACAAUCCAAUUUUGACGAUUCCAUCACCUCUGAAAGGGUCAUUUUAGGUUAGUAGCAUGGUCGGCAUGAAUUUUGAAGCUUUCCGUGGGAGUCUGUGCGAUUAGGCAUUUUAACUUUCAAGUUAAGACUUAAGUUUGACUUUAGUUAACAUUCUGAGUAAACGAGUUCGGAUGAGAAUUCUUUCAAUGCGGUUAGCUCUGAAAUGUUGAAUUUGGACUAGAACAGCCUUUCAUUUGGAUCCCGAGGUUUCCAGGCAUAUUCCGAACCCCCUUGUGGAUUUUGGCUUAAAAUGGAGUUUGGGUGUGGGACCCACUUUUUGCUGAGAUAACCUCGUAUGGGAUUUUCGACUGCUCGAUUGAGUCCGGAAUAUCAAAUUUUGGUAGGGUUGCAUAUUUCGUUUGCAUGCAGGGGGAUUCAAAUAAAUUCAGAGUUUAAGCAAACUAGCUGAAGUGUUGAUAUCUGGUGCAAGCUUUUAGCGACCAAAAUUGGACUUUUAGCGACCAGAUCAAGGAUAUUUAUAUUGCGAACUUGCAGCCUUAUUUUUUAUUUUCAAAAGGCGAUUUCCCCUCAUUCGAGCUCCAGAUUGAGUGAUUCAUAGUCUUGUGUGACCGUUAAGAGCGUGGCUACUUGAGUUUCUGACUAGAAUCUGUUGAGGAACCUCAUCGCUUCCUCAUUUCUUGAUUUUUUUUUUCCCUAUAAAGAAACUCUCUCUAAAAAAUUCUCUUUGAAGGAGACACACUACCAGUUCUGCCGGAAUGGCUGCAUAACCGCCGGUGGAGCCUUGCCGACCGCCAGACCUAUGACAAAAGAUGGACAACAGCACCACGCACAAAACCCAACUGGAAUCACCUGCUAAUUCCUUUCCUAGCUCUAUGAAUCUGAGAAAUAGUGUCGCAAUCCUUGUUCAAGUUUCGAAAGAAGAGAUACUUUGGGCACAAAAAAAUAUUUCCAUGUCGCAAGCUGGGUUGAUUCAUCUAGUUACGAUAGAUGGAGAUGAAUUCCCCCAUAAGGAUCUACAUACAAAGAUUCAGCCAAUUCCACCUUGCCAAUCCCGAGUUCUAGCAUAGCGAUUUCGGGGGAAAUGCGAUGGAAUCGCCUGAGCUGCGCACUAGAUUUCGAACUGAUUCCAAGGGGAUAAACAACAAAUUAAGCACAAGGGAGGAUUCACCAGGUCAAGGCGCAUCUAAAGAUGUAAUGGUAGCCAAUUGCAACGGCGAUGAAAGUCUCACCGGAAUUUUUGUUGAAGAUGUCGGAGCUCCAGUGAGCCAAGAGUUUCAAACCCAACAUCAAAAUGAUCAGGAAAGGGAGAUACACCACCCCACCUCUAAAAUCUCAAGUGUGGAUGCAUUCUACGAAUCAAACAAGGGGAUCAUAAUCCCUGAAGAACAAUAAAGGACAAAUUUGGACAAGGAAGUUCAGGUCACCGAGCUAAAUGAUUCACAUAGUGAUAUGAGACAGCUAAAUGAUCAAAAUAGGAAUUCUAAUAGAGAACAAAUUGAGGAAGCUCAAAGCUUCUCAAAAUUUUCCUUUAGAGUAGCUAAACGUGAUCUUGCAGAUAAAGAAGCACCUCGAGGGAGUCAACAUGGUAAGAACAGUGAGGGGAACAAUGAAGAACAAGGCUGGAAUCAACAAAAGGAAAAUAAGUUUCCCUCCACCCCUGUUCAGCAAAUGCGUAGCAACCAAGAAAUCUGAGCUUGUCCCUGAACCUGAUCCAUUUACAGUCGUUCAGUCUUAUGCUACCAGGUUAAGAGCCAACCAAGCCAAGAAUGAAGUUCCCAUUGAGCUAUCUAUCCCUAAAAUCAUAACUAGACAAGGUCUUCCUGCAGUUAUCAUCAAAAAGGAAGAUUACAUGGUAAAUCUAGAAGCUAGAUAUAGAUUUACUUUAGUGGGAAAAUUCACCAACACUAUGCCUAAAAUUGAGCUUAUUCGCAAAAGCUUCAUCCUCCAAACUCAAUUAACUGGAGGAGUCAAGAUAGCUCAUUUCAAUGCAAGGCACAUUUAUAUUGAUCUUGAUAAUGAGGAGGACCAUGUCUCUGUAUGGAACAAACAGAAAAUGUAAAUUGAAAGGCAACUAAUGAGACUGCAAGUCUGGACUCCUACCUUUACUCUGGAAGAAGAAACUCCCAUUGUUCCUGUAUGGAUUACACUUCCUGAGUUGCCUUGGCAUUAAUAUAACAAGGAAUUUAUCACAGCCUUAGUAUCUCCUAUUGGUAAGACCUUAUACUUAUAUGCAACAUCUCUCCAGAAAACUAGAGGAAAUGUCGCAAAAGUAAGAUUACAAAUGGAUGUUACCAAGGAAAGACCCCCCCCCCCNNNNNNNNNNNNNNNNNNNNNNNNNNNNNNNNNNNNNNNNNNNNNNNNNNNNNNNNNNNNNNNNNNNNGCACAACAUUGGGUGUUACCAAAGGAAACCCCCCCCCCCCCCCAAUGUUUGGAUGGGAUUUGAUGAAGAGGACUUCACUAUUGGGAAAUGGCAAGCUAUUCAAUAUGAGGGACACCCUGAUUGUUGUUCCUAUUGCAAACAUUAAGGCCACUUGCUCCAUGUGUGCAAAAUCAAGCUAGGGGAUGAAGACAAUAAGAGGAGAAAAGAAGCUGAAGCUGAAAACAAAACCAAAAACAAAAGAGCUGAUCCAACCACUAAUCAGGUAUCUUCUAAUCUAAAUGAUACUCAAUUAAUGCUAAUCUAGCCUGUACUAGUAAUGAAGGUGCCAAGGACAACCAUCAGCAAUUGAAUAAAAAUAUGAAGAACAACAAAUUGAGGACUGGCAAACUCAAAGAAGAAAACUUAAAAAUCAAGCCAAAAAAUGAUCUACAGAACAAGGUUGAUAAACCUAUUUCUCUAAGAUAUUAGCAAAAUAAUGACCUGUAAACUCACAACGUUUCACAAUCAGGUAUUGAGUCAAUGCUCCCCCAACUCCAACUCCUUAAUCAACAGCAAAUCAAGCAUUGCAAGGACCAGGUAUUGACUCAAUGCUCCAACAACCCCAACACCCCCAACACCCCCAUAGUAAUGCUUUUGUUGUAAUAACUGAUUCUGAAGUUUUGGGAGGUGAAGAUGGGGGAUUGAAGGAGAACAUCACUAACCUGAAGGAAGGGGAUCCAAAGAGGAGGGAUUUGUCUCGUGUUCUGCAUGAGAACCUUAGUGCCCCCGCUACCACAGUUCAGUGUCCAAUCAAUGUGAUAGAUUGAGUCUUUAUUAUAUCAGAUAGGGGUGCUCAAUUCACUUCAAGCUUUUGGAGGACUUUUCAUGAUGAGUUAGGCACUCGUGUUGACCUUAAUACAACUUUUCACCAGCAGAAUGAUGGUCAGUUGGAGCGUACUAUUUAGGUCCUUGAAGAUAUAUUGCUGGUUUGUGUCUUAGAGUUUAGAGGUCAGUAGGACCAGUUCUUGCCUUUGGCGGAGUUUGCGUACAACAACAGCUACCAUUCUAGCAUUUAGAUGAACCCGUUUGAGCUUUUAUAUGGUAGGAGUUGUCGCUCUCCAGUUGGUUAGUUUUAAACUACACAACCUAGACCAUGUGGCACAGACUUGAUUCAGGAGGCUUUGGAGCAGGUGAGGGUGAUUCAGGAUAGACUUCGGGCAGCUCAGAGUAAGCACAUGAGUUAUGCGGAUCGUAGGCGGCCUCCUUAGGGAUUCUAUGUUGGUGAUAGAGUCUUCCUCCGUGUGUUAUCCAUGAAAGGCGUGAUGAGAUUUGGGAGGUGAGGAAAGCUUAGCCCUAUGUAUAUUGGGCCUUUUGAGAUCCUUCGGACUGUUGGAGAAGUUUCCUAUGAGUUAGCUAUGCCUUCGAUGUUCUUAGUUAUCCACCCAGUUUUCCAUGUGUCGAUGCUGCACCGGUAUGUUCACGAAGAGUCUCAUAUGCUUCAGUAUGAUGCAAUACAGUUGGAUGAUCGCUUGAUCUUCGUGGAGGAGCCAGUUGCCAUUCUUGCCAGAGAUGUGUGACACUUGCGCUUGAGAGCAAUUCCUAUGGUUAAGGUCCGUUGGAGGCAUCGUCCAGUUGAGAAGGCUACCUGGGAGACCGAGCAUGAUAUGCGGGAGUAGUUUUUUCUGGCUUUUUUGAGCCUUCAAGUGCUUCUUGACUCUUACGAAGCGGACAAAAGUCUUUUUUUGUAGUGGAUGUUGUAAUGACCUUCAGGUCAUUUCAGUGUUUACGACACAUGUUCGUCGUUUAGAGCAUUCCUGUAGCGAUCCCAAUUCAUUUAUGACUUUCUGGGACUGAUAGUUCGGUCACCUGGUCGUUCGUUUAGUUUUUAUCUGAGUUUUAGUGUUUUGGAGCUUUUGAACCUUGAACGGUCAGUUUUGAUCAAAAUUCAAGAAGAUGACCUCAAAAUCCAAUUAUGACGAUUCUAUCAGCUCUGAAAGGGUCAUUUUAGGUAGGUAGAAUCGUCGGCAUGACUUCCAAAGCUUUCAGUGCGAGUCUGUGCGAUUAGGGGUUUUAACUUUCAAGUUAAGGCCUAAGUUUGACUUUAGUCAACAUUCUGAGUAAACGAGCUCGAAUGAGAAUUUCGUCAUUGCGGUUAGCUCCGAAAUGUUUAAUUUGGUCAGAAGCAGCCCUUCGUUUGGAUCCUGAGGCUUCCGAGCAUAUUCUGAGCCCCCUUGUUGAUUUUGGCUUAAAAUGGAGUUUGGGUGUGGGACCCACUUCUUGCCGAGAUGACCUCGUAUGGGAAUUUGGACUGUUCCGUUGAGUCCAGAAUAUCAAAUUUGGUAGGGUUGCAUAUAUCUUUUGCAUGCACAGGGUUUUGAACGAAUUCAGAGCACCCAAUUGGAGAAUUCGGAGUUUAAGCAAACUAGCUGAAGUGCUGGUAUCUGGUGCAGGCUUUUAGCGACCAGAAAUCAAACUUUUAGCGAUUAUAAUUGAACUUUUAGCGACUAGAUCUCGGCUAUUUAUAUAGCGAAUUUGUAGCCUCAUUUCUUAUUUUCAAAGGGCAAUUUCUCCCUCAUCCGAGAUCCAAUUUGAGUGAUUCAUAGUCAUGUGUGAUCGUUGAGAGCGCGGCUACUUGGGUUUGUGAUUAGAAUCUGAUGAGGAAUCCCAUUGCUUCCUCAUUUCUUGAAUUUUUUCUCCCUAAAAAAACUCUCUAAAAUAUUUUCUCUGAAGGAGACACUACCAUUUCUGCCGGAAUUUUUGUUGAAGAUACCGCAGUUCCGGUGAGGCAAGAGUUUCAAACCCAACAUCAAAAUUAUCAGGAAAGGGAGAUACACCACCCCACCUCUAAAAUCUCAAGUAUGAAUGCAUUCUACAUAUCAAACAAGGGGAUAUGAGACAACUGAAUGAUCAAAAGAGGAAUUCUAAUAGAGAACAAAUUGAGGAAGCUCAAAGCUCCUCGAAUUUUUCCUUUAGAGCAGCUAAACGUGAUCUUGCAGAUGAAGAAGUACCUCGAGGGAGUCAACAUGGUAAGAACACUGAGGGGAACAAUAAAGAACAAGGCUGGAAUCAACGAAAGGAAAAGAAGUUGCCCUCCACCCCCUGUUCAACAAAUGCCCAUCAACGAAGGAAUCAAAGGUAAGUAUUCUAACACUUCUUCAAGUCCUAUGCUUUUAACUCAAUAGGUGUAGUUGAUACGUAAAUGCAAGUCAUUGCAAGUGAGCAAAAUUGUGAACAACUAACUUCAUAUAUGCAGAAUAGUGAUCAAGGGACUAACACUUCUGAUAUACCUCCCUCAAAUAAGCCCAAAAACAAUGAAAAUACCAAGGAUCAUGAUAAUAGUCAUCAGUCUCAAAAACUUCCCACAUCCACCCCUCAUGACCUCAAUAAACUCACUUCCAAUUUUGAGAAACAUACUCCUAACCUUCAGAAUAAACAGCAUGUGCAUCCAGAAAACUCCCACAGAAACACCAAUCAUGUGACUUUGUCCAAUACCUACAAAUGGAUGUUACCAAGGAAAGACCCCCCCCCCUUCCCCAUGUUUGGAUUGGAUUUGAUGAAGAGUACUUUACUAUUGGUAAAUAACAAGCUAUUCAAUAUGAGGGGCUCCCUGAUUAUUGUUCUUAUUGCAAACAUCAAGGUUGUUCCAUGUGUGAAAAUCAAGCCAAGGGAUGAAGACAAAAAGAGGAGAAAGGAAGUUGAAAACAAGAUCCAUCUAAACCUUCUAGUUCCACCAACACCCCGCCCCUCCCCGCGGCAGACCAAACACCAGGUUCUAUAUUCAUCAAAAAAUUUCCAAUGACUAGUACAAUUAUUUGGAAUGCUAGGAGUAUCAAUACCCAAGGUGCAAUGGAAAGAAUCAAAUCUCUCAAAAAGAUCCAUCAUACAUUAAUUAUUUCUCAUUUGGUUGUUUUGGUCUCAGGAUGUGGAUUGUAACAUUAUUGACAAUGAUGAGACCCUCCACGGUCCAUUAAGGUGCUCGUGGUAGGUUUCCAGCCCCAUGCAGGCUUUACUUUGACGGACGCCUAGACAGCCCGUGGUGAGGUUGACGGGCCAUCAAAGUAGGUCGUCAAGUGGGUCAAGUUAGUAAGGGUCCUCCCCUAGCUACUCGUUAAGGGCCACGGGCAUCACAACGGCCCGUGAAGCCCCACAUGGACCGUGAGGUCGUCCGUGAAGGGUUUUUAAUAGAUUUAAAGUUUAGGGUCAACUUCAAACGAUCAAAUCUUUUAAUUAUGUGGCCCAUGACCUAUCAAAUUAAAGGUCUCUGAGUCCUUUUUCCAACGCCACUGAGUUUGCCCAAUUCCCAUCUCGGAGUAAAAAUUUAUUCCCGAAAUAGUGAAGCACUGUCAGGUUGAAUUUCUUCACGACCCGUUUGACGGGCAGUGGUGGUCAUGACAACCCGUGAUGGGCUUCCAGUGAGCCAAUUCGGCAGUUUUUAAGUCAGGGGUUAUUGGGUCUUUUCCCAAUUGUUUUAACUCAAUACUCAGUCAUUUUUUACUUAUACCCAAAGCCCUAUAUAAUGAUUCUAAACCCCCAAAUGACCCAAACUAAAUUAUUCUCUCAAAUUCUCAAAAGAAGAUUAGACUCCUCCCUUCAAAUAUUUCUCCCUCUGGAACUUGAAGAAGAAAGAGUUGUAGCUAGGAUCAAGGUCAAGUCUCCAUUCCUUAAGAAUUUGUGGGCUUUGUUAUCAAGGUAUGAUGGCUUUUUAUUCAUGGAAUACUUUCAUCCAUGGAGUCCCCAAGAUUCGCCAAUUGAAAAGUAGAAAUUCCCCAAUUUGAGUUAGAGUUUUCUUCUAAUGUUGUGGGUCUUGAUCCAAUUGAGUGGAUUAUGAUUGUUUAUGAUUGAAUUGAUAGGAUUACAUGUUUUUAGGAUGAAUUUACAUGUAUCCAUGCCUAACCCAUCUAGAAAAAUGAAAUUGAUGUAAAUGGGUUUUAUGUCAUGAAAGGAGAAUUUGUGGGUUUAGAUGUAUUCUUAUAGGAUUGAUGAGAUACAUAAAGAAUUCUUUGAGAUUGAAGCAUAUAUGAUGAUUUAUGCUUAGAAUUGUCUUAAGAUUUAGGCAUAUAUGAAGCGUAUAAGAUGUAGGGCUUUGAAAGUAAAGCUUCUAUUAUGAAUUGAUGAUUUAGAUGUAAAUGUUGUGGAAGGGAUAGUUCCCAUAUAAAUUGCUUAUGUAUGAAUGUGAAUGGUUUUCUCACAUUGAAUGAUUCUAGGUUGAAAGGCUUGCUCACCUAAAAUGAAUCUAAGAACUUAUGAAUUAUGGUAAUAAGACCUUGGAUUGGUAAUGUGAUACCUUUCCAUGGAUAGCUUGGAUUGGUAAUGUGAUACCUUCCAUGGAUAUCUUGGAUUGGUAAUGUGAUGCCUCCAUGGGUAGCUUGAGUUGGUAAGUAGAUGAUGCCAUCUCAUGGUAGCUUGAGUUGGUAAGUAGAUGAUGUCAUAUCACGGUAGCUUGAGUUGGUAAGUAGACGAUGCCAUUUCAUGGUAGCUUGAAUUGGUAAGGAGGUGAUACCUUUUCAUGGUAGCUUGAUUUGGUAAAGAGAUGACACCUUUCCAUGGUAGCCUGGAUGGUAAUGAUGAUGUGCUCUUCCAUGGACAAUGGCUUAGCUUGGAUCGGCAAGAUGGCGUGCCUUCCAUGGAUAAUGAGAACAACUAAGAAUUGACUACUUCUCACAUCAAGUUAUCAUAGUUAUGAUGAAACAAGGUUCUUCAAGGAAGUAUCACAAGUAUGUUUAAGAUGAGAUUCACUUGUGUUGAUCAUGGUUUAUGACUUAUGUUGUUUAACUCAAGCUUGUGUUGAUGUUUUUACAAGCUACCAUAUUUAGUACAUGUUUGUACUAACGCAUACUCUUGCCUACAUUUCUUAUCCAAAUGUAGGGUUCGACGAUCUCGACUCGCAUCCCCGUGGCUAGGAUCUUAGUAGAGGCAAGACUUGAAGAUUAGUGAGUCCUCAUAGCAUUGAGGAUAUAUCCACCAUUUCCUUAUGAUCUUUCAUUUUAUGUUUUGAACAUUGUUGUAUGGGCAGUGUCCUAAGAUAUUCAUGUUUUAGAUGGUUUUGAGACAAAGUGUAAUAGACUUCUACUUUUGUUAUAAAACUUUGAUGUUGUUGAAAAUGUUUUAAAUUUCCGCUCAUUUCUAUUAUCUUAUAUUAUGAACGCUAAGUAGCUUGUAUGAGGCCUCUCGGGGUCUUGUACGCCUUGUUAUAUCUAGGGGGUACCCCUGGGUCAUGACAAUUACCCUAUCAUAUGAGUAAAAGUUUUGAAUUCAUUGGAGUAAUUGAAGCUUGUGGGCUUAUGGACCUUGGCUCUAAUGGACAAAAAUUCACUUGGUCCAAUCAAAGAGGCAUUAAUUUCAGAAUUUGGAAGAGUCUGGACAAAGCUAUGGUGAAUGACAAAUGGUUGGGGAUCAUGCCCCACACAUCUAUCAAUCUUCUACCCUCUGUAGGAUAUGAUCACUAUCCCGUUCUGAUGGAAAUGAAUGAAAUUCAGCAUAUACCUAUCAGAUACUUUAAGUUCCUUAAUUGCUGGGAUGAUCAUCACUCAUCCCUGGAUAUUGUGAGUGCUGGAAUAGAGAGAUGGAGGGCAAUCCUAUGUGGCUCUUCCACCAAUAAAUAAAAAGACUUUCAGCAACCCCUAGUAACUGUCGUGAAGGAAUUUGGUGAUAUUCAUGCUAAUGUCAAAGAUUAUGAGGAAAAGGUUAAAAUUGCUGAAGAAGAGCAUAUUUCCAAGAACACUGAAUAAUCCAGAACUUCUCUUCAUGCAAUUAAUGCUGAAUAUAUCAGAAUUCUCAAGAUGAAGGAAUCUAUCCUCAAGCAGAAAACUCAAUUACAACGGUUCAAGGAGGAGAUAUGAACGCUGCUUAUUUUCACGCUUUGAUAAGAGGCAGGAGAAGGAAGCUUCACAUCCAUAAGAUUCAAAAUGAUCAAGGUGAUUGGGUUCAGGGUGAGGAAGAUAUUACUAAAGCUGCCAGUGAUUAUUUUCAGAAUAUCUUUACUGGUGAGGAGAAGUUUAUUCAUGAAGAGGCUCUGAAUAGCGUUCCUAGAAUGAGAGAUAACAAUACUCUUCAAGCUAUAUCAACUAUGGAAGAAUUGAAAUGUGUAGUUUUUCCAUGAACCCCAACUCUACAGCUGGUUCUGAUGGUAUGAAUGGGAAGUUUUUCGAUCUUACUGGGAUAUCAUCAACAAAGAUCUGCUGUCAGCAAAAGAGGUAUGGUAUUAUCUCAAGACUGAGUAUGAAGGAGAUGAAAGAAUUCGAGGGAGCAAGUGUUAAAUUUAGUACGUCAGUUUAAGCUGCAAAGGAUGAAGGAAAGUGAGACCAUAAAUGAGUAUUCUGACGGACUUCUUAAUAUAGCAAAUCGAGUCAGAUUGUUGGGUUCCACUUUUAACGAUUCAAGGAUUGUUGAGAAAAUCCUUGUAAUAGUACCUGAAAGAUUUGAGGCUACUGUUACAACCUCAGAAAACACUAAGGACUUGUCCAAAAUUACACUAGCAGAGCUCUUAAGUGUUUUUCAAGCACUAGAGCAACGGCGUGUAAUCUCACAUAAAAGAGUUGUUGAAGGAGCCCUAUUAGUUAAACAUCAAGAUGAUGGAAGAAACAAGAAGAAGCAGAACAAGAAGAUACAAUGACAUAAUAGUGAGAAUUUUGCUAAAAGAAAGAACGCUAACGAUUCUCCUUGUCGGCACUGUGGCAAAAAAGGGCACCCUCCUUUCAAAUGUUGGUGGAGACCUGAUGCAAAAUGCAGCAAGUGCAAUCAACAGGGUCAUGAAGCUGUAAUUUGUAAAGCCAAAAUUCAGCAGCCUAAAGUUGAAGCUCAAGUUGUUGAUCGAGAAGAAGAAGAUCAUCUCUUUGUUGCAACUUGUUUCACAAGCCUAGAUUCAAGUGAAAGUAGGUUAAUUGAUAGUGGUUGCUCUAACCACAUGACUGACAUCUGAUAAGAUGUUGUUCAAAGAGUUGUGGAACACUGAGACAAAGAAAGUUAGAAUUGGAAAGGCCAGGGCGCCAUAGCCAUUACAGUGGCUCUAGAACUAAGUUUAUCCCAAAUGUUUUGUAUGUUCCAGACCUUAAUCGAAACCUUCUCAGUGUUGGUCAAUUAGUGGAGAAUGGAUUCAAUAUGUUCUUUUUAAACAAAACUUGUGUGAUAGAAAGAUCCAUCCGGCGAUGAGAUAUUCAAGGUCAAAAUGGAGGGGAGGUAUUUCCCUCUCAAUCCUUUGGAAGAAGAGCAGACAACUUUUCUUAUGUCAGGCAACUCUACAGAAGUUUGGCAUAAAAGAAUGGGUCAUUUUCAUCGUCAAGGUAUGAUGUUCUUUCAAAGAAAGGAACUUGUGAAUGAUACCAAGAUUGCAGAAUCGGUUGAAAAAUUGCCAAGCUUGUUUACUUGGAAACCUUUCCCAAAACAACUUGGAGAGCAUAAAAAAAGCUUCAACUCAUUCAUACAGACCUAUGUGGACCUCACAAAACACCAUCUUUAAAUGGUAGUCUGUAUUUAUUGAUGAUAUAACAAGACUGACCUGGAUUUUUUCUCUUAAAAUUCAAGUCAGAGGUAGCUGAUGUGUUUUGGAAUUUUAAGACAACAGUAGACAAUUUAUUAGAUCCAAAAGAUCUAGUAGAUGAUCCUCCUGUUAGAGGCAUGCGGUUGAUCUCUAAUAUCUAUCGGAGAUACAAUACUACAAUUUGUGAGCCCGCAAGCUAUGAGGAAGCAGAGGGGAUGACAAAUGGGUGGCAACAAUGAAGGAGGAGAUGAUGAUGAUCGGAAAAAAUCAAAUCUAGGUGCUUGUUGAGAAACCUCUAGACAGAAAGAUCAUUGGUGUAAAAUGGGUCUUCAGGACAAAAAUAAAUGUUAAUGGCUUCAUCAACAAACACAAAGCGAGGAUUCUAGUGAAAGGUUACGCUCAGAUCUUUGGAGUAGACUACUCAGAACUUUCACACCAGUUGCUCGACUUGACACAAUCAGAUUGCUACUAGUCAUUGCAGCGGAAAAAGGUUGGAAAGUUUAUCAACUUGAUGUUAAGUUGGCCUUUCUCAAUGGUCUUCUCCAGGAGGGGAUUUAUGUUGAGCAACCAUAUGGUUUUGUUGUCAAGGGGGAAGAAAAUAAGGUUUGUUUGCUAAAUAAAUCUCUCUAUGGUUAGCAAGCACCAAGAGCUUGGUAUAGCAAGAUUGACGAUCAUUUGCUAAGUUUAGGCUUCAAGAAGAGCCUAUCUGAGUCUACACUUUAUAUUAAGUGUUCAAGUGUAGACAUACUGAUUAUUUCUUUGUAUGUUGAUGAUCGCUUUUUCACAGGAAGUAAGGUUUUCCUAAUUGAGGACUUCAAGUUGGAAAUUAUGAAGGUCUUUGAAAUGACAGACCUUAGACUGAUGGUGUACUUUCUUGGAGUGGAGAUCAAGCAAAAUGAAGACAAUGUGUUCAUUUGCCAGAGAAAAUAUGCUCAAGAAAUCCUAAAGAAGUUUCAUAUGGAAGACUGCAAAGUUACGAGUACUCCAAUGAACCAAAAGGAAAAGUUUUCCAAAGAUGAUGGAACAGAAAAGGUGGAUGAGGCAUAUUAUAGAAGUCUUAUUGGCUGCUCGAUGUAUUUGACUGCAACUAGACCUAAUAUUCUAUAUGCAGUGAGUUUUUGUCUCGGUUCAUGCAUUGUGCAAGUGAUUUACACUUUAGAGAAGCUAAAAGAAUUGUCAGAUACAUCAAGGGAACUAUCAACUAUGGCGAUAAGUUUCACAAAAGUCAGAAGUUUAGACUUAACGGAUUCUCCGAUAGUGAUUGGGGUGGUGCACCUGAUAUGAAGAGUGUGAGAAAUAUAGGAAAAGAAUAUUACUGAAUUAUUGUUGUUUCUACAUUAUUACAUUGAACCAAAAAUAUUAUUGAAUUGUUGUUGUGUCUACAUUAUUACAUUGAGAUCCUAUUUAUAGACACCCUAGAAUACAAUCCUUUACCAAGUAGGAUACUAUUUACUAUUCCUAUUUCUAUUUGUAUUCCUAUUCCUAUUCUAAAUAGAAUUGUAUAAACUUAUUCCUAUUCUAACACUCCUCCUCAAGCUAGUGCAUACAAUUCAUGUACCUAGCUUGUUACAUAUGUAAUUAAUACGAAAGCCAAUGAAGGGCUUUGUGAAAUAUCUGUAAGUUGAUCAGUCGACUUCACAAAAUUGACAGUCAAUCUCAAUGUGCUUGUCUUCUCAUUAAAUACUGGAUUUGAUGCAUAAUGUCAGUCAAUCUCAAUGUACUUAAUCUUCUCAUGAAAUACUGAAUUUGAUGCAUAAUGCCGAUAAAACACAGAGUGAUAAAAUUACAGUGUUGAACUUUCCAAACCAAACUUCCAAAGACUGUUCAGACCAUAAAGUGACUCACAUAAUCGACAUACAAGGCUACUAAACUCCCCCUGAGCAACAAAGUGCUCAAAAUCUAGUAUAAAGUAUAUGGAUCAUGUUGGAAUCAAUAGAUGAGUCGAUAUUAAACAAGUCACCAAAAAAUUGGUCGGAACAUGCUUAUAUGCCGGAGUAUAAGAUUUGAUGGCUAAAAGUGGUCACAAACUAAGAAAUAAAAUUAUAUGGGUAGGGUCAGAAUGAUGUCACGACCCAACUAGAGAAAGGAAUUAUAUAGGAUAGUUCGAAUUGAUGGAACGACCCCAUUGAAAAAGAGAAAUAAUUGGGUAGGGUCGGAAUGAUGACACAACCCUACUGAUUUUUUUUAUACAGGUAGGGUUGGAAUGAUGGCACAACCUUACGCAAAUCAGAUUUGAGGAGUCACCGAAAAGACGAAUGGAACUAUGCAAAUCAAAUCUGAGGAGUCACUAAAAAGACACAUGAUGCUAUGCAACUCAGAUAUGAGAAAAUAGUUCAAAGAAAAUCCACGGUACUAUACAAAUUAAAUAUGAAAAGUAGUCUGGAGAGAUGCACGGUGCUACGCAAAUCAGAUAUGAAAAAAAGGUAGUCACCGAAAGGAUGGCACGGUGCUACACUAAUUAUAUAUAAGAAAGUAGUCACGUGAAAGAUACAUGGUGACCCAACUUUUGCUAACAUAAUCAUUGGCCAGACGGGCAACAUAUAUGGGUGCCAACCGCCGGCAGCGGAAACUCUUUGAUUUUCUACCAAGAUCGUAGAGGCUCUGAUACCAUGUGAGAAAUAUAGGAAAAUAAUAUUAUUGAAUUAUUGUUGUUUCUACAUUAUUACAUUGAACCCUAUUUAUAGACACUAGAAUACAAUCGUUUACCAAGUAAGAUACUAUUUACUAUUCCUAUUUCUAUUUGUAUUCCUAUUCCUAUUCUAAAUAGAAUUGUAUAAACUUAUUCCUAUUCUAUUCCUAUUCUAAUAGGAUUGUAUAAACAUAUUCCUAUUAUAACAAAGAGUACUUCAGGUUUUUGUUUCAUUCUUGAGUCAGGAGCUUUCUCUUGGUAUCCAAGAAUAAAGAUAAAGAUAAAGAUAUUACUACAAUCAACAGUCGAGGCAAAUUAUUGAUGCAACAGCAGCAGCUGUGAAUCAAGCACUAUGCUUGAGAAAAAUUAUGUGUGAUAUGAAUAUGGAGCAAAAAGAAGGGACUGAGGUUUAUAUUGAUAACCAAGCUGCAAUUUCUAUUGCUAAUAAUACAGUUUUUCAUGCAAAAACAAAGCAUUUCAAUAUUUAAUUGUUUUUCUUAAGAGGCGCAGUUUUUCAUGCAAAAACAAAGCAUUUCAAUAUUUAGUUGUUUUUCUUAAGAGGCAUGUAGAAAUAUGGAGAUGUGAAACUUCUUUACUACAAGAGUGAUGAGCAGGUUUCCCCCUUUCCCACUUCAAGACUUCUCAGAUCCAGAUAAAACAACACAAUUAUUAAUAGGGUGGGGUUGAUGGAGCAUUGAGUCAAUACCUUGCUUAUUAUUGGCAUCCUUGCUUUGCUUGUUAUGAAAUACUUUAUGGGCAACACUGGGAAUGAGGACAACAACACUACCAUGGGGUUGAGGGGUGGGAAGCAUUGAGUCAAUACCUUGCUUAUUGUUGGCAUCCUUACUUUGAUUGUCCUGAUAAACUUUAGGGUCAACACUGGGGGUGGGGACUGCAACACUACCAUAGGGUUGAGCGGUGGGGAUCAUUGAGUCAAUACCUUUUUGUUGUUCCUUACUAGUCUAAUUCUGAUGUGGUACUGGUUUAUAAACCUGAUUUUGUUGGUUGUUUUGGUGAUUCCUCUGAUUGUCCUGAGGAUAGCCUAUAAAGUUCUUUUGUGUUUGCCAUUGGUCUUCUUGCAUUAUUUGUUGAUCCUGGUGAGUUCUUGAUGGCUGUUCUUUGGUACCUGAAACACUAAGCAGAAAUAUUAUUUUUAACAGGUUGAGAAUUAAUUGGUAGAGUAGUUACCUGAGUGUCAUUUCAUUGUGUUGUUUUGGUUUUGUUCUUGUUUGCUGCUUUAGCCUCCUUUCUUAUUCUAUAUUCAUCAUCUCUCCUCUUGACUUUACAUGUAUGAACUUUACGGCCUUGGUGUUUGCAGUAAUCACUAUCUUGACUUGUUGGAGCCUGUGGAAAAAUAGAUGUGCAUGCAAAUAUAGUGGAAACAAAUCUAAUAUGCCUAGAGUGAUAUACUUGGUGCAUAAAGACAUCAACAACCUCCUACUCAUCAACUUUCCUUACAUCAGAUGGCCAUCCAAGUGGCCUGAGUUGAUACAGU